rnacentral:lncRNA from 1 species
AUAAUAGUCACCGGCAAUUAGUAGCAAACAUAAGCACAAGUGCUCAACGCCUCAGCUACAAGCGGUGGUGGCCGCAGGAGGCAGUGCCGUCGUCGAAGUUCUGGGAGUAGCUAUGCGGGUCGUAACCGAACCUCACCGCGGUUCGUCUCGGCCGCGCCGCUCGUCUUCUCCAAGAGCGCCUCAGCCUCAACAGCAGGCGCUUCACCGCCGCAGCUGACCGGCGGCCGCCGCUCCUGGCGUGGACCCUCCCGCCCAAGCCGCUGCCCCCGGUGUACGGGCCUAGCAGAAACGCCGCCUCCAUGAUCUAUCGUUCUUCACUCGGUGGGUUCUCACAGAGUCACAGGUCACAGACGCUCUUGCCAGUUUGCCACUAACUAACUAGCUAGGUGCUGCUCCGAGCUGGUAGGUAUCUGUGUGCUGCAGUGCAGCUGUAGUUUGUGAAGACGUUGUGCAGAACGAAACCUCCGAUGCCGCAGCUUUAUAAGCUCGGAUGCUGGGAGCAUUCCGACACGCGUCGAUCGAGGUCGCCACCCGGACCUACAUGGUGACGAUGCAUCCACUACGGCGAUCGUCCGAAAGGGUCUAUGCAGCUUCAUGCUUGUUCUUUUGUAAGUCGCCGUAGUACAGUCGAAAGAAAGAUCCAUCGCCAGCUAGAGGAUGAGAGGUUGGCCAUGCCGACCGGCGCCACGGCGGUGCCUACACUACCGGAAUCAGCUCCUUUGCCGUGUGUCUCCGACACUCGGCAAAGGCUAUUUUACACUCGGCACAGAAUGAUCGGCGAACUGUACAUCGGCAACAGCCUCUUUGCCGAGUACUAUUUGUCGGGCACUCGGCAAAGAAAAGUCACCGUCAUGGCGCCAAGUGACGGUGACGGAUCCUUUGCCGAGUGCCUUCUGUGGCACUCGGCAAAGAGGCCAAUUUUGCCGAGUGUUUGCUCGAGAGGCCCUCGGCAAAGACUGAUCCAGUGGGCCCCACCGCCAGUCCCUGUGCCGAGAGCUCUAAUAGGCACUCGGCAAAGGAGUCUUUUUUGCCGAGUGUCUGGUGGACUGGCACUCGGCAAAGAACCCUCCAGUGGGCCCCUUUACCAAUAUCUUUGCCGAGUGCCUUGGCAACAGCACUCGACAAAGAUGUCUUUGCCGGUUCCCAGGUUUCCUUCUUUGCCGAGUGCCAUUGUCAGCACUCGGCAAAGAUGGCUUUACCGGUUCCCAGGUUUCCUUCUUUGCCGAGUGCCAUGGUCAUAGCACUCGGCAAAGUGACCAGGAUGUCCCUUUUUUAUUUGCUUUUGUUGUUCCAUCCAAACAAACAAAAGAUAUAUAUCAUGUUGAAUAAUUAGACAAAUUCCAAAUUAAAUUCCGAAUAUAAAUCAUGACCAAAUCAGAAGAACUGAAAUAAAAGCCAAAUCAGAUGAUGCGUACUGAUUAGACUUACUGAUUGUUGGCGCGCGCCAGGAUCAGCUGGGUCGACGAUGUCAGAAGAUCACGAGCAGUCACGUGAAGGCGCUUCCCAAAAACCUUAUUCGCCCUCUCCCGGUGUAGGAUCUAGAAGACGAAGGGUUCCGGAGACCUGCUCUCCUGAUCGCAGAUGCACCUCUGCGGUCGGAACGAAGGGAACUAAAAGGCGGCUCAGCUAUGAAGAUAGGCGAAAGCGAACUGGGAUCUGGGAUGAUUUGGAGGCUGGCUGCCGGGCUCCUUUUAUAGGGCCGAGUCCGCGACCCCGUGCUUAUCCGCCCACGAAAAUCUCGCAAUCAGUUGAGAUUUUAUAGCGAUCGGUUAGGAUAAGCGUAACAGCCAAGAAACCAAAAAAUCAAACGGCAAAAGGUAGCCGCGCCCCCGCAAGGCGAGGGGCCAGAUUUCGACGGACCAUUCACGCGCAUGUCGUGCGCCCGCGCCCUUCGCCCCGCCCCGCCCCGCCCCGGCCCGGCCCGGCCCGGCCCGGCGAGGCGAGCGAGCACGCGCGCGCGUGUGGCUCUCCACACUCUCUCCUCUCAUCCAUGACUUGGUGAGUGAGUGUGGCUUCCAUAUUUAAGCUAGCUCUACUCCACUAGAGCUAGCAAUAUGGUGCUAAUGGUUCCACCUAUCCUCUAGCCAUCCUCUUGUAUGGGCUUUUGAGAUUUUCUGGGAUUUAUUUGAAUUUCUUAAUUGGGCCAAGCCCAUAAAUCCUAACAAUCCCCCACCAGAUCUCAAAUGCCCAUCUGCAGUUUUCGCCACUGUUCACUACUGUUUAAUUGUCGGGGACCAUAAUUAGGGGUACCCUCAAGACGCCUAAUUCUCAGCUGGUAACCCCAUCAGCAUAAAGCUGCAGAGGCCUGAUGGGUGCGAUUAAGUCAGGGAUCAGUCCAUACGAGCGACUCGAUCACGCCUCGCCCGAGCCUAGCCUCGGGCAAGGGCAGCCGACCCCGAGGGAUUUCCAUCUCGUCCGAGGCCCCCCUUUAACGGCGGACACAUCUCCGGCUCGCCUGAGGCCUUGCCUUCGCUAAGAAGCAACCCUGACUAAAUCGCCGCGCCGACCGACCGAGUCGCAGGAGCAUUUAACGCAAAGGUAGCCUGACACCUUUAUCCUGACGCGCGCCCCCCGGCAGAGCCGAAGUGACCGCCGUCACUUCGCCGCUCCACUGACCGGUCUGACAGAAGGACAGCGCCGCCUGCGCCACUCCGACUGCAGUGCCACUUGACAGAGUGAGACUGACAGGCAGUCAGGCCUUGCCAAAGGCGCCAUAGGAAACUCCGCUCCGCCUGACCCAGGGCUUGGACUCGGGCUAAGCCCCGGAAGACGGCGAACUCCGCACCGCCCGACCCAGGGCUCGGACUCGGGCUAAGCCCCGGAAGACGGCGAACUCCGCACCGCCCGACCCACGGCUCGGACUCGGGCUAAGCUUCGGAAGACGGCGAACUCCGCUCCGCCCGACCCAGGGCUCGGACUCGGGCUAGGCCCCGGAAGACGGCGAACUCCGCUCCGCCCGACCCAGGGCUCGGACUCGGGCUAGGCCCCGAAAGACGACGAACUCCGCUCCGCCCGACCCAGGGCUCGGACUCGGGCUCAGCCCCAGAAGACGACGAACUCCGCUUCGCCCGAUCCCAGGGCUCGGACUCCGCCCUGGCCUCUGCCGAACAACCUCCGCCUCGCCCGACCCAGGGGCUCGGGCUCGGCCUCGGCCAUGGAAGACAGACUCGACCUCGGCUUCGGAGGAGCCUCCACGUCGCCCGACCUAGGGCACAGGCCCGCCACGUCAACAGGAAGCGCCAUCAUCACCCUACCCCGAGCCGACUCGGGCCGCAGAGAACAAGACCGGUGUCCCAUCUGGCUAGCUCCGCCAGAUAGGCAAUGAUGGCGCCCCGCUAGCCCUGUGACGACGGCGGCUCUCAGCCCCCUUACAGAAGCAGGGGACGUCAGCAAGGACUCAACCGCUCCGACAGCUGUCCCUCCGCCAGGCUCCGUUGCUCCUCCGACAGCCACGACAUCACACCAGCAGGGUGCCAAGAUCUCUCCGGCUGCCACAUUGGCAUGUACUUAGGGCGCUAGCUCUCCCUCCGCUAGACACGUAGCACUCUGCUACAUCCCCAUUGUACACCUGGAUCCUCUCCUUACGCCUAUAAAAGGAAGGACCAGGGCCUUCUUAGAGAAGGUGGGCCGCGCGGGGACGAGGACGGGACAGGCGCUCUCUUGGGGCCGCUCGCUUCCCUCACCCGCGUGGACGCUUGUAACCCCCUACUGCAAGCGCACCCGACCUGGGCGCGGGACGAACACGAAGGCCGCGGGAUUUCCACCUCUCUCACGCCCGUCUCCGGCCACCUCGCUUUUCCCCCUUCGCGCUCGCCCACGCGCUCGACCCAUCUGGGCUGGGGCACGCGGCACACUCACUCGUCGGCUUAGGGACCCCCCCGGUCUCGAAACGCCGACAGUUGGCGCGCCAGGUAGGGGCCUGCUGCGUGCUGACGAACAGCCUCCCGUCAAGCUCCAGAUGGGCAAUCUCCAGCAACCUCUUCGGCCCGGGACGGUGCUCCGUUUCGGGAGUCUUUAGUUCAUGUCCUUCGACGGCAGCUACGACAAGAUACUCCUUCCACCGCCGCGCGACAACAACAAUGGCGGCCGACAACCCGCCCGCCGGCGGCGGAAUCGACGACAUCUUCCCCGCGUGGUGGAAGAACAACAUUCGAGCUCGCCCCGUCCUCUCCCCCGCCAACGAAGGAGGAGGCGGGGCAACCAAGGCCAAGCGGGAGGCCGCGCUUCGUCGGCUGUCGAGCGAAUCGACGUCCCCAGCGCCCCAACGGGGGGUGCGUCGGGUGUCGACCUCGCGCUUGAGACGAAGGCGAGCGUCGUCCCCCCGCGACACACCAAUCCCGAGCAAGUGGACGACGCCAGUGCGCUCGCGGAGGGCUUGCAGGACGUCGCCCUCGUACCUAAGACGACGGUGCAAUCAGUCCCCGACGUGACUAUGUCGCUCCUCGUCGACCAAAAGGUACUGACUGAUUCCCAUCUUACGUCAUUUCGACUCGGCCUCAACCCGCCUAGCGACCUUGCUUUGGCGGGCGCUCUCGUUGAGGCGAGUGCAACCCCUCUGGGGUUUCGUAUGCGGUCGCCUUGGGACCGGUUGACAGACGUCUCGACCUACGGGCCCUCUGGGUCCGAGGAAGACGACGAUCCCAGCAUCUGUUGGGAUUUCUCUGGAUUUGGCGACCCCAGUGCCAUGCGGGACUUUAUGACCGCAUGUGACUAUUGCCUCUCCGACUGUUCCGACGGUAGCCGCAGCCUUGAUGACGAGGACUGCGGCCCAAGCCGCGAAUGUUUCCACGUCGAGCUAGGGGAUCCCUCCGAAGGCAACCGUCUCGGCAUGCCAGAGGACGGUGAUCACCCUAGGCCGGUGCCUCGCGCUGACAUCCCACGGGAGCUAGCUAUGGUCCCCGUUCCGGCGGGGGGUCACGACCCACAGCUCGAGCAAGUCCGCGGGGCGCAGGCCAGGCUCGACGAGGGAGCAGGAGCGCUUGAGACGAUCCGCCGGGACGUCGGGCAGGUAUGGGCGGGCCAACCCCCGGCCGGAGAAAUACGUCACCUGCCCCAAGGUUUCCAGCACCGCGUCGCCAACGACGUCAGGGUCAAGCCGCCACCCGCAUCCAGCGGAGUCGGUCAGAACCUGGCAGCCGCAGCGAUGCUCCUUCGCGUGAUGCCGGAGCCAUCAACCACCGAGGGUCGGCGAAUCCAGGGAGAGCUCAGGAAUCUCCUGGAAGGCGCUGCGGUCCGACGGGCCGAGAGCUCUGCCUCCCGGAGGCAGGGAUACCCCUCGGAACCUCAUGCCGCGACUUCCCGAUUCAUGCGGGAAGCCUCGGUCUACACCGGGCGCACGCGCAACACCGCGCCUGCGGCCCCGGGCCACCUCGGCAACGAGCACCAUUGUCGCGACUGUCGGGCCCACCUCGACGAAAGGGUGCACCGAGGCUACCACCCCAGGCGUGGGGGACGCUAUGACAGCGGGGAGGAUCGCAGUCCCUCGCCCGAACCACCCGGUCCGCAGGCCUUCAGUCGGGCCAUCCGACGGGCGCCGUUCCCGACCCGGUUCCGACCCCCGACUACUAUCACAAAGUACUCGGGGGAAACGAGACCGGAACUGUGGCUCACAGACUACCGCCUGGCCUGCCAACUAGGUGGGACGGACGACGACAACCUCAUCAUCCGCAACCUCCCCCUGUUCCUCUCCGACACUGCUCGCGCCUGGUUGGAGCACCUGCCUCCGGGGCAGAUCUCCAACUGGGAUGACUUGGUCCAAGCCUUCGCCGGCAAUUUCCAGGGCACGUACGUGCGCCCCGGGAAUUCCUGGGACCUUCGAAGCUGCCGGCAACAGCCGAGAGAGUCACUCCGGGACUACAUCCGGCGAUUCUCGAAGCAGCGCACCGAGCUGCCCAACAUCACCGACUCGGAUGUCAUCGGCGCGUUCCUUGCCGGCACCACCUGCCGCGACCUGGUGAGUAAGUUGGGUCGCAAGACCCCCACCAGGGCGAGCGAGCUGAUGGAUAUCGCCACCAAGUUCGCCUCUUGCCAGGAGGCGGUCGAGGCCAUCUUCCGAAAGGACAAGCAGCCCCAGGGCCGCCCAUCGGAAGAGGCCCCCGAGGCGUCUACUCCGCGCGGCGCCAAGAAGAAAGGCAAGAAGAAGUCGCAAUCGAAACGCGACGUCGCCGACGCGGACCUUGUCGCCGCCGCCGAGUACAAGAACCCUCGGAAGCCCCCCGGAGGUGCUAACCUCUUCAACAAGAUGCUCAAGGAGCCGUGCCCCUACCAUCAGGGGCCCGUCAAGCACACCCUCGAGGAGUGCGUCAUGCUUCGGCGCCACUUCCACAGGGCCGGGCCGCCCGCAGAGGGUGGCAGGGCCCACGACGAUGACAAAAAGGAAGAUCACCAAGCAGGAGAGUUCCCCGAGGUCCGCGACUGCUUCAUGAUCUACGGUGGGCAUGCGGCGAAUGCCUCGGCUCGGCAUCGCAAGCAAGAGCGCCGGGAGGUCUGCUCGGUGAAGGUGGCAGCGCCAGUCUACCUAGACUGGUCCGACAAGCCCAUCACCUUCGACCAAGCUGACCACCCCGACCACGUGCCGAGCCUGGGGAAAUACCUGCUCGUCGUCGACCCCAUCAUCGGCGACGUCAGGCUCACGAAGGUCCUGAUGGAUGGGGCAGCUGCCUCAACAUCAUCUAUGCCGAGACCCUCAGGCUCCUGCGCGUCGAUCUGUCCUCCGUCCGAGCAGGCGCUGCGCCCUUCCACGGGAUCAUUCCUGGGAAGCGCGUCCAGCCCCUCGGACGACUCGACCUUCCCGUCUGCUUCGGAACGCCCUCCAACUUCCGAAGGGAGACUUUGACGUUCGAGGUGGUCGGGUUCCGAGGAACCUACCACGCGGUACUGGGAAGGCCAUGCUACGCGAAGUUCAUGGCUGUCCCCAACUACACCUACCUGAAGCUCAAGAUGUCGGGCCCCAACGGGGUCAUCACCGUCGGCCCCACGUACAAACACGCGUUCGAAUGCAACGUGGAGUGCGUGGAGUACGCCGAGGCCCUCGCCGAGUCCGAGGCCCUCGCCGAGUCCUAGGCCCUCAUCGCCGACCUGGAGAACCUCUCCAAAGAGGUGCCAGACGUGAAGCGUCAUGCCGGCAACUUCGAGCCAGCGGAGACGGUUAAGGCCGUCCCUCUCGACCCCAGCGGCGACACCUCCAAGCAGAUCCGGAUCGGUUCCGGGCUCGACCCCAAAUAGGAAGCAGUGCUCGUCGACUUUCUCCGCGCAAACGCCGACGUCUUUGCGUGGAGUCCCUCGGACAUGCCCGGCAUACCGAGGGAUGUCGCCGAGCACUCGCUGGAUAUUCGGGCCGGAGCCCGACCCGUCAGGCAGCCUCUGCGCCGAUUCGACGAGGAGAAGCGCAGAGUGAUAGGCGAGGAGAUCCACAAGCUAAUGGCAGCAGGGUUCAUCAAAGAGGUAUUCCAUCCCGAAUGGCUUGCCAACCCUGUGCUUGUGAGAAAGAAAGGGGGGAAAUGGCGGAUGUGCGUAGACUACACUGGUCUCAACAAAGCAUGUCUGAAGGUUCCCUACCCUCUGCCUCGCAUCGAUCAAAUCGUGGAUUCCACUGCUGGGUGCGAAACCCUGUCCUUCCUCGAUGACUACUCAGGGUAUCACCAAAUCCGGAUGAAAGAGUCCGACCAGCUCGCGACUUCUUUCAUCACGCCCUUCAGCAUGUACUGCUAUGUCACCAUGCCGUUCGGUUUGAGGAAUGCGGGCGCGACGUACCAGCGGUGCAUGAACCAUGUGUUCGGCGAACACAUCGGUCGCACAGUCGAGGCCUACGUCGACGACAUCGUAGUCAAGACAAGGAAGGCUUCCGACCUCCUCUCCGACCUUGAAGUGACAUUCCGAUGUCUCAAGGCGAAAGGCGUCAAGCUCAAUCCCGAGAAGUGUGUCUUCGGGGUCCCCCGGGGCAUGCUCUUGGGGUUCAUCGUCUCCAAGCGAGGCAUCGAAGCCAACCCGGAGAAGAUCGCAGCUAUCACCAGCAUGGGGCCCAUCAAGGACUUAAAAGGCGUACAGAGGGUCAUGGGAUGUCUCGCGGCCCUGAGCCGCUUCAUCUCACGCUUCGGCGAAAGAGGUCUGCCUCUGUACCGCCUCUUAAGGAAGGCCGAGUGUUUCGCUUGGACCCCUGAGACCGAGGAAGCUCUCGGGAACCUGAAGGCGCUCCUUACAAAGGCGCCUAUCUUGGUGCCCCCAGUUGAUGGAGAAGCCCUCUUGGUCUAUGUCGCCGCGACCACUCAGGUGGUUAGCGCCGCGAUUGUGGUCGAGAGGCAAGAAGAGGGGCAUGCAUUGCCCGUUCAGAGGCCAGUCUACUUCGUCAGCGAGGUACUGUCCGAAACCAAGAUCCGCUACCCACAAGUUCAGAAGCUGUUAUAUGCAGUAAUCCUGACGAGGCGGAAGUUACGACACUACUUCGAGUCUCAUCCGGUAACUGUGGUGUCAUCCUUCCCCCUGGAGGAGAUCAUCCAGUGCCGAGAGGCCUCGGGCAGGAUCGCAAAGUGGGCGGUGGAAAUCAUGGGCGAAACAAUCUCGUUCGCUCCUCGGAAGGCCAUCAAGUCCCAGGUGUUGGCGGACUUCGUAGCCGAAUGGGUCGACACCCAGCUGCCGACGGCUCCGAUCCAACCGGAGCUCUGGACCAUGUUUUUCGACGGGUCGCUGAUGAAGACGGGAGCCGGCGCGGGCCUGCUCUUCAUCUCGCCCCUCGGGAAACACCUACGCUACGUGCUACGCCUCCAUUUCCCGGCGUCCAACAAUGUGGCUGAGUACGAGGCUCUGGUCAACGGGUUGCGGAUCGCCAUCGAGCUAGGGGUCAGACGCCUCGACGCCCGCGGUGACUCGCAGCUCGUCAUCGACCAAGUCAUGAAGAACUCCCACUGCCGCGACCCGAAGAUGGAGGCCUACUGCGAUGAGGUUCGGCGCCUGGGAGACAAGUUCUACGGGCUCGAGCUUAACCACAUCGCUCGGCGCUACAACGAGACUGCGGACGAGCUGGCGAAAAUAGCCUCGGGGCGAACGACGGUUCCCCCGGACGUCUUCUCCUAGGAUCUGCAUCAACCCUCCGUCAAGAUCAACGACACGCCCGAGCCCGAGGCACCCUCGGUCCAGCCCGAGGUACCCUCGGCUCAGCCCGAGGCAUAUUCGGUUCAGCCCGAGGUACCCUCGGCCCCCGAGGGCGAGGCACUGCACGUCGAGGAGGAGCAGAGCGGGGCCACGCUUGAUCGAAAUUGGCAGACCCCGUACCUGCAAUAUCUCCGCCAAGGAGAGCUACCCCUCGACCAAGCCGAGGCUCGGCGGGUAGCGCGACGCGCCAAGUCGUUCGUCUUGCUGGGCGAUGAGGAGGAGCUCUACCACCGCAGCCCCUCAGGCAUCCUCCAGCGAUGCAUCUCCAUCGCCGAAGGUCAGGAACUCCUGCAAGAAAUACACUCGGGGGCUUGCGGCCAUCACGCAGUGCCUCGAGCCCUUGUCGGGAAUGCUUUCCGGCAAGGCUUCUACUGGCCAACGGCGGUGGCUGACGCCACUAGAAUUGUCCGCACCUGCGAAGGGUGCCAAUUCUAUGCGAAGCAGACCCACCUGCCCGCUCAGGCUCUGCAGACGAUACCCAUCACCUGGCCCUUUGCUGUAUGGGGUCUGGACCUCGUCGGUCCCUUGCAGGAGGCGCCCGGGGGCUACACGCACCUGCUGGUCGCCAUCGACAAAUUCUCCAAGUGGAUCGAGGUCCGACCCCUGAACAGCAUCAGGUCCGAGCAGGCGGUGGCAUUCUUCACCAACAUCAUCCAUCGCUUCGGGGUCCCAAACUCCAUCAUCACCGACAACGGUACCCAGUUCACCGGCAGAAAAUUCUUGGAUUUUUGCGAGGAUCACCACAUCCAUGUGGACUGGGCCGCCGUGGCUCAUCCCAUGUCGAAUGGGCAAGUAGAGCGUGCCAACGGCAUGAUUCUACAAGGGCUCAAGCCUCGAAUUUACAACGACCUCAACAAGUUCGGCAAGCGAUGGAUGAAGGAACUCCCCUCGGUGGUCUGGAGCCUGAGGACAACGCCGAGCCGAGCCACGGGUUUCACGCCGUUCUUCCUGGUCUACGGGGCCGAGGCCAUCUUGCCCACUGACCUGGAAUACGGCUCCCCGAGGACGAGGGCCUACAACGAUCAAAGCAACCAAGCUAGCCGAGAAAAAUCGCUGGACCAGCUGGAAGAGGCUCGGGACAAGGCCUUACUAUACUCGGCGCGGUACCAGCAGUCCCUGUGACGCUACCACGCCCGAGGGGUCUGGCCCCGAGACCUCCAGGUGGGCGACCUGGUGCUUCGGCUGUGGCAAGACGCCCGAGGGAGGCACAAGCUCACGCCCCCCUGGGAGGGGCCAUUCGUCAUCGCCAAAGUUCUGAAGCCCGGAACAUACAAGCUGGCCAACAAUCAAGGCGAGAUCUACGGCAACGCUUGGAACAUCAAACAACUACGUCGCUUCUACCCUUAAGAUGUUUUCAAGUUGUUCAUAUACCUCGCACCCACGCAAAGUUUAGUCAUCAAGGAAGGGUCGGCCUCGCCUCGGCAAGGCCCGACCCUCCCUCGAGGGCUAAAAGGGGGGGGACCCCCUCUGCGUCAAAAUUUUCCUCAAAAAAAGAUCUCUUUUAGCAGAAUAUCUUUCGUGCUUUUUGACUACUUCGGAAAGCGGAUCCUGAAAACGACGGAGUACACGUAAGCAGUCAAGGCUGACCGAGCCGAGGGACUCCUACGCCUCCGGGAUACGGAUACCUCACUCAUCACCUUCUGCGAUAAGUAACUCGCGUUCGGAUAAAGUGAUUCCGCGGACCGAACAUGUCUUUACGUUCGGAAGCUCUUCUGCCGAAGCGGUCCUUCAAGCCUUCUCGACUGAAUCGGUGACAGGGCCUCAUGGACGGGUGAAAGUACGCGUAAGCGGCAAGGCCGACCGAGCCGAGGGACUCCCACGCCUCCGGGAUACGGAUACCUCACUCAUCACCUUCCGCGAGAAGCAACUCUCGCUCGCACAAACAUCCCUGUUACCGACAAAAGGUCCAGAUGCUCGAAAUAGGAGGAAAGGAGACGCAGCUUUACAACGCAGCGAGGGUGUGUUUUCUGGCCUCAGCGGCCGCAGAAGGCACACGCUACAAGACAAUCUGAUCCUGCAGGCUCGGGUCUUCACGCUGGAAGGGGGCUGUAGCACCCUCGGCUUCGACGACACCUUCAGCGAGGUCUGUCCCAGCCUCAGACGGCGACACGGUCCAGGGACUUCUCCGGGAAUCCGGACCGAGCAGGCGGCUCGGCCGGUUACCCCCGGGGCCUCGGCUGACCAUCCUCCAAGGGCGCCAGCCCGGUCCGAGGCCUCGGCUGAUCAACUCCGGCGUCGGUCCCGCUGACGGACAACCCGGCUAGGCUCCGGCCAACCAGGUUUUCAUUUUCGAGCCAACUCCGCCUCUGUUCGUGCUGAUAUCGCUACCCCUGGCCUCGGCUCAUCGAAGAGCGGCCAAGGGGUCUCUUUAACUAAGCUAGAGGAGCCUCAGACAACAAGGCCGAUCGAGCCGAGGGACUCCUACGCCUCCGGGAUACGGAUACCUCACUCGUCACCUUGACACGGGGCGACUCAUGCUUGGUGAAGCGGUUUAGAUAAUCAACAGGCGAGACUUAGUGCUCGAAAAUGAGGAAAAGACACGGCUCCGUGCCGAAAUUACAUACAUGUUCAGGCCUCGACAGCCACAAUGAACAAAAACACUGGCAUUCAAAGUGCCAUUACAAACGGAACUCCGGUUCCCCCUCCGCAGGUACGAACAACCCCACUCCGUGGGGGAAGGCCUGCGGAGCAACAGAAGACCGACGAACGGCGCGCCGUCACCUGCUCCAGCAGCGGCGACGACGACGACUUCUGCUCCGGGGGGCCGAACAGCGGCAGCACUGACCUCAGGGCGGAUGCUGCUGCCAGGAGGCCCCCGCCCAUGCCAAAACUUGUGAGGCAAGGACGGGCAGAAGGCCGUAGAGUUGAAGGUCGGUCCGUGGCCGGCCUUGGCUAUCUCGCCGGCAGAAGAACCUCUUCAAGCUGCCGUGGCGGACGCCGGCGCCGCGAGCGGCUCCGAAGCCACUCGCGUCCGAGAGCCAGGCACGGUGCAGCUGCCAGCGCCACGAACGACGACCGCCCUUCCCUCCGAUAAUUGAGUGAAGGAGCGGGCCGCCGCCCAUGCGGGGGCCGACCUCAACUCGGCACACUCCCCUCCCCAGCCCUGGUGAUGAAAAUCCUUGAGGCUGAGGGAGGGGCAGAGGCCGCAGCCCGGCUCGCUUUCCCCCACCAUCAAGCCGGAGGUCACCAUCUUGGGUGACCACCGACGGGGGGAUACAGCCGGGCUGCAUGAUGAAAAUCCUUGAAGCCGAACGAUGGCUGAAAGGUACCAACUCCCACGGAGUUGCGUUCCUCCAACGAUGAGGCGGAAAGACGGCGGUUACCCCCCAUCCGGGGGCUUGGAAGGUGGAAAGACACGACGCAUAAGGGAGGAAGAAGACAUGGUCGCCCUCCGAAAGGGGUCACCCUCCUUUUAAAGGCAAUUCUCCCUACGUGCGCCCCCAAACGUCACGGGCUGAGUCUUCUCCAACACGCUCCAAGGCCCUCCCCUGCGGCGCGGGGGCUGGGUCCCGCAUGUCAUGCAAACCGGCGCAGAGCAGAAGAAGCCACACCGCCGCGCGUGGCGCACACAACCGCCCAGCAGUUACAAGCGACCCCCCACUUUUGCCCAGACCAAUGGGCGGAAGGGGCGGGCAGCCAUGCAGGCGGCAUGCAACCGCGCCAGGUGGACGCGCUUCUCCGACUCCCAACACGCCAGCAUGGAGGCCCAGGCCCACGCGUCACGCAACCGGCGCGCCAGAUGCUGCAUGCAAGCAACUGCACCGCCAUUUGCGCCACCACCGCGCCUCUUCGGUUACGGAACCAAUACCGCGACUCAAGGCGGCCCAGCGCACGACCCAGCAGCGCCAGCCUGGCGCGACGGUCAAUGCAGCCGAAAGUGGGCCGGCAGUGAUGACGGUGGCAGGCGGGCGGGAGCGGCGGUCACGUCGUCGGCCAGACUCACGUCCCAUCCAGGGGCAGCAAGAGAACCCCCUCUCACGGCGUGAAGAUAGGGCGCCCGUGAUCCGUUCCUCGAACGGCUCGCGCACGCGCAACGGCCGCCCCGCCAACCACUCGCCCCAUCGCACUAACUCCGCGGUGGGACAGGCGGCGCUUCUGGCAGGAGAAGCGGGCGACGCUUCGCCUUCGCCGUAAUAACCGCGUCAAAAAAAGGUACGCCACGUCGUUCGAUUUCGUAUCCUUUUCCUUUUUUCCUCUUUCUCUAUCUCUUGCAACAGGGACCGGGAAAGGGGGAUACCCUGAAAAGGAUCCUUCCCUGUGAAGGAACCGGGCUCCGAGCCCCCCUACUGAUCAGAGGUUCGAAGGCUGGCCCUCCGAGGGGUUCAACAGUCGCCUCAGAUCGCGUGGGCCCUACACCCACUACUGGUCAGAGGUUCGAAGGCCGGCCCCCCCGAAGGGCUCCACGGCCGCCUCAGGCUACUCGGGCUCCGCGCCCAUUACUGAUCAGGGGUUCGAAGGCUGGCCCCCGAAGGGUUCACAGUCGCCUCAGACGCCGAGCGAGGGAUAACCAGGGAUACGUUCGAUACAUAACCGAGGCUCGGGCUGCGCUCCCGAGGUACCCUAGGACAUUUCCGAGACCAGCGGGAGCGAUCUUGUAACGGAAUCCCAUCAGAGGGAGGUAUCGAGCCCUCGGACCCCGUCGCCAGGGGACCGGGUCCGGCAGAUCACCCGCAGGUACUUUUGGGCGUGCCUCUGGGCCCCUAGCCGACCCCCAACAAACGGGGCACGGACGUCCACUCGGAUUACCCGCUUGCAGCUCACCGGAGACACCAUGUUCGGUGCCCAUCGAGGGUAACAUGGCGCUCUCCCCCUCUCCUCCUUGCAGAAAGGCGACGUAGGGGCGUAUGUAAAAAAGCCGAGUCUGUCCCUGAUCGCCCUCUCACCCUGUGCGGAGGCUCGGGGGCUGCUCUCGCAAACCCGGCUCCGGCCGAACCGUUGACAGCGUCAACAUACCAGCCCGAGAGCUUGGGCCCCGACCGUGCACCCGGGCUACGGCCAGUUCGCAUGAGGGAACAACCAGACCAGCCGAAGCAUUACGCAAGGCAUUAAGACCUCGGGGGAGUGAAACCACUCCUCCGAGGCCUCAGGGGCUACACCCGGCGGGUGCGCUCGCGCGCACCCACCGGAACAAAAUGCAACCGAGAAAGGCUGGUCCCCUUGCAAAAAAGUGCGACGAAAGCCUCCAAGCGAGUGCUAACACUCCCUUCGAGGCUCGGGGGCUACUGUCGGGGACCAUAAUUAGGGGUACCCUCAAGACGCCUAAUUCUCAGCUGGUAACCCCCAUCAGCAUAAAGCUGCAGAGGCCUGAUGGGUGCGAUUAAGUCAGGGAUCAGUCCAUACGAGCGACUCGAUCACGCCUCGCCCGAGCCUAGCCUCGGGCAAGGGCAGCCGACCCCGAGGGAUUUCCGUCUCGCCCGAGGCCCCCCUUUAACGGCGGACACAUCUCCGGCUCGCCCGAGGCCUUGCCUUCGCUAAGAAGCAACCCUGACUAAAUCGCCGCGCCGACCGACCGAGUCGCAGGAGCAUUUAACGCAAAGGUAGCCUGACACCUUUAUCCUGACGCGCGCCCCCCGGCAGAGCCGAAGUGACCGCCGUCACUUCGCCGCUCCACUGACCGAUCUGACAGAAGGACAGCGCCGCCUGCGCCACUCCGACUGCAGUGCCAUUUGACAGAGUGAGACUGUCAGGCAGUCAGGCCUUGCCAAAGGCGCCAUAGGAAACUCCGCUCCGCCCGACCGAGGGCUCGGACUCGGGCUAAGCCCCGGAAGACGGCGAACUCCGCACCGCCCGACCCAGGGCUCGGACUCGGGCUAAGCCCCGGAAGACGGCGAACUCCGCACCGCCCGACCCAGGGCUCGGACUCGGGCUAAGCCCCGGAAGACGGCGAACUCCGCUCCGCCCGACCCAGGGCUCGGACUCGGGCUAGGCCCCGGAAGACGGCGAACUCCGCUCCGCCCGACCCAGGGCUCGGACUCGGGCUAGGCCCCGGAAGACGACGAACUCCGCUCCGCCCGACCUAGGGCUCGGACUCGGGCUCAGCCCCAGAAGACGACGAACUCCGCUUCGCCCGACCCCAGGGCUCGGACUCCGCCCUGGCCUCUGCCGAACAACCUCCGCCUCGCCCGACCCAGGGGCUCGGGCUCGGCCUCGGCCAUGGAAGACAGACUCGACCUCGGCUUCGGAGGAGCCUCCACGUCGCCCGACCUAGGGCACAGGCCCGCCACGUCAACAGGAAGCGCCAUCAUCACCCUACCCCGAGCCGACUCGGGCCGCAGAGAACAAGACCGAUGUCCCAUCUGGCUAGCUCCGCCAGAUAGGCAAUGAUGGCGCCCCGCUAGCCCUGUGACGACGGCGGCUCUCAUCCCCCUUACGGAAGCAGGGGGACGUCAGCAAGGACUCAACCGCUCCGACAGCUGUCCCUCCGCCAGGUUCCGUUGCUCCUCCGACAGCCACGACAUCACACCAGCAGGGUGCCAAGAUCUCUCCGGCUGCCACAUUGGCAUGUACUUAGGCGCUAGCUCUCCCUCCGCUAGACACGUAGCACUCUGCUACAUCCCCAUUGUACACCUGGAUCCUCUCCUUACGCCUAUAAAAGGAAGGACAAGGCCUUCUUAGAGAAGGUUGGCCGCGCGGGGACGAGGACGGGACAGGCGCUCUCUUGGGGCCGCUCGCUUCCCUCACCCGCGUGGACGCUUGUAACCCCCUACUGCAAGCGCACCUGACCUGGGCGAGGGACAAACACGAAGGCCGCGGGAUUUCCACCUCUCUCACGCCCGUCUCCGGCCACCUCGCUUUCCCCCUUCGCGCUCGCCCACGCGCUCGACCCAUCUGGGCUGGGGCACGCGACACACUCACUCGUCGGCUUAGGGACCCCCCGGUCUCGAAACGCCGACAUUAAUAUACUAGUUUUUCAGCAGAGACUGUUAAGUUGAACUUCCGCCUAGAACUCCAAGCUACACCAACCCACAACUUGGACAAUGGACUAUGCCUUGAAUUGCAAGUUUUGCGUGAAUGGGUUUCACUUGAAGUCAUGACCAGUACUUGGCUACCAGUAGUCCCCUUCUCGGGUGGAGCAUAUACGUCGUACUCCAAGGUCUCUUCAUGAGUUUACUAGAGAUCACCCAAAUCUCAUAGACUGCGAUGUUAGACAGUCUAACUCAUAUAGGUGUGUUCUUUCAAAGAAUGUUCUGCAGGACAACAUCUUCGCUAAUACAAGCCAACAGAACACAUUAAGGCACAAAGCCAACCUGCCUUACAGCAUUUGAGAGUAUUGCAUCUUUACUUAGAGAGGGUCAAAGGUUACUCUCCUUAGUUCACCAAUGGCUUGUUCUUCCCAGGACCUAAUUCACGGGAUCUCCGAUCACAUAGACUGGGUUUCCACCAUGGCAACUUUAUUCGGGUCUCAUACCCAUCUCUCUCGAUGCGAUUUCUAUCACAUUACGUGGUAGUCCCUUGGUAAAAGGAUCUGCCAGAUUUUUAUCUGUUGAAAUAUAAGUCACACUUAUAACUCCGGAGUUUCUCAACUUUCUGACAGACUUCAAUCGUCUUUUGACAUGUCUUGAUGACUUUCCAUUAUCCUUAGAACUCGUCACUUUAGCAAUCACUGUCUGAUUGUCACAGUUCAUAAGGAUAGCUGGUAUUGGUUUCUCAACCACCGGCAAGUCCAUCAAGAGUUCACGCAACCAUUCUGCCUCAACGGUUGCUGUGUCAAGUGCAGCUAGCUCGGCUUCCAUGGUUGACCUCGUCAAAAUGGUCUGCUUGCAUGACCUCCAUGAUACCGCACCUCCACCAAUAGUAAAGACAUAACCACUGGUGGCAUAAAGCUCGUCUGCAUCAGAUAUCCAGUUCGAAUCACUAUAUCCUUCAAGUACUGCAUGCUGACCAGAAUAGUGAAUUCCAUAACUCAUUGUACCUUGCAGGUAGCGCAUAACCCGCUCAAGUGCAUGCCAAUGAUCAGUCCCGGGGUUUGACAUGAACCUACUCAAUUUGCUCACAGCAAACGAGAUAUCGGGCCUUGUUGCACCAGCAAGAUACAUGAGUGAACCGACAAUCUGAGAGUAUCUCAAUUGGUCUAAACCAAUUCUCUUGUUCUUUCGCAGUGUCACACUGGGAUCAUAAGGUGUUGGAGAAGGUUUGCACUCAGAGAAGCCAAAUCGCUUCAAAACCUUUUCAACAUAGUGAGAUUGCGAGAGAGUAAUCCCACCAUCUGCCUUAAUCAGCUUGAUGUUUAGAAUCACAUCAGCUUCUCCCAGAUCUUUCAUAUCAAAACUCUUUGAUAGAAAAGACUUGACUUCAUUGAUCACAUCAAUGUUUGUGCCAAAUAUCAAUAUAUCAUCAACAUAUAAGCACAAUAUAACUCCUUCGCCCCCACCACAGCGAUAAUAUACACACCUGUCUGCCUCAUUAAUGGCAAAGCCUGCAGACGUUAGAGUCGUGUCAAACUUCUCAUGCCACUGCUUUGGUGCUUGCUUCAGACCAUACAAAGAUUUCAAUAAUUUGCACACCUUGCUUUCUUGACCCUUUACUACAAAUCCAUCAGGCUGUUCCAUAUAGAUUUCCUCGUCCAGCUCUCCAUUAAGAAAAGCUGUCUUUACAUCCAUCUGAUGAACAAGGAGACCAUACGAGGCAGCCAAAGAAAGUAGUACUCGAAUAGUGGUCAUUCUAGCAACAGGUGAGUAAGUAUCAAAGAAGUCUUCUCCUUCUUUCUGAGUAUAGCCUUUAGCCACAAGCCUAGCCUUGUACUUUUCAAUUGUACCAUCAGGCUUGAGCUUCUUUUUAAACACCCACUUACAACCCACAGGUUUGCAUCCAUAGGGUCGAUCAGUGACUUCCCACGUACCAUUUGAAAGAAUGGAGUCCAUCUCAUUAUGAACUGCUUCUUUCCAAUCAUCUGCAUCUGAAGAUGCAAAUGCUUCUGCAAUGGUAGUAGGAGUAUCGUCCACAAGGUACACAAUGAAAUCAUCACCAAAGGAUUUUUCAACCAUUUGUCUCUUGCUCCUUUUAGGAGCAUCAUUGUCAUCCUCCUCUAGGACAAUUUCAUGUGGCUGUUCAAAACUCUCAAUAGGUGUACUAUGUUCAGGAGUUAUCUCAGAAGAGUAUCUAGAAUUGCUAUGAAUGUCUUUCAUUGGAAAUAUAUGUUCAAAGAAAGUAGCAUCACGAGAUUCCAUAAUAGUAUCAACAUACACAUCAGGAACUUCAGAUUUAACUACUAAAAAUCUAUAUGCUAUGCUACACGAAGCAUAUCCAAGAAAGACACAAUCCACUGUCCUUGGACCAAGCUUGCGCUUUUUAUUAAUUGGUACAUUGACUUUCGCCAUGCACCCCCAAGUGCGCAAGUAUGAAAGUGAUGGUUUUCUCCCAACCCACUUCUCAUAAAGGGUUUUCUCUUCUUUGCCCAUAGGAAUUCUAUUCAGAACAUGACAUGAAGUCAGGACUGCCUCCCCCCACCAUGCCUUAGAUAAACCACAAGUGUCUAACAUGGCAUUCACCAGGUCAGUCAACGUACGGUUUUUCCUUUCAGCAAUCCUGUUUGACUUGGGUGAAUAGGGAGGAGUCCUCUCAUGAAUAAUGCCAUGUUCUGCGCAGAAAUCGUCAAAGACUUUGGGAAAGAACUCGCCACCAUGAUCUGAUCUAAGACGUUUGAUCUUUCUCUCUAGUUGGUUUUCAACCUCAGCCUUAUAGAUUUUAAAGUAGUCUAAAGCCUCAUCUUUAGUUUUUAGCAAGUAUACAUAGCAAAAUCUAGACGCAUCAUCAAUCAAUGUCAUGAAGUAUCUCUUACCACCUUUUGUCAACACACCAUUCAUCUCACAAAGAUCAGAAUGUAUGAGUUCUAGUGGUGCCAGGUGUCUCUCCUCAGCAGCCUUAUGAGGCUUUCGAGGUUGCUUCGACUGCACACAACUAUGGCACUUAGAACCUUUGACUAUGGUGAUAUUCGGAAUUAAACUCAUGGUUGCAAGCCGAGACAUAGAGCCAAAAUUAAUAUGACACAAACGAGAAUGCCAAAUACUCGCAAGAUCAUCAACAUUAGCACAAAUAUGGUUCACAGACUUAUUAUUGAAAUCUAACAAAGAAAAGCGGAACAAGCCUCCGCAAUCAUAGCCUUUACCAAUAAAUUGUCCAGACUUGGACACAACUAAUUUAUUGGACUCCAAAACUACCUUGAACCCAUCUCUACAUAGAAGGGUUCCGCUAACGAGAUUCUUGUGUAUAGAAGGGACAUGAUGCACGUUCUUCAGCUGCACGAUCUUUCCCGAAGUAAACUUCAGAUCCACCGUGCCAGUGCCAUGAACAGAAGCAUGUGACCCAUUCCCCAUUAGCACGGAAGAAUCCCGGGCGCCCUGAUAAGAGGAGAACAAGUUGAUGUCAGAACACACAUGAACAUUAGCACCAGUAUCAAGCCACCAGCUAGGUGAUUGAAAUACUGAGAAGAUGAAAGGUAAAUUAUCAUACCCUUUGUCUUCCUCAUUGCUAGCGACCACUAUGUUGACAUUGCCCUUUUUGCCACGGCGAUCCGCUCGAUCGGGACAAUCCUUGGCAAAAUGACCCGCCUCGCCACAUGCGAAACAUGUCAAUUCAGCCUUGUUCUUCUUCUUGAAGUUGGUAGUUUUGUUGGGCUUGUUAGAUUUUGGCUUUCCUUUCCCCUUGUUGUGGUUCCUUUGAACCAUGUUGGCGCUGGAGUUGCCCUCGCCUCCUUUAGAUCCCGUGUCCUUAGCCCGAGCUUUCUCCUCAACAUCUAGAGACGCUAUCAGAUUUUCAACUGAUAUCUCCUGUCUCUUAUGUUUCAGAGCUGUGGCGAAGUUUCUCCAUGUAGAAGGCAACUUUGCAAUAAUGCACCCAGCCACAAAUCGGUCAGGAAGGACUAUCUUAAGGUGGUCGAGUUCCUUGGCUAUACACUGUAUUUCAUGAGCUUGCUCUACAAUAGAGCGAUUAUCAACCAUCUUAUAAUCAUGAAAGCUCUCCAUGAUAUACAGGUCACUGCCAGCAUCUGAUGCACCAUACUUAGUAGUAAGUGCAUCCCACAACUCUUUCCCGUCCGUGUAUUGCAUAUUCGCAUCAACCAGACGGUCAACAAGGGCGCUAAGAACGGCUCCCGUGAACAUAGUAUUGGCAUGGUCGUACUCUUUCUCCUGUUCAGGAGUCAGUGGACCCUCAGGUCUGCCUUUACUAACAUGGAAGACAUUCAUAGCAGUAAGCCAGAGCGUGGCCUUGACUUGCCAUCUCUUAAAGUGCAUACCAUUAAACUUUUCUGGCUUCAGCGCGUCGGCAAAAGCAGCCAUAGAAAAACUAGGAAAUUGUCUACAAUAAGGUUUUUGGAUUGUUGAAUAAUUAGACAAAUUCCAAAUUAAAUUCCGAAUAUAAAUCAUGACCAAAUCAGAAGAACUGAAAUAAAAGCCAAAUCAGAUGAUGCGUACUGAUUAGACUUACUGAUUGUUGGCGCGCGCCAGGAUCAGCUGGGUCGACGAUGUCAGAAGAUCACGAGCAGUCGCGUGAAGACGCUUCCCAAAAACCUUAUUCGCCCUCUCCCGGUGCAGGAUCUAGAAGACGAAGGGUUCCGGAGACCUGCUCUCCUGAUCGCAGAUGCACCUCUGCGGUCGGAACGAAGGGAACUAAAAGGCGGCUCAGCUAUGAAGAGAGGCGAAAGCGAACUGGGAUCUGGGAUGAUUUGGAGGCUGGCUGCCGGGCUCCUUUUAUAGGGCCGAGUCCGCGACCCCCGUGCUUAUCCGCCCACGAAAAUCUCGCAAUCAAUUGAGAUUUUAUAGCGAUCGGUUAGGAUAAGCGUAACAGCCAAGAAACCAAAAAAUCAAACGGCAAAAGGUAGCCACGCCCCCGCAAGGCGAGGGGCCGGAUUUCGGCGGACCAUUCACGCGCAUGUCAUGCGCCCGCGCCCUUCGCCCCGCCCCGCCCCGCCCCGCCCCGGCCCAGCCAGGCCAGGCCAGGCCAGGCCAGGCGAGGCGAGCGAGCGCGCGCGCGCGUGGCUCUCCACACUCUCUCCUCUCAUCCAUGACUUGGUGAGUGAGUGUGGCUUCCAUAUUUAAGCUAGCUCUACUCCACUAGAGCUAGCAAUAUGGUGCUAAUGGUUCCACCUAUCCUCUAGCCAUCCUCUUGUAUGGCUUUUGAGAUUUUCUGGGAUUUAUUUGAAUUUCUUAAUUGGGCCAAGCCCAUAAAUCCUAACAUAUCAUUCACAUCACAUUAUAUAUCAAUCACAUCACAUAAUGAACACAUUUAUCAUCAACACCAUAUAUAUCACAAAGUCUCACAAAAGUCUCACAAAACAGAUCACAAGUCUCAAUAAAGUCAGAAUCAUCACAAAACAGAUAUAAGUCUGCAUCAUCACUAACAUCACCAAGUAUCUCACAAGAUAAAGUCUAACUAACAUCACCAACACUCAUAAAGGUAAGUCUGGAUCAUCACAAAACAGAUCAUCAAUGAGGUGGGCAUCUGGACUGGUUCGGCGAAGGGCUGGACGAAGCAUGAGGGUUGUUCGACGCCGCUGAUUGACCCUGCACAGAGAAGAGAUUGUAUGUGUGAGAACAUAUGAAUAUAUAUCAUGCAGUACUAAAAUUUUGAUACUCACAGGAGUAGUGAACUCUGUAGGGUCAGCUGCAGGGAACAACGGAGGUGGUGGAGCAUGACCCUGUGCGGCGCCAAGGCUCUGCAUGUACGCGAACAUCUCCGCCAUCCUCUUCUCCAGCUCCUCACGUUGCCUCCUCUCAUCAUCUAGCUGAGUCUGUAAUAUUUUGCCCUAAUGUUACGAUAAUGCAAAGAGAAGAUAUAUAAAAGUCAAUGAACGAUGAAUAGAUAAGGAAUAACCUGGAGUUGCUGGAUACGAUGCUGUGAGGUGUCCUGCCGAGGUCGUAUGGCUGGGCUCGCGCUCGUGCUCCUUGCUCGCACCUGAGAGAGAGUGGGAGUGGAGGACGAGUCGAUUGCCCCGUCGGCAAUCCAGUACCGCCCAUGCCUCUUGCCUCCUCCGACCCUCAUGAGGACAUCUCCGUCGAUGUCCAUGGUCCUCGGAUCGUAAUCUGGCCCAUGGACCUCCUUGGCCAUGGCGGUGUACUCACUGAGUCGGCUGUGGAUGGCGGGGUUGGUGUACGCCUCAGGCCCGUCAUCCGGGUUGUAGGUGACGUCGGACGUCGCCUUCCCCUUGUGGGCCAUGGCAUAUGCCGAGAACGUGGAGCAAGGCGCGCCACCAUGUGCCGCCGACUACGAGAAAACCAACGAGAUGGUUAGAAAUCAUGUCUAAUCGAAAGUUAUAUACCUAAAUAAAAAAGAGUGCAUACCCAUGCUUCCGCGUAUUUGCCCAGGCUGCGGCUGCCUUGAUGGUGGGAGGGACCUUGCAUCAGCAAACGCCGUUCCCGGCUAGCGUUGUGCGCCUCAUCCCACUCAGCCGAGCACCACCUCUGCACCAUCUGCUCCCAGCACUCAGGAUGCGCGGCGCACCAAUGAGGAAUCAUCUAAAAAAAUAUAAGUACACAGCAUAUCAGAAGAAAAAAAUAAGCAUAUUUAGUACCAAUAAUAAAGUUUUGUAUUUACCUGCAAGUACUGGUCCGGAGUCAACGACAUGGUUCGGGCGUCCUUCUUGUUCACCUUCUCCCCAAGGACGGAGCCGUGGUAAGUGACGAUGGCCUGGAUGCGCGCCUCGUAGUGCAUGUCCACGACGAGCUUCUUACAGCACGUCGUAGACACCACAUCCGCCUUGGCCUCGUAUCCAGCAUCGCACCUGAAGAAAUCCUACAUACAAAGACAAUGUAUCCAUACAUUAUUUCAAGAAUAUGCAACAAAUGCGACUUAUUAAACAAUAUAGUGCGAGGAAGACUUACCCACAGCUCUUGCUUCACCCGCUCCGCCUUGUUGUUGAAUUGUCUGCCGUCCCGAUCUACUGCAUCGGGGGCGACGACGUAGUGGUCGAAGGUGUAUGCUGGGCUCGUCACUCCGGCGUACUCGACAAGUCCAGGGAAGUGUUCCCGGCAUAGAAGGCCGAGGAUGCCAUUGGGGUUGCGGCCGUGACCCCCUGCAGUCUCCAAAACCAUCCAAGACCUGUCCAAGUGAUUAAGAUGAAGUAUUAGUUUCUAUUAUUAAUUUGAACAUAUAAUAUGAAAAAGCAGCAACAACAUCUAAAGUUACCUACCUCUCUCCAUCGGGUCGUAUCAGCGGACGUCUGUCACGAAGUAUGGGUCGCUUAGGGAGGCUCGCGGGACCUCGCAGGUAGAUACUUGUCGGCGUUUCGAGACCAGGGGGUCCCUCGGGCCGAUGAGUGAGUGUCGCCGCGUGCCCCAGCCCAGAUGGGUCGAGCGCGUGGGCGAGCGCGAAGGGGGGAAGGAGCGAGGCGGCCGGUGACCGGCGUGAGAGAGGUGGGAAUCCCGCGGCCUUCGUGUUCGUCCCGCGCCCAGGUCGGGUGCGCUUGCAGUAGGGGGUUACAAGCGUCCACGCGGGAGAGGGAAGCGAGCGGCCCCAAGAGAGCGCCUGUCCCGUCCUCGUCCCCGCGCGGCCAACCUUCUCUAAGAGGGCCCUAGUCCUUCCUUUUAUAGGCGUAAGGAGAGGAUCCAGGUGUACAAUGGGGGUGUAGCAGAGUGCUACGUGUCUAGCGGGGGAGAGCUAGCGCCCUAAGUACAUGCCGAUGUGGCAGCCAGAAAGAUUUUGGCACCCAGCUGGUGUGAUGUCGUGGCCGUCGGAGGAGCGACGGAGCCUGGCGGAGGGACAGCUGUCGGAGCGGUUGAGUCCUUGCUGACGUCCUCCUGCUUCCGUAAGAGAGCUGAGAGCCGCUGUCGUCACAGAGCAUGCGGGGCGCCAUCAUUGCCUAUCUGGCGGAGCUAGCCAGAUGGGACACCGGUCUUGUUCUCUGCGGCCCGAGUCAGCUCGGGGUAGGGUGAUGAUGGUGCUUCCUGUUGACGUGGCUGGCUUGCGCCCUAGGCUGGGCGACAUGGAGGCUCCUCCAAAGCCGAGGUCGAGUCUGUCUUCCAUGGCCGAGGCCGAGUCCGAGCCCCUGGGUCGGGCGAGGCGGAGGUCGUUCGGUAGAGGCCAGGGCGGAGUUCGAGCCCUGGGGUCGGGCGAAGCGGAGUUUGUCGUCUUCUGGGGCUGAGCCCAAGUCCGAGCCCUGGGGUCGGGCGGAGCGGAGUUCGUCGUCUUCUGGGGCUGAGCCCAAGUCCGAGCCCUAGGGUCGGGCGGAGCGGAGUUCGUCGUCUUCCGGAACCUAGCCCGAGUCCGAGCCCUGGGUCGGGCGGAGCGGAGUUCGCCGUCUUCCGGGACCUAGCCCGAGUCCGAGCCCUGGGUCGGGCGGAGCGGAGUUCACCGUCUUCCGGGACCUAGCCCGAGUCCGAGCCCUGGGUCGGGCGGAGCGGAGUUCGCCGUCUUCCGGGACCUAGCCCGAGUCCGAGCCCUGGGUCAGGCGGAGCGGAGCUUCCUAUGGUGCCUUUGGCAGGGCCUGACUGCCUGCCAGUCUCACUCUGUCAAGUGGCACUGCAGUCGGAGUGGCGCAGGUGGCGCUGUCCUUCUGUCAGGCCGGUCAGUGGAGCGGUGAAGUGACGGCGGUCACUUCGGCUCUGCUGGGGGGCGUGCGUCAGGAUAAAGGUGUCAGGCCACCUUUGCGUUAAAUGCUCCUGCGAUUCGGUCGGUCGGUGCGGCGAUUUAGUCAGGGUUGCUUCUUAGCGAAGGCAGGGCCUCGGGCGAGCUGGAGAUGUGUCCGCCGUUGGAGGGGGGCCUCGGGCGAGACGGAAAUCCUCCGGGGUCGGCUGCCCUUGUCCGAGGCUAGGCUCGGGCGAGGCAUGAUCGAGUCGGUCGAAUGGACUGAUCCCUGACUUAAUCGCACCCAUCAGGCCUUUGCAGCUUUAUGCUGAUGGGGGUUACCAGCUGAGAAUUAGGAGUCUUGAGGGUACCCCUAAUUAUGGUCCCUGACAGUAGCUCCCGAGCCUCGAAGGGAGUGUUAGCACUCGCUUGGAGGCUUUCGUCGCACUUUUUUGCAAGGGGACCAGCCUUUCUCGGUUGCAUUUUGUUCCGGUGGGUGCGCGCGAGCGCACCCGCCGGGUGUAGCCCCCGAGGCCUCGGGGGAGUGGUUUCGCUCCUCCGAGGUCUUAAUGCCUUGCGUAAUGCUUCGGCUGGUCUGGUUGUUCCCUCAUGCGAACUGGCCGUAGCCCGGGUGUACGGUCGGGGCCCAAGUUCUCGGGCUGGAAUGUUGACGCUGUUAACGGUUCGGCCGGAGCCGGGUUUGCGAGAGCAGCCCCCGAGCCUCCGCACAGGGCGAGAGGGCGAUCAGGGACAGACUCGGCUUUUUUACAUACGCCCCUGCGUCGCCUUUCCGCAAGGAGGAGGGGGGGGGGGAAAGCGCCAUGUUACCCUCGAUGGGCGCCGAACAUGGUGUCUCCGGUGAGCUGCAAGCGGGUAAUCCGAGUGGACGUCCGUGCCCCGUUCGUUAGGGGUCGGCUAGGGGCCCAGAGGCACACCCAAAAGUACCUGCGGGUGAUCUGCCGGACCCGGUCCCCUGGCGACGGGGUCCGAGGGCUCGAUGCCUCCCUCUGAUGGGAUUCCGUUACAAGAUCGCUCCCGCUGGUCUCGGAAAUGUCCUAGGGUACCUCGGGAGCGCAGCCCGAGCCUUGGUUAUGUAUCGAACGUACCCUUGGUCAUCCCUCGCUCGGCGUCUGAGGCGGCUGUGAACCCUUCGGGGCCAGCCUUCGAACCCCUGAUCAGUAAUGGGCGCGGAGCCCGAGUAGCCUGAGGCGGCCGUGGAACCCUUCGGGGGGGGGGGGCGGCCUUCGAACCUCUGACCAGUAGUGGGUGUAGGGUCCACGCGAUCUGAGGCGGCUGUUGAAACCCUUCGGGGGGCCAGCCUUCGAACCUCUGAUCAGUAAGGAGGCUCGGAGCCUGGUUCCUUCACGGGGAAGGAUCUUUUUCGGGGUAUCCCCCUUUCCCGGUCCCUGUUGCAAGAGAUAGAGAAAGAGGAAAAACGGAAAAGGAUACGAAAUCGAACGACGCGGCAUACCUUUUUUGGCGCGGUUAUUACGGCGAAGGCGAAGCGUCGCCCGCUUCUCCUGCCAUAGGUGCCGCCUGUCCCGCCGCGGAGUUAAUGCGACGGGGCGAGUGGUUGGCGGGGCGGUCGUCGCGCGUGCGCGAGCCGUUCGAGGAACGGAUCACGGGCGUGUUGUCUUCACGCCGUGAGAGGAGGUUCUCUUGCUGCCCCCGGAUGGGACGUGAGCUUGGCUGACGACGUGACCGCUGCUCCCGCCCGCCUGCCACCGUCAUUACUGCCGGCCCACUUUCGGACGCAUUGACCGCCGCGCCAGGCUGGCGCUGCUGGGUCGUGUGCUGGGUCGCCUUGAGUCGCGGUAUUGGUUCUGCAACCGAAGAGGCGCGGUGGUGGCGCAAGUGGCGGUGCAGUCGCUUGCACGCAGCAUCUGGCGCGCCGGUUACAUGACGCGUGGGCCUGGGCCUUCAUGCUGGGCGUGUCGGGAGUCGGAGAAGCGCGUCCACUUGGCGCGGUUGCAUGCCGUCUGCAUGGCUGCCCGCCUCUUUCGCCCGUUGGUCUGGGCAAAAGUGGAGGGUCACUUGUAACCGCUGGGCGGUUGUGUGCACCACGCGCGGCGGUUUGGCUUCUUCUGCUCCGAGCCGGUUUGCAUGACAUGCGGGACCCAGCCCCCGCGCCGCAGGGGAGGGCCUUGGAGCGUGUUGGAGAAGACUUAGCCCGUGACGGUUGGGGGCGCAAGUAGGGAGAGUUGCCUUUAAAAGGAGGGCGACCCCUUUCGGAAGGCGACCAUGUCUUCUCACUCCCUUAUGCAUCGCGUCUUUCCACCUUCCAAGCCCCCGGAUGGGGGAUACCCGCCGUCUUUUCGCCUCAUCGUUGGAGGAACGCAACUCCGUGGGAGUUGGUACAUUUCAGCCAUCGUUCGGCUUCAAGGAUUUUCAUCACACGGCCCGGUUGCUCCCCUCCGCUGGUGGUCACCCAAGACGGUGACCUCUAGCUCCUGGAUGGGGAGAGGCAAGCCGGGCUGUGAUCCCGAUCCCGCCCUCAGCAUCGAGGGUGUUCGUCAUCCUUGCUGGGGCGGGGAGCGAGGCGAGUCGGGGCUCUACCUCCUGCGCGGGUCGGCGGGCCACCUCUUCUUCCAGCUUCUGGUGGUGGCAAUCGCCCUCCAGCCCUAUGGCGGAGACGUCCUCCAGCCAUGCCGGGGAAGGCGAACUAUUGCUGCCCAGCUAGGAUGCAACAUUCCGCCCUCUCCCUCGCAUUCGCGGCGAGGACGGCAGCGAGGACCUGCCGGUGCGCUUGGGAGUGGCCCGCUCUUUGGCUUUAAUAGCUGGUUCACGUCCCUUGAGCGGGACCGCGAACGAGAGCCCUCCGGUGGCCGCGUCCACCCGGGACCAUGGCUGCUGCUGCAGAGGUCGUUGGCAGGUCCCCCGACGUUCGUCGCUCCGCAGGCUCGAGGUUGCUCAUACCCGUGGGGGACGGAACCAGAGUUCCGUUUGUAAUGGCAUUUUGAAUGCCAGUGUUUUUGUUCAUUAUGGCUGUCGAGGCCUGAACAUGUAUGUAAUUUUGGCACGGAGCCGUGUUUUUUCCUCAUUUUCGAGCACUAAGACUCGCCUGUUGAUUAUCUGAACCGCUUCACCAAGCAUGAGUCGCCCCGUGUCAAGGUGACGAGUGAGGUAUCCGUAUCCUGGAGGCGUAGGAGUCCCUCGGCUCGGUCGGCCUUGUUGUCUGAGGCUCCUCUAGCUUAGUUAAAGGGACCCCUUGGCCGCUCUCUGACGAGCCGAGGCCAGGGGUAGCGAUAUCAGCAUGAACAGAGGCGGAGUUGGCUCGAAAAUGAAACCUGGUUGGCCGGAGCCUGGCCGGGUUGUCCGUUAGCGGGACCGACGCCGGAGUUGAUCAGCCGAGGCCUCGGGUCGAGCUGGCGCCCUUGGGAGAUGGUUGGCUGAGGCCCCAGGGGUAACCGGCCGAGCCGCCUGCUCGGGCUGGAUUCCCGGAGAAGUCCCUGGCAGCGAUUGUCCGGGCGUGGCGAUGACGUCGUCCUCCAGAGUGGGGAUCCCUGGACCGCGUCGCCGUCUGAGGCUAGGUCGGACCUCGCUGAAGGUGUCAUCGAUGCCGAGGGUGCUACUGCCCCCUUCCAGCAUCAAGACCCGAGCCUGCAGGAUCAGAGUGUCUUGUAGCGUGUGCCUUCUGCGGCCGCCGAGGCCAGAACACACACCCUCGCUGUGUUGUAAAGUUGUGUCUCUUUUCCUCUUGUUUUGAGUAUCUGGACUUUUUUGUCGGUAACAGGGUUGUUUGUGCGAGCGAGAGUUGCUUCUCGCGGAAGGUGAUGAGUGAGGUAUCCGUAUCCCGGAGGCGUGGGAGUCCCUCGGCUCGGUCGGCCUUGCCGCUUACGCGCACUUUUACCCGUCCAUGAGGCCCUGUCACCGACUCAGUCGAGAAGGCUCGAAGGAUCGCUUCGGCCGAAGAGCUUCCGAACGUGAAGACUUGUUCGGUCCGCGGAAUCACUUUAUCCGAACGCGAGUUACUUAUCGCAGAAGGUGAUAAGUGAGGUAUCCGUAUCCCGGAGGCGUAGGAGUCCCUCGGCUCGGUCAGCCUUGGCUGCUUACGUGUACUCCGUCGUUUUCAGGAUCCACUUUUCGAAGUAGUCAGAAAGCACGAAAGAUAUUCUGGCAGAAGAGAUCUUUUUUCGAGGAAAAUUUCAACACAGAGGGGGUUCCCCCCCUUUUAGCCCCCGAGGGAGGGUCGGGCUUUGCCGAGGCGAGGCCGACCCUUCCUUGAUGACUAAACUUUGCGUGGGUGCGAGGUAUAUGAACAACUUGAAAACAUCUUAAGGGUAGAAGCAACGUAGCUGUUGGAUGUUCCAAGCGUUGCCGUAGACCUCGCCUUGACUGUUGGCCAGCUUGUACGUUCCGGGCUUCAGAACUUUGGCGAUGACGAAUGGCCCCUCCCAGGGGGGCGUGAGCUUGUGCCUCCCUCGGGCGUCUUGCCGCAGCCGAAGCACCAGGUCGCCCACCUGGAGGUCUCGGGGCCGGACCCCUCGGGCGUGGUAGCGUUGCAGGGACUUCUGGUACCGCGCCGAGUGUAGUAAGGCCUUGUUCCGAGCCUCUUCCAGCUAGUCCAGCGAGUCUUCUCGGCUAGCUUGGUUGCUUUGAUCGCUGUAGGCCCUCGUCCUCGGGGAGCCGUAUUCCAGGUCAGUGGGCAAGACGACCUCGGCCCCGUAGACCAGGAAGAACGGCGUGAAACCCGUGGCUCGGCUCGGCGUUGUCCUCAGGCUCCAGACCACCGAGGGGAGUUCCUUCAUCCAUCGCUUGCCGAACUUGUUGAGGUCGUUGUAAAUCCGAGGCUUGAGCCCUUGUAGAAUCAUGCCGUUGGCACGCUCUACUUGCCCAUUCGACAUGGGAUGAGCCACGGCGGCCCAGUCCACCCGGAUGUGGUGAUCCUCGCAGAAGUCCAAGAAUUUUCUGCCGGUGAACUGGGUACCGUUGUCGGUGAUGAUGGAGUUCGGGACCCCGAAGCGAUGGAUGAUGUUGGUGAAGAAUGUCACCGCCUGCUCGGACCUGAUGCUGUUAAGAGGUGGGACCUCGACCCACUUGGAGAAUUUGUCGAUGGCGACCAGCAGGUGCGUGUAGCCCCGGGCGCCUUCUGCAAGGGGCCGACGAGGUCCAGACCCCACACAGCAAAGGGCCAGGUGAUGGGUAUCGUCUGCAGAGCCUGAGCGGGCAGGUGGGUCUGCUUCGCAUAGAAUUGACACCCUUCGCAGGUGCGAACAAUUCUAGUGGCGUCAGCCACCGCCGUUGGCCAGUAGAAGCCUUGCCGGAAAGCAUUCCCGACAAGGGCUCGAGGCACUGUGUGAUGGCCGCAAGCCCCCGAGUGUAUUUCUUGCAGGAGUUCCUGACCUUCGGCGAUGGAGAUGCAUCGCUGGAGGAUGCCCGAGGGGCUGCGGUGGUAGAGCUCCUUCUAAUCGCCCAGCAAGACGAACGACUUGGCGCGUCGCGCUACCCGCCGAGCCUCGGCUCGAUCGAGGGGUAGCUCUCCUUGGCGGAGAUAUUGUAGGUACGGGGUCUGCCAAUUCUGAUCAGGCGUGGCCCCGCUCCGCUCCUCCUCGAUGCGCAGUGCCUCGCCCUCGGAGGCCGAGGGUACCUCGGGCUGAACCGAGGGCGCCUCGGCCCGAGCUGAGGGUGCCUCGGGCUGUGCCGAGGGUACCUCGGGCUGAACCAAGGGCACCUCGGGCCCGGGCGCGUCGUCGAUCUUGACGGAGGGUUGAUGCAGAUCCCGGGAGAAGACGUCCGGGGGAACCGUUGUUCGCCCCGAGGCUAUUUUUGCCAGCUCGUCCGCAGUCUCGUUGUAGCGCCGAGCGAUGUGGUUAAGCUCGAGCCCGUAGAACUUGUCUUCCAGGCGCCGAACCUCAUCGCAAUAGGCCUCCAUCUUCGGGUCGCGGCAGUGGGAGUUCUUCAUGACUUGGUCGAUGACGAGCUGCGAGUCACCGCGGGCGUCGAGGCGCCUGACCCCUAGCUCGAUGGCGAUCCGCAACCCGUUGACCAGAGCCUCGUACUCAGCCACAUUGUUGGACGCCGGGAAAUGGAGGCGUAGCACAUAGCGUAGGUGUUUCUCGAGGGGCGAGAUGAAGAGUAGGCCCGCGCCGGCUCCCGUCUUCAUCAGCGACCCGUCAAAAAACAUGGUCCAGAGCUCCGGUUGGAUCGGAGCCGUCGGUAGCUGGGUGUCGACCCAUUCGGCUAUGAAGUCCGCCAAUACCUGGGACUUGAUGGCCUUCCGAGGGGCGAACGAGAUUGUCUCGCCCAUGAUUUCCACCGCCCACUUUGCAAUCCUGCCCGAGGCCUCUCGGCACUCGAUGAUCUCCCCCAGGGGGAAGGAUGACACCACAGUUACCGGAUGAGACUCGAAGUAGUGUCGCAACUUCCGCCUCGUCAGGAUCACUGCAUACAGCAGCUUCUGAACUUGUGGGUAGCGGAUCUUGGUCUCGGACAGUACCUCGCUGACGAAGUAAACUGGCCUCUGAACGGGCAAUGCAUGCCCCUCUUCUUGCCUCUCGACCACAAUCGCGGCGCUAACCACCUGAGUGGUCGCGGCGACGUAGACCAAGAGGGCUUCUCCGUCAGCUGGAGGCACCAAGAUAGGCGCCUUUGUGAGGAGCGCCUUCAGGUUCCCGAGAGCUUCCUCGGCCUCAGGGGUCCAAGCGAAGCACUCGACCUUCCUUAAGAGGUGGUACAGAGGCAGACCUCUUUCGCCGAGGCGUGAGAUGAAGCGGCUCAGGACCGCGAGACAUCCCAUGACCCUUUGUACGCCUUUUAAGUCCUUGAUGGGCCCCAUGCUGGUGAUGGCUGCGAUCUUCUCUGGGUUGGCUUCGAUGCCCCGCUCGGAGACGAUGAACCCCAAGAGCAUGCCCCGGGCCACCCCGAAGACACACUUCUCGGGAUUGAGCUUGACGCCUUUCGCUUUGAGACAUCGGAAUGUCACUUCAAGGUCGGAGAGGAGGUCGGAAGCUUUCCUCGUCUUGACUACGAUGUCAUCGACGUAGGCCUCGACCGUGCGACCGAUGUGUUCGCCGAACACAUGGUUCAUGCACCGCUGAUACGUAGCGCCCGCAUUCCUCAAACCGAACGACAUGGUGACAUAGCAGUACAUGCCGAAGGGCGUGAUGAAAGAAGUCGCGAGCUGGUCGGACUCUUUCAUCCUGAUUUGGUGAUAUCCUGAAUAGGCGUCGAGGAAAGACAGGGUUUCGCACCCAGCAGUGGAAUCCACGAUUUGAUCGAUGCGAGGCACAGGGUAGGGAACCUUCGGACAUGCUUUGUUGAGACCAGUGUAGUCUACACACAUCCGCCAUUUCCCCCCUUUCUUUCUCACAAGCACAGGGUUGGCAAGCCAUUCGGGAUGGAAUACCUCUUUGAUGAACCCGGCUGCCAUUAGCUUGUGGAUCUCCUCGCCUAUCACUCUGCGCUUCUCCUCGUCGAAUCGGCGUAGAGGCUGCUUGACGGGUCGGGCUCUGGCCCGGAUAUCCAGCGAGUGCUCGGCGACAUCCCUUGGUAUGCCGGGCACGUCCGAGGGACUCCACGCGAAGACAUCGGCGUUCGCGCGGACAAAGUCGACGAGCACUGCUUCCUAUUUGGGGUCGAGCCCGGAACCGAUCCGGAUCUGCUUGGAGGCAUCGCCACUGGGGUCGAGGGGGACGGCCUUGACCGUCUCCACUGGCUCGAAGUUGCCGGCAUGGCGCUUCACGUCUGGCACCUCUUUGGAGAGGCUUUCCAGGUCGGCGAUGAGGGCCUCGGCGUACUCCACGCACUCCACGUCGCAUUCGAACGCGUGUUUGUACGUGGGGCCGACGGUGAUGACCCCGUUUGGGCCCGACAUCUUGAGCUUCAGGUAGGUGUAGUUGGGGACGGCCAUAAACUUCGCGUAGCAUGGCCUCCCCAGUACCGCGUGGUAGGUUCCUCGGAACCCGACCACCUCGAACGUCAGAGUCUCCCUUCGGAAGAUGGAGGGCGUUCCGAAGCAGACGGGAAGGUCGAGUCGUCCGAGGGGCUGGACGCGCUUCCCGGGAAUGAUCCCAUGGAAGGGCACAGCGCCUGCUCGGACGGAGGACAGAUCGACGCGCAGGAGCCUGAGGGUCUCGGCGUAGAUGAUGUUGAGGCAGCUGCCCCCGUCCAUAAGGACCGUGGUGAGCCUGACGUCGCCAACGACGGGUUCGACGACGAGCGGGUAUUUCCCCGGGCUCGGCACGUGGUCGGGGUGGUCAGCUUGGUCGAAGGUGAUGGGCUUGUCGGACCAGUCUAGGUAGACUGGCGCCGCCACCUUCACCGAACAGACCUCCCGGCGCUCUUGCUUGCGAUGCCGAGCCGAGGCAUUCGCCGCAUGCCCACCGUAGAUCAUGAAGCAGUCGCGGACCUCGGGGAACUCUCCUGCUUGGUGAUCUUCCUUCUUGUCGUCGUCGCGGGCCCUGCCACCCUCCGCGGGUGGCCCGGCCCUAUGGAAGUGGCGCCGAAGCAUGACGCACUCCUCAAGGGUGUGCUUGACGGGCCCCUGAUGAUAGGGGCACGACUCCUUGAGCAUCUUGUCGAAGAGGUUAGCACCUCCGGGGGGCUUCCGAGGGUUCUUGUACUCGGCGGCGGCGACAAGGUCCGCGUCGGCGGCGUCGCGUUUCGCUUGCGACUUCGUCUUGCCUUUCUUCUUGGCGCCGCGCGGAGUAGACGCCUCGGGAGCAUCUUCCGAUGGGCGGCCCUGGGGCUGCUUGUCCUUUCGAAAGAUAGCCUCGACCGCCUCCUGGCCAGAGGCGAACUUGGUGGCGAUGUCCAUCAGCUCGCUCGCCCUGGUGGGGGUCUUGCGACCCAACUUACUCACCAGGUCGCGGCAGGUGGUGCCGGCAAGGAACGCGCCGAUGACAUCCGAGUCGGUGAUGUUGGGCAGCUCGGUGCGCUGCUUCGAGAAUCGCUGGAUGUAGUCCCGGAGAGACUCUCCCGGCUGCUGCCGGCAGCUUCGGAGGUCCCAGGAAUUCCCGGGGCGCAUGUACGUGCCCUGGAAAUUGCCGGCGAAGGCUUGGACCAGGUCAUCCCAGUUGGAGAUCUGCCCCGGAGGCAGGUGCUCCAACCAGGCGCGAGCGGUGUCGGAGAGGAACAGGGGGAGGUUGCGGAUGAUGAGGUUGUCGUUGUCCGUUCCACCCAGUUGGCAGGCCAAGCGGUAGUCCGCGAGCCACAGUUCCGGUCUUGUUUCCCCCGAGUACUUUGUGAUAGUAGUCGGGGGUCGGAACCGGGUCGGGAACGGUGCCCGUCAGAUGGCCCGGCUGAAGGCCUGCGGACCGGGUGGUUCGGGCGAGGGACUCCGAUCCUCCCCGCUGUCGUAGCGUCCCCCACGCCUGGGGUGGUAACCUCGGCGCACCCUCUCAUCGAGGUGGGCCCGACGGUCGCGAUGAUGGUGCUCGUUGCCGAGGUGGCCCGGGGCCACAGGCGCGGUGUUGCGCGUGCGCCCGGUGUAGACCGAGGCUUCCCGCAUGAAUCGGGAAGUCGCGACAUGAGGUUCCGAGGGGUAUCACUGCCUUCGGGAGGCAGAGCUCUCGGCCCGUCGGACCACAGCACCUUCCAGGAGAUUCUUGAGCUCUCCCUGGAUUCGCCGACCCUCGGUGGUUGAUGGCUCCGGCAUCGCGCGGAGAAGCAUCGCUGCUGCAGCUAGGUUCUGACCGACCCCACUGGAUGCGGGUGGCGGCCUGACCCUGACGCCGUCGGCGACGCGGUGCUGGAGACCCUGGGGCAGGUGACGUAUUUCUCCGGCCGGGGGUUGGCCCGCCCAUGCCGGCCCGACGUCCCGGCGGAUCGGCUCAAGCGCUCCUGCUCCCUCGUCGAGCCUGGCUUGCGCCCCUCGGACUUGCUCGAGCUGUGGGUCGUGACCCCCCACCGGAACGGGGACCACAGCUAGCUCCCAUGGGAUGUCAGCGUGAGGCACCGGCCUAGGGAGAUCACCGCCCUCCGGCAUGCCGAGAUGAUUGCUUUCGGAGGGAUCCCCUAGAUCGACGUGGAAACAUUCGCGGCUUGGGCCGCAGUCCUCGUCGUCGAGGCUGCGGCUACCGUCGGAACAGUCGGAGAGGCAGUAGUCACAUGCGGUCAUGAAGUCCCGCAUGGCACUGGGGUUGCCAAAUCCAGAGAAAUCCCAACAGAUGUUGGGGUCGUCAUCUUCCUCGGACCCAGAGGGCCCGUAGGUCGAGACGUCCGUCAGCCGGUCCCAAGGCGACCGCAUGCGAAACCCCAGAGGGUUUGAUCUCGCCUUUACGAGAGCGCCCGCCAAAGCAAGGUCGCUAGGCGGGUUGUGGCUGAGUCCAAAUGACGUAGGAUGGGAAUCGGUCGGUACCUUUCGGUCGACGAGCAGCGACAUAGUCACGUCAGGGACUGAUUGCACCGCCGUCUCAGGUACGAGGGCGACGUCCUGCAAGCUCUUCGCGAGCGCACUAGCGUCGUCCACUUGCUCGGGAUUGGCGUGUCGCGGGGAGACGGCGCUCGCCUUCGUCUCAAACGCGAGGUCGACGCCCGACGCGCCCCCGUUGGGGCGCUGGGGACGUCGACUCGCUCGACAGCCGAUGAGGCGCGACCUCCCGCUUGGCCUUGGUUGCCCCGCCUCCUCCUCCGUUGGCAGGGGAGAGGACGGAGCGAACUCGAAUGUUGUUCUUCCACCACGCGGGGAAGACGUCGUCGAUUCCGCCGCCGGCGGGCGGGCUGUCGGCCGCCAUUGUCGUUGUCGCGCGGCGGUGGAAGGAGUAUCAUGUCGUAGCUGCCGUCGAAGAACAUGAACUCAAGACUCCCGAAACGGAGCACUGUCCCGGGACGGAGAGGUUGCUGGAGACUGCCCAUCUGGAGCUUGACGGGAAGCUGUUCGUCAACACGCAGCAGGCCCCUACCUGGCGCGCCAACUGUCGGCGUUUCGAGACCGGGGGGUCCCUCGGGCCGACGAGUGAGUGUCGCCGCGUGCCCCAGCCCAGAUGGGUCGAGCGCGUGGGCGAGCACGAAGGGGGGAAGGAGCGAGGCGGCCGGUGACCGGCGUGAGAGAGGUGGGAAUUCUGCGGCCUUUGUGUUCGUCCCGCGCCCAGAUCGGGUGCGCUUGCAGUAGGGGGUUACAAGCGUCCACGCGGGAGAGGGAAGCGAGCGGCCCCAAGAGAGCGCCUGUCCCGUCCUCGUCCCCGCGCGGCCAACCUUCUCUAAGAGGGCCCUGGUCCUUCCUUUUAUAGGCGUAAGGAGAGGAUCCAGGUGUACAAUGGGGGUGUAGCAGAGUGCUACGUGUCUAGCGGGGGAGAGCUAGCGCCCUAAGUACAUGCCGAUGUGGCAGCCGGAGAGAUUUUGGCACCCAGCUGGUGUGAUGUCGUGGCCGUCGGAGGAGCGACGGAGCCUGGCGGAGGGACAGCUGUCGGAGCGGUUGAGUCCUUGCUGACGUCCUCCUACUUCCGUAAGAGAGCUGAGAGCCGCCGUCGUCACAGAGCAUGCGGGGCGCCAUCAUUGCCUAUCUGGCAUAGCUAGCCAGAUGGGACACCGGUCUUGUUCUCUGCGGCCCGAGUCAGCUCGGGGUAGGGUGAUGAUGGCGCUUUCUGUUGACGUGGCUGGCUUGCGCCCUAGGCUGGGCGACGUGGAGGCUCCUCCGAAGCCGAGGUCGAGUCUGUCUUCCAUGGCCAAGGCCGAGUCCGAGCCCCUGGGUCGGGCGAGGCGGAGGUCGUUCGGCAGAGGCCAGGGCGGAGUCCGAGCCCUGGGGUCAGGCGAAGCGGAGUUCGUCGUCUUCUAGGGCUGAGCCCAAGACCGAUCCCUGGGGUCGGGCGGAGCGGAGUUCGUCGUCUUCUGGGGCUGAGCCCGAGUCCGAGCCCUAGGGUCGGGCGGAGCGGAGUUCGCGGUCUUCCGGGACCUAGCCCGAGUCCGAGCCCUGGGUCGGGCGGAGCGGAGUUCGCCGUCUUCCGGGACCUAGCCCGAGUCCGAGCCCUGGGUCGGGCGGAGCGGAGUUCACCGUCUUCCGGGACCUAGCCCGAGUCCGAGCCCUGGGUCGGGCGGAGCGGAGUUCGCCGUCUUUCGGGACCUAGCCCGAGUCCGAGCCCUGGGUCGGGCGGAGCGUAGCUUCCUAUGGUGCCUUUGGCAGGGCCUGACUGCCUGCUAGUCUCACUCUGUCAAGUGGCACUACAGUCGGAGUGGCGCAGGUGGCGCUGUCCUUCUGUCAGGCCGGUCAGUGGAGCGAUGAAGUGACGUCGGUCACUUCGGCUCUGCUGGGGGGCGUGCGUCAGGAUAAAGGUGUCAGGCCACCUUUGCGUUAAAUGCUCCUGCGAUUCGGUCGGUCGGUGCGGCGAUUUAGUCAGGGUUGCUUCUUAGCGAAGGCAGGGCCUCGGGCGAGCCGGAGAUGUGUCCGCCGUUGGAGGGGGGCCUCGGGCGAGACGGAAAUCCUCCGGGGUCGGCUGCCCUUGUCCGAGGCUAGGCUCGGGCGAGGCAUGAUCGAGUCGGUCGAAUGGACUGAUCCCUGACUUAAUCGCACCUAUCAGGCCUUUGCAGCUUUAUGCUGAUAGGGGUUACCAGCUGAGAAUUAGGAGUCUUGAGGGUACCCCUAAUUAUGGUCCCCGACAAUACUCCUCGAACCUGAGGAGCCAGAACCUGAGACGUCCUGCUGAGCGGCGGCGUCGUCGUCGUCGUCCUGCUGCGCCGCAUCGUCGUCGUCCUGCUGUGCCGCAUCGACAGCGGCUUGCUGCUCCACCUGCUGCUGUACGGCGUCGUCCUGCUGCGCCUCCUCCUCCGUCCUACGGGUGCUCCUCCUCCCCCUCCCCCUCCCCCUCCCCCUCCUCGUCCUCGUCCCACCGCCCACCAUCUUUGUCCAACAACCUGCAAUUAAGAGUAAACAAUUAAGCACAGAUAAAAAAUAUGUAUUUAGAAACAUAUGCAAAAUAAAUGAAAUAUAGCAUUACAUCGAUUAAAAAUAAUCUUCAUAUGUGUCCGGGUUAGCCGGAUCAUAAGUGUCAUCAUCACUAUCAACCAUUUCAUAGUCGACAUCAUCUGAAGGCGCAAUUUCGUCAUUGGCAUUGUCUUCAAGUAUUUCUAAGUCAUUCUCAUUUUGCACCUCAUCAUCCUCGUCAUCAACAACCAUUUCAAUAUCUACUUCUAUUCCGAUCGCUUCGGUUAAGUCUAUCUCAAAUUGCCCUUCGAGCCCAUCUUCUUAGAAGAACUCUCCGUCAUAUGUGUCCGGGUCUAAGUUAUAAUCUUCAUCGUUUGGAACAGGUAAUUUAGCGUGCGGUGAUACCUUAUACACAACAUCCCAACCCUUAAGAUGUUGUUUCGUUUGGCACGCAUAUGGAAGAUAAUACACUUGUGUGGCCUGUUGGGCCACAAUAUAGACAUCGUCUCCUGGUAAGGUGGAAUCCUGUCGAAUUUCAACUAGCCCAAGAUUAGAAUGUGUCCGUCUCGUAACUUCAGGGUCAAACCAAUGACAUUUGAAUAUCACUGGAGUAAGAGGUUUGGAACCAUAAAAAUUGAGUUCAUAUAUUUCUUCAAUUCUUUUAUAAUACUCGACCUCGUCAAGCCCGGGCGUAUAGACUCCAGAACACGUGGUUUUUCGAUUGGGCCGACUUUGGUCGUAGCUUGUUGUGCGAAAACGGUAUCCAUUGACGUCAUACCCAGAAAAUUUGAGCAACAUGCUCACUAAACAUGGUCCUGAACUUGCCAUCCACAUGUUUAAAAAUUGUAUAAAACACAAACAAAGUCAGAAAAUUAUGAAACUUGUCCACGUGUCAUGAUAUCAUAUGUAGAGUCUGUGAUAAAAAAUUUAGAAUGUUUGGAGAAAGGAGUGCGGCACUAUGUGUAGAAACCUAAGAGAACCACACAUGAAAUCAUAGAGUUUCAAUGUGGAUCUCUUAGGUUUGUACACAUAGUGCGUUACAGCUUUCUCCAAACAUUCUAAAAUUUUUAUCGCAGCCUCUACAUAUGAUAUCAUGACACGUGGACAGGUUUCAGAAUUUUCUGACUUUGUUUCUGUUUUAUACAAUUUUUAAACACCUGGAUGACAAGUUUACGGUCAUGUUGAGUGAGCAUGGUGCUCGAAGUUUUCGGUCCGCUCCUGAAAUCGGUCGUAACUUGUGCUAAGUAGCAUGGAUAUCAUUUUUGCAUGCACGGUUUUCCAAGUUUCGAGUGACCUGCAGUUCAAAUCUGAAUUUUCCGAAGAAAUUCAAAUAAACAAACUAAAUGUACUAGCUAUAGAAAACACUGUUAUAAUUGUCCCAAAAUGGUACAUGUAGGUCUACAUAGUGUAGGAACAUACCACAAAAAGUUUGGGAGACAAAAUCAAAAAAAUACAAAUAUACUUUGCCGAGUGUCUAUAGAAGACACUCGACAAAGAGCAUUUUGCCGAGUGCCCAAUAUGUGGCACUCGACAAAGAAGCCUCUUUGCCGAGUGCCAGCAGUUGGCUCUCGGCAAAGACUAACGGCCGUCAGCUUUGGGACGGCCGCUGACGGCCCUUUGCCGAGAGCCCUCUUUGCCGAGUGUUUGACACUCGGCAAACUUGUCUUUGCCGAGAGCCCCCUGUGCCGAGUGUUCAACACUCGGUAAAGGGUCUCUUUGCCGAGAGCCUAUCUUUGCUGAGUGCGGCACUCGGCAAAGCUUUCUUUGCCGAGUGACCGACAAAAGGCACUCGGUAAAGAAUGCAACACUCGGCAAAGCCUACGAUUCCGGUAGUGCUAGUCACCUGAGCUGCUUCCUGUCCGUCCUGUCCUGCGAUAAGGUCGGCGGCUUCCUGCCCGUCCUGAUCAUGCAUGUCUGAGUGGUCAUCUGUUGGUUUGCUGUAGAGAUGCCAGUCAGUUAACGGUUAGACGCGUGGCCUGUUCAUUGCAAAGGGAGCUAGAUGGCCGCCGGCGCCAUGGAUGUGUUCGACAUGCAUGCACGCGGCCGAGGUUGGCUGGAUGUUAGUUCUACAACAAGUCGGCAUCCCAUGAGAGACCAACAGUGUGUUUGGUAUGUGGAUUCACCUUAUACUUCAUAAGGUGAUGCAUUAUAAAUUUAUACUAUAAUUUUUGGUGGAACCAACCUAUUAUUCCUCGUGUAUAUACUAAUUAUUAGCUUUAGAACAUCUCCAAGAGACUCUUUAUUUUUGACUCUCUAUUUGUCUCUCAAUAAAUAUUAAAAUCUAUAUAUAACAUCUCAUUCCAACAGACUAUUCUACAUGUAAGUUAGCUUAGCUAGCGAGAGUUGCUAGUCAAAUUUGGCUAGUGAGAGAGUCAAUUUAGAGAGCCGGAUAGCUUGACAAAUUAAAUGACUAGUCUGUUGAAGAACUAUUUUAUUAUUAAGUAGCUAAAAUUUAGCUUGAGAAACUAUUUAGCUAGUCUCUUAAAGAUGCUUUUAUAAGGAGUGGAGUGGUAAUGGAUCAACUCAUCUUUCACAAACCAAAUAAAAAAGUGAGGAGUGAGAAAAAGAUGGACCAAACACACCCCAAGAGUAUUAUUGUUGACGCUGAAUUGGAUCUUAAAUUACACACCAGUAAAUUUUAGAAUGUUACUUAUGAAUAUGGCUAAAAAAACUCGAGACUCGUGAGCCGGUUCGAGCUCGGGGCGGCUCGACUCGGCUCAGAGCGGCUCGCGAGUCUCGAGUGUGCCGAGCCAAGCCUGGUUUUCGAGCUCGCUGGUCCACCGAGCCAAACCGAGCCAGCUUGUUCUGGUUCGCGAGCCGGCUCAUGAGCUUUGCCAAAUUAACCAAACUAUACAGUAAUGAUGGAUAAUAGAUAAUUUUACUUAUAUUUGAAUGCUAAUUAUAUUUUUCACAUUUAUAUAUACUAUUAAAUCACUAUAUAAUAUAAUAUUAUUUAUCAAGGUCCAGCUCGCGAGCUGAGCCGAUUCCAACUCGUUGAGUGAACGAGCCAAGUCGGGCUUGAUUUGUCAACGAGCCGUACCAAGCCGAGUCGAACCGAGCUCGUCUCGGCUCGUUUCCGGUACUACUUAUGAAGGAUGCGGGUAAGAGCACUCCAAACCACUCACCAUGGUUAAUAAUAACGGGUAAUUAGGAGUAUCUAUUUCUGGAUUAUCUUAUCCUUGUACUGAAGAUGACUAAAGGUUAGGACAUGGACAUAUUUUUACUGCUGGAACAUGCAUGUAUGGUCUUCUGAUAUCUCCAAAAAAAGAAGAGAAAAGAUGUCGUGUCAAGCUGAGUCAUCAAUGAAUUUCUACGUACUAAAGAAAUGGAAAGGGAACGCACUAGUGUUAUGCUAAAGCGAAAAUCUCUAUAGAAAAGACAAAAGCUUCUAGGAUCUUCUUAGGGAAGCGAAGCUUCCACUUACUUGCUCGUCUUCAGCGUCAACGGAUGAUCGAUGGAUGGUCGGUGAAUGGUGGUGGUAGAAAAUGGCAGCAUAUAUGCAGGAGGGGGGCUGUGAUAGUACAAAUCAUCCAAGACAUCAUGGAUGACUGGCGAGUCUUACUUUUGUGGUUUCGCCUUGAGCCGAUGCCGGAUUCCCUUCACUUUGUCUUGAGAUCAGCAGCUUCAUCUCGCUGUCAGAAAGCCAACCGUACUACCCACGAUGCAUAUGCAUACCGAAACAAGGCCAGACAAAUAGCGAAUUGUUCAUAGAAUCAUUCAAGAUCCAAUCUACAACAUGUCUCAUCUAGAUGAUCCUAAGAACAUCUUGCAACUAUGAGGAUGAUCCUAAGAACAUCUUGCAACUAUGAGCCAAUGUUCACGCGCGCGAACAUAGAUUCAGACCUCAAAGGAAGUCCAUCCGGAACAGAUAACACGUCAGGUAGAUAUCAAUCUCUCGAGUUGUCACAUGCACGUGUUGCAGCGCACCUUAUGUAUUGUAGCACCCCAGCAAGCAAAAUACAUCUAGGUCGCAUAAUAUCAAUCUAUAACAUAAAGCGUAAAAGAAAUAGUAGAUUGAUACUGUAAAGAUUCAGAGGGCAGGUGAAGCGUCUUAUCCUGUUAGGGAUCGCGUACGUGUUUAUAUAGGCGCCCGGUGCGCAAGGCUAUACAACAGAUAUACUUGAGUAACAACCUUCAUCUAUUCCUAAGCAAGCAUAUCUAGCUAGCCAAUAAAGUAGCGGGAGGUUGUUACCCGAGUACAGGAUAUACAUGGAUAUAGAAUACAUUGCAUAUCUAUUCUAAUAGCCUCCCUCAAUCACAACCGUCUUAGGUUGAGAUUGACUUUGAAGUUUUCCAGCAGUCUGACCGAUAAUGCUUUGGUGAAGCCGUCUGCGACUUGAUCUUGGGAGGAGACAAAAUCUAUUUCUAAUAACUUUUGUAAAACUCUCUCUCUUACAAAAUAAUAAUCCACCUCAAUAUGCUUGAUUCUAGCAUGAAAGACAGGAUUAGCUGAUAAAUAUUUUGCUCCCAGAUUAUCACACCAAAGUUUAGCUAUUCUCGGACUGUUAAUAUUUAGCUCUUUGAGUAAGAUUUGAACCCACAUAAUUUCAGCUGUUGCAUUGGCAAUAGCCUUAUAUUCUGACUCAGUGCUGGAUCUAGACACUGUGGGUUGUUUGCGAGCACUCCAAGAAAUGAGAUUUGAACCUAGAAACACUGCAAAGCCUCCCGUUGAUUUUCUGUCAUCAAUACUACCAGCCCAGUCUUGCAUCCGAAAAGACACUUACCAAGGUUGAGGGUGACUUAUGUAUAUGCAGCCCUAAUUUUGUGCAUUGUUUGAUAUAUCUGAGAAUUCUUUUUACUGCAGCCCAGUGAACAGUUGUAGGAGCAUGUAGAAACUGACAUACCUUAUUAACUGAAAAGGCAAUGUCAGGCUUAGUGAGAGUUAAAUAUUGUAGGGCCCCAACUAUGCUCCUAUACUGAGUUGCAUCAUUGUUGCCUAGUAAAGAUCCUUUGUGCAAGGAUAGCUUCUCACAGGUGGAUAGUGGCGAGCUGACUGGUUUGCAAUCUGACAUCCCUACCUUUUUCAAUAAAUCUGAAGCAUACUUGUCUUGGGUGAGAAUAAUUCCAUCACGUACCUUGUUUACUUCUAUUCCCAAGAAAUAGUGAAGGUCACCAAGAUCUUUAAGAGCAAAUUCUUCCUCUAGGUCUUUCAACAAUGCUGCGGUGGCUGCUUCUGUAGAACUUGCAACAAUUAUAUCAUCAACAUAAACAAGCACAAAAAUUGUAGUGUUACCCUUGUUAUAGAAGAAUAAGGAUGAAUCAACCUUUGAUGGUGAGAAGCCAAGAUUCAUUAAUUUUGAGCUAAGACGAGAGUACCAUGCUCUUGGUGCUUGUUUAAGCCCAUAAAGAGAUUUGUCAAGCUUACACACAUACUCUUUCUUGGAUGGAUCCUCAAAACCUGGUGGCUGCGGCAUAUAAACUUCUUCGAGAAAGCCAUGAAGGAAGGCAUUCUGAACAUCAAGUUGUCUAAGACUCCAUCCUCGAGAAAUGGCAACAGACAAAAUAAUGUGUAUUGUAGUAGGUUUAAUGACUGGACUGAAUGUGUCUUCAUAAUCUAUACCAUAACGUUGUUUAAAACCUUUUGCAACUAGUCGGGCUUUAUACCUAUCUAAGCUUCCAUCCACUUUUCUUUUAAUUUUAUACACCCAUUUACAUCCUAUUACAUUCGUGCCUUUUAUUGGUGGAACUAGCUGCCAUGUCUUAUUAUUCAUGAGAGCAGUGUAUUCCAGAUCCAUAGCAUUUUUCCAGUUGGAAUUACUAAGUGCUUCCUCAAGACACUAGGGGUUCACCAGAGGACGUAAAGCAGCCAUACCUGAUCGUGCCAUCAGUGUAUACUUUUUCCUUCCGAAUGCCACUCCUCAGUCUUGUAUAGGGACGCAGAGCAGCCACUUGAACAGGUUCAACAACUGCUUCCCCUGACACCUCUUGUAUGGUCAAAUCAGGUGCACGCGCCUCAAUAGAUGUUGUAGGCUGCUCAGAGGAUGGUGCAUGGAAUCCGUCAGGUACCUAUUCAUCUGUCAUAGUAACGUGAAUAGUAGUGGCAGGCUCCCUAUGCUCAUCGGCUACUGUAGCAGGCACUGUAGCUACUUGGCGCCCAUGCCCAUGCGAGUGGUCAUAAUGUGAUUCUCCCUCCCCUGGUGGCAGGCUUGCAACAGUUGGUAGGGAGUUGUCAUUUCGGUGAAUAGUACCUCCUGCAUAUUGAUGUUGUACUGCAAUAUUCUCAUUAGGCAUGUUAGUAUCGACAUGGAGAAAAUCAGGGACAUCAGGAUCACAUCUAUCAGCACCUUUUUUAGUCGUAAAGGAUGGCAACAAAAGAACUUCAGAUCGUAAUCUAGCCCCAACAUUAGAAUGGAGUGUAUAGAAGGGAAAACAGUCUCAUCAAAUAUGACAUCUCUAGAGAUGUAAACACGUCCAGUGGAGAUAUCGAGACAUUUAAAACGCUUGUGAAGAGGACUAUAGCCAAGAAAAGCACACUGCUUUGAUCUGAAUUGAAGUUUGUGUGUGUUAUAGGGGCGCAGAUUAGGCUAACAUACACAGCCAAAAAAUCGUAAGGAAGAAUAAUCUGGCUUUUGGUGAAAAAGACGUUCUAUAGGAGUUUGAUUAUUAAUAACCGGGCUGGUAGUCUUUUUGUCGGCGUUUCGACCCCAGGGGGUCCCUGGACCGACGAGUAAAUUGUCGCCGCGUGUCCCAGCCCAGAUGGGUCGGCGCGAGACGGAGCACGAAGGGGGAAAAGGAGACAGGCAAAAGGGGAAACCCGCGGCCUUCGUGUUGUCCUGCGCCCAGGUCGGGUGCGCUUGCAGUAGGGGGUUACAAGCGUCCGCGUGGGAGAGAGCGAGGGACUUGCGCGUCGGCCCAUUCUCCCGCGCGGCCAACCUUCUCGUACGAGAGCCCUGGACCUUCCUUUUAUAGGCGUAAGGAGAGGGUCCAGGUGUACAAUAGGGAGAGUAGCAGUGUGCUAACAUGUCUAGCAGAGAGGAGCUAGUGCCCUAAGUACAUGCCGUCGUGGCAGCUGGAGAGGUUUUGGCACCCUUUUCAUGUGAUGUCGUGGCCAUCGGAGGAGCGCUGGAGCCUUGCGGAAGGACAACUGUCGGGGCUGUCGAGUCCUUGCUAACGUCUCCUUGCUUCCGUAAGGGGCUGAGAGCCGUCGUCGUCAUGGAGCACGCGGGGCGCCAUCAUUAUUUGUUUACCGGGGCGAGCCAGAUGGGACGCCGGUCUUGUUCCCCGUAGCCUGAGCUAGCUAGGGGUAGGGUAAUGAUGGCCUCCUCUGUGACGUGGUCGGUCCGUGCCCUGGGUCGGGCGAGGCGGAGGCUCCUCCGAGGUCGAGGUCGAGUCUGUCUUCCGAGGUCGAGGUCGAGUCCGAGCCCCGGGUCGGGCGAGGCCGAGACCGUCGUCCGAGGCAAAGGCUGAGCCCGAGCCCUGGGCUCGGGCGAGGCGGAGUUCGUCGUCUUCCGAGGCCGAGACAGGGGCCGAGCCCUGGGGUCGGGCGAGGCGGAGCUUCCUAUGGCGCCCGAGGCCGGACUUGGCUGCUGUCAACCUCAUUCUGUCGAGUGGCACAACAGUCGGAGCGACGCAGGCGGCGUUGUCUUCUUGUUAGGUUGGUCAGUGGAGCGGCGAAGUGACUGCGGUCACUUCGGCUCUGUCGACUGAAGAGCGCGCGUCAGGAUAAGGUGUCAGGCCAUCCUUGCAUUAAAUGCUCCUGCGAUACGGUCGGUCGGUGUGGCGAUCUGGCCAAGGUUGCUUCUCGGCGAAGACUGGGCCUCAGGCGAACCGAAGGUGUGUCCGCUGCUUGAGGGGCCCCUCGGGCAAGACGUGAAUUCUCCAGGGUCGGCUGCCCUUGCCCGAGGCUGGGCUCGUGCGAGGCGAGAUCGUGUCCCUUGAGUGGACCGAGCCUUGACCUUAAUCACACCCAUCAGGCCUAUGCAGCUUUGUGCUGAUGGGGGUUACCAGCUGAGAUUAGGAGUCUUGGGGGUACCCCUAAUUAUGGUCCCCGACAGUAGCCCCCGAGCCUCGAAGGGAGUGUUAAUACUCGCUUGGAGGCUUUUGUCGCACUUUUUUGCAAGGGGACCAGCCUUUCUCGGUUGCGUUUUGUUCCGGUGGGUGCGCGCGAGCGCACCCGCCGGGUGUAGCCCCCGAGGCCUCGAAGGAGUGGUUUGACUCCUUCGAGGUCUUAGCGCGUUUCGUGAUGCUUCGGCCGGUCUGGUUGUUCCCCCAUGCGAACUGGCCGUAGCCCGGGUGCAUAGUCGAGUCCCAAGUUCUCGGGCUAGUAUGUUGACGCUGUCAACGGUUUGGCCGGAGCCGAGUUUGCGAGAGCAGCCCCCGAGCCUCCGCACAGAGCGAGAGGACGGUCAGGGACAGACUCGGCUUUUUACAUACUCCCCUGUGUCGCCUUUCCGCAAGGAGGGGGGGAAAGCGCCAUGUUGCCCUCAAAGGGCGCCGAACAUGGUGUCUCCAGUGAGUUGCUAACGGGUAAUCUGAGUGGAUGUCCGUGCCUCAUUCAUUAGGGGUCGGCUAGUGGCCCGGAGGCGCGCUCCAAAAGUACCUGCGGGUGAUUUGCCGGACCCGGUCCCUUUUUACGGGGUCCGAGGGCUCGAUGCCUCCCUCUGGUGGGAUUCCAUUACAAAAUCGUUCCCGCCGGUCUUGGAAAUGUCCUAGGGUACCUCGGGAGCGUAGCCCGAGCCUUGGUUAUGUAUCGAACGUACCUAGGGUCAUCCCUCGCUCUGCGUGCUCUGAGACGGCUGUCAGAACCCUUCGGGGGCCAGCCUACGAACCCCUGAUCAGUAGUGGGCGCGGAGCCCGAGUGGCCUGAGGCGACCGUUGAACCCUUCCGAGGGGCCAGCCUUCGAACCCCUGACCAGUAGUGGGCGCGGAGCCCGAGUGCUCUGAGGCGGCUGUUGAACCCUUCCGAGGGGCCAGCCUUCGAACCCCUGAUCAGUAGGGGGGCUCGGGGCCCGCUUCCUUCGCGGAGAAGGAUCCCUUUCGGAGUAUCCCCUUUCCCGGUCCCUGUGGCAAGAGAGAGAAAGAGGAAGUGGAAAAGGAUACGAAAUCGAAUGACGUGGCACACCUUUUUUGACGCGGUCAUCAUGGUGGAGGUGAAGCGUCGCCUGCUUCGCCUGCCAACGGUGCCGCCUAUCCUGCCGCAAAGUUAAUGCGACAGGACGAGUGGUUCGCGGGGCGGUCGUUGUGCGUGCGCGAGCCGUUCGAGGAACGGUUGUCUCGCUUUGAGUUUUUGAAUCUCGCGACGAGUUCGGGUGAAGUGUUGAACGGGUCUCGCCUGGGCCUUUAUAUAUUUGGGAGAGGGACCGAUGACGGUUCUUUACUCUGCUGCUCGCCUCCCACUUAGGUUUUCGCAACCCAAGGGAAUAGCCAGAGAAAGGAAACCGCGCACCCAGUCCUUUCCGCCGCCACCUCUUCUGCUUGGUGAUGGCCGACCGGGUGACCAUUGUUUCGCCGCGUGACCCGUGGCCUUUCUCCACCGUCGCGGUGGAUGACCUGGAGGCCCUUGUUUCUGAUGGUUUGCUUCGCCCUCUCUCCGGUGACUCGCAGCCGGAGUGGAUGGCCCCUCCGAGCGGAGCCGCCCCGUCCCCGCCGCCGGGGUAUGUGGUGAGCUUUGUCUCCUUUCACGAGCGGGGGUUCGGAGUGCCGGCAAGCCGUUUUAUGCGGGCGAUUCUGUAUGUCUACGGGGUGGAGCUGCACAACCUCAGUCUCAACUCCAUCUCACAAGCAGCCAUCUUCGCGGCGGUUUGUGAAGGAUAUUUGGGGAUUGCCCCCCACUGGGACCUGUGGACCCAUCUCUUCUCCGCGGAGCUUUUUGCCUCGCCGACGGGGGAAAGAAGGGUUCGCAUGGCGGUGCGGGCCGGUGGCUGCAUCCUCCAGUUGAGGCAGGCGUGGGCGCUGCAGUACAUCCCUGCCAUCCUCGUGUCUUCGAACAAAGGGUGGCAGCGCCGGUGGUUUUAUCUCCGAAAUGACGACGGGAGGCUCCCAUCAUUUUCUCAGCGAGUGGUGACCGUCGCCACCGAUAACUGGCGCUACGGGACCCCGCGCGACAGACAGAAGAAUCUCUAGCCCCUUUUGAAGGCCCUGGAGGAACUGCGAGAAGGAGGGCUCACCGCCGCGGGGGUGGUUGCCGCCAUUCAUCGCCGGAGGAUGCUCCCCUUGACGGAGCGACGACUGUCGCUUUGGGAGAUGACGCCGGGGGUCGACUUGGAGGGUUUGCAGAUGUCCUCGGACCCCCUUCCCACCGACGACCUCCACAGGCGGGUAGCCGGCACGGUAGGGAAGUUAGAGGCCGGCGCCUUUUCCCAGCCCUCGAUGCGUCCUGAUCGCGGGUGUGUGUCUCUGGUGAGUAUCCGCUCCUUCUUCCUUCUUGCGUCGGAUUGCCCUCAGUUCUCACAGCCGAGACUUUUCGUCCGUCUUCAGGAGGUGGGUUUUCACAAGCCUUCCCUGCCACCGGUCCCGGAGGACGCGGUGGACCGAGCUGCGCGGAGGGUCGCCGCGGAGAAGAGGAAGGAGAAGAAGGACACGAAGAAGGCUCGGGCCCGUGAGCGGAUACGGGCUCGGGACGCCUUGGAAAGGCUUCGUCGUCGGCAGGAGAGGGAUGGGCUCCCGAGGGAGCCAUCGCCGGAGACGCCUGAUGACGAUGACAAUGAUGAAGAAGAUGAUGAAGAUGAUGACAUGGCGGCCCACCUCGGCCUCAGCCCGGAUCUGAGGCUGGGCCAGGGGUCGUCAAGCCAGCCCCCGAGCGGGCUGGCACCAUCGGUAUCCGGGGCUAGGACGUCGGGGUCCCGGUCCAAAGAAUAGGGGCAGACCGAGGGGGUACUUGACCCCUCGGUCGAGGUAGUUGAGGUGACCCCGGGGGGUCAGGCCGAGCUGCCUGUUCCCCGAGAACAGUUGCCCGUGCCGACUACGCAGGAGGGCGAUCCUCGGGUCGUCGUGGCUGCGCCUGGGCAGUCCGUCCCUCGGGUGCCUCGGGCGCCCAAGGCAAGGACGGUACCGAAGCCGGCAGUGGGGCAGACCUCGGUGGUACCUUCGGGGAUCGAGGUUCGAGAGACCUCCCUACAGGCAUGAUUGAUCAUGGCCCAGAGCGGGUAAGUAUCUUAGGAUAUCUUCGUCCUAGCUCCUUCUUCGUGUGUCUUGAUCCUGCUCUUCCUUCUCUUCCCAGCAAACGGAGGCACGGGUCGACCGGUCUGGCUCCCCGGAAGGCCCUCAAGACGGCGCCGGCUUCUGCAGCUCGCGCCGCACCGGGCCUCGCCGGCCAGCUGGCCUCCUUGCAAGAUGCCCCGAAGCGGGGGGGCCAGGCGGCACACGUUGCCGUGGGGCGAGCCCCCGAGGCCGACUCCUCUGUCGAGGCGGCCGUCGUGCCGAGGGAGGCUGCUGGCGUGGCCACGACCUCGAGCCCACCAGAUGCGUUGCCGGCGCUGGCACCGGCUUCUGCCGAGGCGGUUGCCGUUCUGGCCGUGGAGCCAUCCAUCGUCGCCGACGCUGGGAUGGCCGAGGCGUCGCUGCUUGGUGCCCCGGAGGAGGGGGGCGCGGAACCGCGACCCGUCCCGGGGAGCGGUAACCUUGUCCCCGCGCGGCGCAGUCCCGAUGGGCGGCGUCAGUUGCUCCGGUUCCGGACCCGUGGGGCCUCGGAUCCCCUCUUCGUUCUUGACGAUGAGCGAGAGGAGUAGCCUUGGGACGGGCUUCGUGAGUGUGCCGAGGCAACAGUGCGGUCGCUUCGGUCGACCUUGGAGGUCCUUUGCAGGGACGUUCCCAAGAUCCUCCAGGUAAUGAUUUCAAGCAUGCCUUUCACGUGAUUAAGGCACUCUUUGUGGCGCCCCGCUUCCUUUCCUCAGGAUCUGACGGAUCUGAGCGCCGCCAAGUCGUCGUUCAUCCGCCGCGAGGCCGAUGUCUGGGUUUCGCUGCGGUCCCUGAGGACCACGCUUGCCAGGCUACCGAGCGCCUCUCCCAACGGAGCGCCGAGGUGGCGGACCUUCGGUUGCUCUGUGUCGAUCUGGGAGCAGAGGCAGCAGCGGCACGCGUAGAGGCACAGCGGCAGCAGUUGGAGCUCGGCCAGGUCAUCGGUGAGCGGGACCAGUCUCGGGGCCGGGCCGCCGAGGCUGAAAGCCGGGCUGAGGCUCUUGGAGUCCAGUUAGCCGAGGCGUCUGCUCGGGCCGGGGCCUUUGCGGCGGACCUAGCCGUGGCCCAAGCCGCAUCCUCAAAGCAACGCGCCCAAGCCGAAGGUAGGUCCUGGCUGUUUUAAGAUUUUGAUUCGGCUUCGUUCCUCAACUCAUGUUUGAAGUCUUCUGCUUUGGAUGUUCGCAGAGCUCGAGUCUGCCCUCGAUAAGUCCACCAAGGCGCUUGCCCAGGCGGCCGAGCAGAGGGAGGCCGACCACGCGGCCAUGUCUGAGGCCAUCUCGGCCUUCUGCCGGGUCUUUGGCUUUGACGACGUCCCCUCGGGAAGCUCCCCUCAGAGUCGCCUACAGGCCUUGGGUGACCAUGCGCGCGACAGAUUCCGCGAGGCGCUGCAUCAUGGCGUCAGGCGGGCCUUCGCCGUGCUCGCUUCCCACUACGACGUGGAUCUGGAGCGGGUCAGCGAGGGGUAUUGCCUUCCUGACGAAGAUGAAGCUGCCCUGGCCGAAGUCCAGAGGCUUGACGCAGCCGCCGCGGGCCCAAGCGCGGUACUGGCGACCACCUUCGAGGCAGAGAUCCUCCCGCUUGCGCCGUCGUCCGAGGCCGGGGCGGAUCUCGCCGAGGGUGGAGACGAAGCCGAGGGCGCGGCUCCUUCUCUGGGCGACGCCUGAUUCUGCCGGAGCAGUUUAUUUUGAAUGCAUGUGUGUCUUUUGCGGCCGCCGAGGCCCGAACACUUUAUCAUCGUAAUAUAAGGUUGUGUCUCUUUUCCUCCUGUUUCACGUAUCCGGACUCGUUCGUCAGUAGCGGGAUUGCUUACCCAAGUAAGAGUUAUUUUUCGUGGUAGGCGACGAGUGAGGUAUCCGUAUCCCAGAGGCGUAGGAAUCCCUCGGCUCGGUCGGCCUUGCCACUUACAUGCACCCUUAUUCAUUUCUUGGGGCCCUGUUACUGAUAUAGCCGGGAGACGCGAAAGUCUUUUUGAUGGAAGACUUUUUUUUGAGGAAAAUUUUGACGCAGAGGGGGUUCCCCCCUUCUAGCCCCCGAGGGAGGGUCGGGCUUUGCCGAGGCAAGGCUGACCCUUCCUUGAUGGUUAGACUUUGUAUGUGAACGAGGUGUACGAACGACUUGAAAGCAUCUUAAGGGUAGAAGCGACGUAGCUGUCGGAUGUUCCAAGCAUUGUUGUAGACCUCACCUUGACUCUUGGCCAGCUUGUAUGUUCCGGGCUUCAAAAUCUUGGCGAUGACGAAUAGCCCUUCCCAGGGAGGCGUGAGCUUGUGCCGCCCUCGGGCGUCUUGUCACAGCUGAAGCACCAAGUCGCCCACCUGGAGGUCUCGGGACCGAACCCCUCGGGCGUGGUAGCGUCGCAGGGACUACUGAUACCGUGCCGAGUGUAGUAAGGCCAUGUCCCGAGCCUCUUCCAGCUGGUCCAGUGAGUCUUCUCGGUUGGUUCGAUUGCUUUGGUCGUCGUACACCCUCGUCCUCGGGGAACCGUAUUCUAAGUCCGUGGGCAAGAUGGCCUCGGUCCCAUAGACUAGAAAGAACGGUGUGAAGCCCGUGGCUCGGCUCGGCGUUGUCCUCAGACUCCAGACCACCGAGGGGAGUUCCUUCAUCCAUCGCCUGCCGAACUUGUUGAGGUUGUUGUUGUGGGAUUACGGGGAGGCUACUCUAGCGCAAAACAAAAAUUUUCAUCCCCAUAAUACCAAGAACUACUGCGGUUAUAGGUCAUGGAAUUACCACUAGACGCGCAGAGCAGCGGAAGCCGUCUCGAUGUAGACGAACGCGUCGAGCAGUGCCGUGCAGUCGCCGGCGUCCUUCAAGUCCUCGCGCGGUUCGUCCAAGUGCUCCAGAUGUAGCACCUCCGAGGUAUCCACACGUACAGGGAGGAAGCGCCGCGUACCGAACUGCUAGGUUCGCGACGGCGGCUUGGCGAGGGCGAGAGGUGGGCGGCGGCUGUCAGUUCGCUGGUGGCAAAUUAGGUUAUCCUUAACCGCGCCCCCGCCCCUCAUUAUAUAGGCGUUAUGGUGGGCUUCUGACGCCGAGGCCCAUCAUUAACCCUAAAGCCCAGUCUAAUUUCGGAUCUAAUUCGAAUUAGGCUUCCUUCCCCUUAAGUGUGUGACCCUAUAGGUUCACGUACAAAUAGACAUAGCCCGAGUACUCUUACUUGGCCCAAUAAUUGACAGCGGCCUCUAGCAAGACAUGUCAACUCCUAUGUGUACGUAAAGAUCAUAUCAGACGAACCAUUGCAACAUUACGUACAUGCUGUUCCCUUUGUCUCACGAUAUUUGGUCUGGCUCUAAGCUGACCUCUCUUUCUCGAUACUGUGAAUUGGAAUCCUUUCAAUGGUUAACUCUUAACCCUAGCACGGCCAUGCAUUUCUUGAUCCAAUCACUCGAGGGGCCCAGAGAUAUCUCUCUCACAAAGAGAGGGACAAAUUCCAUCUUGACUGACCAUGCCUCACAGCAUGCUUCCUGACAAACCCAAAACUACCUUUAUAACUACCCAGUUACGAGAUAGCGUUUGAUAGUCCCUAAGUAAGUCAAUUCACAUCUUGAGAACAUGCGACAAUCUCAGGUCUAAGGAUACAGUAUUCAUGUUGCAAGAAGAGAACUAUAUUACAAUAUCUCACGUUGGGUCGGUCCAGCCUCAUGUCAUACAUGCGCCCACAUUAUUAGUUUAACAUCUCCAUGUUCAUGACUUGUGAAAUGUAGUCAUCAACUAAUACAUGUGCUAGUCAUCGACUCUGACUAGGGACAUCAUUUAGAAUAACCAUAUAAGUAAAGAAUCUCACAAACAAUUCACAUAAUUGCUAAUCAAUACAAGGUGCCUUCCAUGGAUAUUCAAUUAAGCAAUAUAUAUAUCAUGGAUACAAAGAAAUAUGCUCAUCUCUAUGAUUAUCUCUAGGGCAUAUUUCUAACAGUCUCCCACUUGCACUAGAGUUAAUCUAGAAGAUAUCUAAUACCCAUAGAUCUCACGUGUGCCUCAUGCUUAGGUUGUGGAAGAGGUUUUGUCAAAGGAUCAGCAACAUUCAAAUCCGUAUGUAUUUUGCAUAUCUUUAUCUCACCCCGCCUAAUGAAUUCCCGUAUGAGGUGAAACUUCCGUAGUACGUGUUUGUUUUUCUGGUGGUUCCUUGGCUCCUUAGCUUGCGCAAUAGCCCCAUUGUUGUCACAGUAGAGGUUCAAUGGGCUAGAUGCAUUAGGAAACACACCAAGCUCGAUGAGGAACUUCCUUAUCCAAACACCUUCCUUCGCAGAUUCAGAAGCUGCAAUGUACUCGGCUUCUGUUGUAGAAUCAGUCACAGUCUCCUGUUUGGAACUCUUCUAACUAACAGCACCACCAUUUAUUGUGAACACAAAACCUGAUUGCGAUUUUAACUCGUCUGGGUCAGUUUGGAAGCUAGCAUCGGUGUAACCAGUUACAACGAGCUCCUCCUUACCCCCAUAUACCAGGAACAUAUCUUUAGUCCUUCUCAAGUACUUAAGAAUGCCUUUUACCGCUGUCCAGUGAUCCUCACCUGGAUCAGCCUGGUAUCUACUCGUAGCACUUAUAGCGUAUGAAACAUCUGGGCGUGUACUUAUCAUGGCAUACAUGAUUGAUCCAAUCGCUGAGGCGUAUGGUACCUUACUCAUGCGCUCCCGCUCAUUAGCCGUCGCAGGACAUUGCAUCUGGCUAAGGUGUUUACCAUGUGACAUAGGUAUGAAACCUUUCUUGGACUGUUCCAUGUUGAACCGUUUCAAAACCUUGUCAAUGUACGUAUCUUGACUUAAUCCUAUAAGCCUCUUCGACCUAUCUCUAUAGAUCCUUAUGCCCAAAAUAUAUGCUGCUUCCCCUAAGUCCUUCAUAGAAAAACUCUUUUUCAGUGAAGCCUUGACGGACUCCAGCAUAGGAAUGUCAUUCCCAAUCAAUAAUAUGUCAUCCACAUACAAGAUCAGAAAUACAACAACGCUCCCACUUUCCUUCUUGUAAACACAAGCUUCUUCUUCAUUCUGAUGAAAACCAAGCCCUUUGAUCACUUCAUCAAAACGAAUGUUCCAACUCCGAGAUGCUUGCUUCAACCCAUAAAUGGAUUUUUGAAGUUUGCAUAUCUUUCCAGCAUUGAUCGGAUCGACAAAACCCUCGGGCUGUAUCAUAUACACGUCCUCAUCUAGGUUUCCAUUAAGGAAAGCUGUUUUGACAUCCAUCUGCCAAAUCUCAUAAUCGAAAUAUGCGGCAAUAGCUAGAAUGAUCCGAAUAGAUUUAAGCAUCGCUACUGGCGAGAAUGUCUCAUCAUAGUCAACUCCUUGAACUUGUCGAAAACCUUUUGCAACAAGUCGAGCCUUAUAGAUGUGAACAUUUCCAUCCAUGUCUUUCUUCUUCUUAUAGAUCCAUUUGCAUUCUAUAGGUCUAACACCAUCAGGCGGGUCAACCAAGUUCCAAACUUGAUUUUCUCCCAUGGAAUCUAUCUCGGAUCUCAUGGCGACAUGCCAUUUCUCGGAAUCUGGGUCCAUCAUCGCUUCUGAAUAUGUUGCAGGUUCGUCGUUGUCUAACAACAACACUUCCCCAUUGCCCAACAAUAGCACUUCUCCUCGUGCCUCGCGAAGCCUUGCUGACCUUCGUGGUUGUGGUGGUGAUUCUCUUGCCAUAGACGUCUCAACUUGUUCUGCUACAUUAGCAUCACUUGUCGAAUCUUGUCCCACUGGCUCAUCCUGAACUUCUUCAAGAUACACCUUUUGUUUACUUUUCUCUCUUUUGAGAAACUCUUUCUCUAAGAACACACCGUUCCGGGCGACAAACACUUUGCCCUCUGAGCGGUGGUAAAAGUAAUAUCCUAGAGUUUCCUUUGGAUAACCCACGAACAUGCACUUGUCCGAUUUUGGAGUGAGUUUAUCCGACUGUAGUCGCUUGACGUAAACCUCACAACCCCAAAUCUUCAGAAAAGACAAACUGGGAGUCUUCCCAGUCCACAUCUCAUAUGGUGUCUUAACUACGGACUUAGAUGGUACCCUAUUUAGUGUGAAAGCUGCUGUUUCUAGAGCGUAUCCCCAAAACGACAAAGGUAGGUCCGACUGGCUCAUCAUUGAUCGAACCAUAUCCAAUAAAGUCCGAUUACGUCGCUCAGACACGCCAUUCCUCUGAGGCGUUCCAGGCGGCGUAAGCUGUGGAACAAUUCCACAACUCUUUAGAUGAUUGCUAAACUCAUGACUCAAAUAUUCACCACCACGAUCUGAUCGCAGUGCUUUAAUUUUCUUGCCACGCUGAUUUUCUACUUCAUUCUGAAACUCUUUGAACUUUUCUAAGGAUUCAGACUUGUGUUUCAUUAAGUAGACAUACCCAUAUCUACUAAAAUCAUCAGUGAAGGUUAUGAAGUAUUGGAAUCCUCCCCUAGCUGUCGUACUCAUUGGUCCGCACACAUCAGUAUGUAUGAGUUCCAAUAAAUCUAACGUCCUCUCCGGUAAACCCGUGAAGGGCGCCUUGGUCAUCUUACCAAGUAAGCAAGCUUCACAUGUCUCGUAUGAUUCAAAAUCAAACGAAGUUAAAAGCCCAUCAGAAUGAAGCUUCUUCAUGCGAUUCUCACUUAUAUGACCCAAACGACAGUGCCACAUGUAGGUAGGACUUAAAUCAUUAGGCCGAGGCCUUUUAGCACUAAUAUUACAGAUAGGUGCAUCAUCAAGAUUUAAAAUGAAUAACCCAUUCAUAAUGGAUGCAAAAGCCACAAACAUGCCAUUCUUAGAGAUCACACAACCAUUGUUUUCACUCGCAAAUGAAUAACCAUCCUUCAUCAAACAUGAAGGAGACAUAAUGUUUCGACUCAUACUAGGAACUAGAUAACAAUUAUUUAACUCCAAAAUAAAUCCUGAUGGGAGGUGGAGUUGCAUCGUCCCGACGGUCAACGCAGCAACUCUUGCAUUAUUGCCUACCCGGAAAUCAACUUCUCCUCUUUUCACGCUUCUACUUCUUAUCAUUCCCUGCAUCGAAUUGCAAAUAUGGGCAACCGAUCCGGUAUCAAAUACCCAAGAAUUAAUAUAAGAAUCAGCAAGAAAAAUUUCUGUAAUGUGAAUAGCAAGUGUACCUGCUGCGGCUGUACCCUUACCGCCGCGAUCCUUAAUAGAGGCCAAGUACUGCUUGCAAUUCCUUUUCCAGUGACCAAGUUCUUUGCAAUAAAAGCACUCUGCAUCUGCAGCUGGUCCAGCCUUGGGCUUUUGAUUGGGCUUGGAUACUGUAUCCUUUCCCUUGCCCUUCUUCUUUUGAGACUUACCCUUCUUCUUAAAGUUGGGUUUGUUUUGGACCGCCAUCACAUGGCCGCUGCUGCCAGCACUUUUCUUUAUGUCCCCCUCUGCAGUUUUCAGCAUGCCACAUAGUUCAUUGAGGCCCCUCUCCGCCCCAUGCAUAUGGUAGUUCGUGAUGAAGUUUCCAUAGCUGGGCGGAAGAGAUGCCAAAAUGAAGUCAGUGGCCAACUCUUGGCUUAUUGGGAAGCCUAGCUUCUCCAACCUCUGACUGUAACCAACCAUUUUGAUUACAUGUGGCCCAACUGCUGCGCCUUCUGCUAGCUUGCAUUCCAGAAAGGCUUUGGACACAUUGAACCUUUCAGUCCUAGCCUGAGUCUGGAACAUAUCCUUGAGCGCCACGAUCAUAUCGUACACCUCAUGGUUUGUCUCAAACUGCAUCUGGAGCUCAGGCUCCAUGCAAGCAAGCAUUAGGCAACUCACUUCAAGAUUAGCAUCCAUUGCUUUCUUGUAAGCGGUUUUAGCUGCAGCAGUUGCAUUUUCACCAGGAUCCUCUGGCAGUGGGGUGUCUAGAACGUCUUCCUUUUUUUCAGCCCUGAGAACAAUUCUCAGGUUACGGAUCCAAUCCGUAUAGUUUGUUCCAUUUAACUUAUCCUUUUCAAGAAUUGAUCGCAAAGUAAAUGUUGGUGUGCUAGGUGCCAUCUACAACAAAAUAAUGCAAAAUACUAAGACAAAAGUAUCCAUGAUAGAGUAAAUCAUAUUAAACAUUUAAUAGUCUACUCCCACUAAAAUCAAUAUCCCUCAAUUGAUACUUAGUGAUUCAGAACCCACAACUAACAAGUCUACUAGUGAACUUUAGCAUCACCGCUAGAAGACAAGGUAGAUCGGUAAGCAACUCCUUGCUAAUCAUAUCAUAUAUAUGACUCCUGUUGUUGGGUGACAUCUCUAUGUCUCGGCUCCCAACCUUAUGCCUCAAAGUCCUUAACCAUUAAGCUGACUUUGUUUAAGUUAACCAACCCUUUCUGCAGUUCGUAUCCGAUACAAACCUAUCUAGUCAAGGAAAACUGGUGGCACCCUAAUUUCAUAGACCCACCACCAAUUGUACAAGACUUAUGAUAGUGCAAGGUUUGGAGAGGCAUUUAAAACUUAAACAUUUAUGAGGGAUCGUCCUACUUAUAACAUCGCACGCAAGGAAUUAUAUGCAAUAUAAACAAGUAGAACAAUAAGAAUGGCAUUCACACAACAGUUGUGAUUCGGUAUGGCUUGCUUUCACAUGGUGAUCUCCAUCUCCAAUAAUCUGUCCAUCACGAUGAUCUCCAUCUCCAUGAUAUAGGUAUGCCAUCCUCCAGGUGAUGAGUCCUUCAAGACCUAUCUAACGUAUGCUGGUAAACAAAUUACAUAUAUGCUUUGGAUCAUCACAUGUUGACACGCAGGUCAUUACAUUAAAUUUGGACAAUACAUGUGGCUCCAGCCGUAUUGCCCUGGUCACGACACGCAGGUCAUGAAUAAUUUAUUAACAUGCAUCACAUACACAUAAUAGCCAUACCGAUCACAUGUCCUGCAAAAACAGGUUAGACAAACACGUUUCUAUACGUUCGCCACUACAGCAGAUAGCCACGGCGGUCCCGAGACUUUCGACCCGAAGAAGAUUACACUCAUGACGUCGAUCUGUUGCGUCAAUCUGCUGGUUGUGUACGCAGUUAGCCCCGAUGGUGAUUCCAGCCGGUAGGGGCAAGUCACGCAUACAACAGAGAAGGACGAACUGAUCUCUCCAGUCAUAUCCGAUGUAAUCUACUUCAACCCUUUAUUACCAAUUGAUCUAAUCAAACCGUGCAUCAAGUAGAUCCAUCACAUGAACCUAGAUCCAGACCUAAAACUUACGCAGAACCUGGCUCCGAUACCACUGUGGGAUUACGGGGAGGCUACGCUAGCGCAAAACAAAAAUUUUCAUCCCCAUAAUACCAAGAACUACUGCGGUUAUAGGUCAUGGAAUUACCACUAGACGCGCAGAGCAGCGGAAGCCGUCUCGAUGUAGACGAACGCGUCGAGCAGUGCCGUGCAGUCGCCGGCGUCCUUCAAGUCCUCGCGCGGUUCGUCCAAGUGCUCCAGAUGUAGCACCUCCGAGGUAUCCACACGUACAGGGAGGAAGCGCCGCGUACCGAACUGCUAGGUUCGCGACGGCGGCUUGGCGAGGGCGAGAGGUGGGCGGCGGCUGUCAGUUCGCUGGUGGCGAAUUAGGUUAUCCUUAACCGCGCCCCCGCCCCUCAUUAUAUAGGCGUUAUGGUGGGCUUCUGACGCCGAGGCCCAUCAUUAACCCUAAAGCCCAGUCUAAUUUCGGAUCUAAUCCGAAUUAGGCUUCCUUCCCCUUAAGUGUGUGACCCUAUAGGUUCACGUACAAAUAGACAUAGCCCGAGUACUCUUACUUGGCCCAAUAAUUGACAGCGGCCUCUAGCAAGACAUGUCAACUCCUAUGUGUACGUAAAGAUCAUAUCAGACGAACCAUUGCGACAUUACGUACAUGCUGUUCCCUUUGUCUCACGAUAUUUGGUCUGGCUCUAAGCUGACCUCUCUUUCUCGAUACUGUGAAUUGGAAUCCUUUCAAUGGUUAACUCUUAACCCUAGCACGGCCAUGCAUUUCUUGAUCCAAUCACUCGAGGGGCCCAGAGAUAUCUCUCUCACAAAGAGAGGGACAAAUUCCAUCUUGACUGACCAUGCCUCACAUCAUGCUUCCUGACAAACCCAAAACUACCUUUAUAACUACCCAGUUACGAGAUAGCGUUUGAUAGUCCCUAAGUAAGUCAAUUCACAUCUUGAGAACAUGCGACAAUCUCAGGUCUAAGGAUACAGUAUUCAUGUUGCAAGAAGAGAACUAUAUUACAAUAUCUCACGUUGGGUCGGUCCAGCCUCAUGUCAUACAUGCGCCCACAUUAUUAGUUUAACAUCUCCAUGUUCAUGACUUGUGAAAUGUAGUCAUCAACUAAUACAUGUGCUAGUCAUCGACUCUGACUAGGGACAUCAUUUAGAAUAACCAUAUAAGUAAAGAAUCUCACAAACAAUUCACAUAAUUGCUAAUCAAUACAAGGUGCCUUCCAUGGAUAUUCAAUUAAGCAAUAUAUAUAUCAUGGAUACAAAGAAAUAUGCUCAUCUCUAUGAUUAUCUCUAGGGCAUAUUUCUAACAGUUGUAGAUCCUCGGCUUGAGUCCUUGCAGAAUCAUGGCGUUGGCACGCUCUACUUGCCCAUUCGUCAUGGGGUGAGCCACGGCGGCCCAGUCCACCCGAAUGUGGUGAUCCUCGCAGAAGUCCGGGAACUUUCUGCCGGUGAACUGGGUGCCGUUGUCGGUGAUGAUGGAGUUUGGGACCCCAAAGCGAUGGAUGAUGUUGGUGAAGAACGCCACCACCUGUUCGGACCUGAUGCUGUUUAGGGGUCGGACCUCGAUCCACUUGGAGAAUUUGUCGAUAGCGACCAACAGGUGCGUGUAGCCCCCGGGUGCCUUCUGCAAGGGACCGACGAGGUCCAGACCCCACACAACAAAUGACCGGGUGAUGGGUAUUGUCUGCAGAGCCUGAGCGGGCAGGUGGGUCUGCCUUGCGUAGAAUUGACACCCUUGGCAGGUGCGGACAAUUCUAGUGGCGUCGUCCACCGCGGUUGGCCAGUAGAAACCUUGUCGGAAAGCGUUUCCAACAAGGGCUCGAGGCGCUGCGUGAUGACCGCAAGCCCCCGAGUGUAUUUCUUGUAAGAGCUCCUGACCUUCGACGAUGGAUAUGCAUCUCUGGAGGAUGCCGGAGGGGCUGCGGUGGUAGAGCUCCUUCCCGUCCCCUAGCAAGACGAACGACUUGGCGCGCCGCGCCAGUCGCCGAGCUUCGGCUCGGUCGAGGGGCAGCUCUCCCCGGUGGAGAUAUUGCAGGUAUGGGGUCUGCCAAUCCCGAUUAGGCGGGACCCCAUUCCGCUCCUCCUCGACGCGCAGUGCCUCACCCUCGGGGGCCGAGGGUGCCUCGGGCUGAACCGAGGGCGCCUCGGGCUUAGCCGAGGGUGCCUCGGGCAGGGCCGAGGCCUUCUCGGGCUCGGGCGUGUCGUCGGUCUUGACUGUGUGUUGAUGUCGGUCUCGGGAGAAGACGUCCGGGGGAACCGUUGUCCACCCCGAGGCUAUCUUAGCCAGCUCAUCCGUAGUCUCGUUGUAUCGUCGGGCGAUGUGGUUGAGCUCGAGCCCGUAGAACUUGUCUUCCAGGCGCCGAACCUCAUCGCAGUAGGCUUCCAUCUUCGGGUCGCGGCAGUGGGAGUUCUUCAUGACUUGGUCGAUGACGAGCUGUGAGUUGCCACGAGCGUCGAGGCGUCGGACCCCUAGCUCGAUGGCGAUGCGCACCCCGUUAACCAGAGCCUCGUACUCAGCCACAUUGUUGGACGCCGGGAAAUGGAGGCGCAGCACGUAGCGGAGGUGCUUCCCGAGGGACGAGAUGAAGAGCAGGCCCGCGCCUGCCCCUGUUUUCAUCAGCAACCCGUCGAAAAACAUGGUCCAGAGUUCCGGUUGGAUCGGAGCUGCUGGAAGCUGGGUGUCGACCCAUUCAGCCACAAAGUCCGCCAAGACUUGGGACUUGAUGGCCUUCCGAGGGGCGAACGAGAUUGCUUCGCCCAUGAUUUCCACCGCCCACUUUGCAAUCCUACCCGAGGCCUCCCGGCACUGGAUGAUCUCCCCCAGGGGGAAGGAUGACACCACAGUCACCGGAUGAGACUCGAAGUAGUGUCGCAACUUCCGCCGCGUCAGAAUCACAGCAUACAGCAGCUUCUGGAUCUGUGGGUAGCGGAUCUUGGUCUCGAACAAUACCUCACUGAUGAAGUAGACCGGCCUCUGAACAGGCAAUGCAUGUCCUUCUUCUCGUCUCUCAACCACGAUCGCGGCGCUGACCACCUGAGUGGUAGCGGCGACGUAGAUCAAGAGGGCUUCUCUGGCAACGAGGGGCACCAAGAUGGGCGCGUUCGUAAGGAGCGCCUUCAGUUUCCCGAGGGCUUCCUCGGGCUCGGGGGUCCAAGUGAAGCACUCGGUCUUUCUUAAGAGGCGAUACAGAGGUAGGCCUCUUUCGCCGAGGCGCGAGAUGAAGCGGCUCAGAGCCGCAAGGCAUCCCAUGACCCUCUGUACGCCUUUCAAGUCCUUGAUGGGCCCCAUGUUGGUGAUGGCCGUGAUUUUCUCCGGGUUGGCCUCGAUGCCCCGCUCGGAGACGAUGAACCCCAAGAGCAUGCCUCGGGAGACUCCGAAGACACACUUCUCGGGAUUGAGUUUCACGCCCUUCGCCUUGAGACACCAGAAUGUCGUUUCAAGGUCGGAGAGGAGGUCGGAGGCUUUCCUCGUCUUGACUACGAUGUCAUCGACGUAAGCCUUGACCGUUCGACCAAUGUGCUCGCCAAACACGUGGUUCAUGCACCUUUGGUACGUCGCACCCUCAUUCCUCAAACCAAAUGGCAUAGUAACGUAGUAGUACGUGCCAAAAGGUGUGAUGAAAGAAGUCGCGAGGUGGUCGGACUCUUUCAUCCUGAUUUGGUGAUACCCCGAGUAGGCAUCGAGGAAAGACAGGGUUUCGCACCCAGUAGUGGAAUCCACGAUUUGAUCGAUGUGAGGCAGAGGGUAGGGAACCUUCAGACAUGCUUUGUUUAGACCAGUGUAGUCUACACACAUCCGCCAUUUCCCUCCUUUCUUUCUCACAAGCACAGGGUUGGCAAGCCAUUCGGGAUGGAAUACCUCUUUGAUGAACCCAGCGGCCAUUAGCUUGUGGAUCUCCUCUCCUAUGGCUCUGCGCUUUUCUUCGUCGAAUCGGCGCAGAGGCUGCUUCACGGGUCGGGCUCCAGCUCGGAUAUCCAGCGAGUGCUCGGCGACAUCCCUCGGUAUGCCAGGCAUGUCCGAGGGACUCCACGCAAAAACUUCGGCGUUUGCGCGGAGAAAGUAGACGAGCACUGCUUCCUAUUUGGGGUCGAGCUUGGAGCCGAUCCGUAUCUGCUUGGAGGUGUCGUUGCUGGGGUCGAGAGGGACGGACUUAACUGUCUCUGCUGGCUCGAAGUUGUCGGCAUGGCGCUUCACGUCUGGCGCCUCCUUGGAGAGGCUCUCCAGGUCGGCGAUGAGGGCCUCGGAUUCGGCGAGGGCCUCGGCGUACUCCACGCACUCUACGUCGCAUUCGUACGCGUGUCGGUACGUGGGGCCGACGGUGAUGACCCCGUUGGGGCCCGGCAUCUUGAGCUUGAGGUAGGUGUAGUUGGGGACGACCAUGAACUUGGCGUAGCAUGGCCUCCCCAGCACUGCGUGGUAGGUUCCUCGGAACCCGACCACCUCGAACGUGAGGGUUUCCCUUCGGAAGUUGGAGGGAGUCCCGAAGCAGACGGGCAGAUCGAGUUGUCCGAGGGGCUGGACGCGUUUUCCGGGGAUGAUCCCAUGAAAAGGCGCCGCGCCUGCCCAGAUCGAGGACUGAUCGAUCUGCAGGAGCCCGAGGGUCUCGGCGUAGAUGAUGUUGAGGCUGCUACCUCCGUCCAUGAGGACCUUGGUGAGGCUGACGUUGCCGAUGAUGGGGUCAACAACGAGCGGAUACUUCCCCGGGCUCGGCACGCGAUCGGGGUGGUCGCCCUGGUCGAAGGUGAUGGGCUUGUCGGACCAGUCUAGGUAGACUGGCGCCGCCACCUUUAUCGAGCAGACCUCCCGACGCUCUUGCUUGCGGUGCCGAGCCGAGGCGUUCGCCACUUGCCCACCGUAGAUCAUGAAACAGUCGUGGACCUCGGGGAACUCCUCAGCCUUGUGAUCCUCCUUCUUGUCGUUGUUGUGGGCUCGGCCACCUUCCACCGGUGGCCCAGCCCUGUGGAAGUGGCGCCGAAGCAUGACGCACUCCUCGAGGGUGUGCUUGACGGGCCCCUGGUGAUAGGGGCACGGCUCCGUUAGCAUCUUGUCGAAGAGGUUGGCGCCUCCGGGAGGUUUCCGAGGGUUCUUGUACUCAGCGGCGGUGACAAGGUCCGCAUCGGCGGCGUCACGUUUCGCUUGCGACUUCUUCUUGCCUUUCUUCUUGGUGCCGCGCUGAGUGGAUGCCUCGAGGACAUCUUCCGGUUGGCGGCCCUGGGGCUGCUUGUCCUUCCAGAAGAUGGCCUCAACCGCCUCCUGGCCAGAGGCGAACUUGGUGGCGAUGUCCAUCAGCUCGCUCGCCCUGGUGGGAGUCUUGCAACCCAGCUUGCUCACCAGGUCGCGGCAGGUGGUGCCGGCGAGGAACGAGUCGAUGACGUCCGAGUCGGUGACGUUGGGUAGAUCGGUGCGCUGCUUCGAGAAUCACCAGAUGUAGUCCCGGAGAGACUCUCCCGGCUGCUGGCGGCAGCUUCGGAGAUCCCAGGAGUUCCCAGGGCGCACGUACGUGCCCUGGAAGUUGCCAGCAAAGGCUUGGACCAGGUCAUCCCAGUUGGAGAUCUGCCCCGGAGGCAGAUGCUCCAGCCAGGCUUGAGCGGUGUCAGAGAGGAACAGGGAGAGGUUGCGGAUGAUGAGGUUGUCAUCGUCCGUUCCACCCAGCUGGUAGGCCAGUUGGUAGUCCACGAGCCACAGUUCCGGCCUUGUGUCCCCCGAGUACUUUGUGAUGGUAGCCGGGGUUCGGAACCGGGUCGGGAACGGCGCCCGUCGUAUGGCCCGGUUGAAAGCCUGCGGACCGGGUGGUUCGGGCGAGGGACUCCGAUCCUCCCCGCUAUCGUAUCGUCCCCCACGCUUGGGGUGGUAGCCUCGGCGCACCCUCUCGUCGAGGUGGGCUCGACGGUUGCGGUGGUGGUGCUCGUUGCCGAGGCGACCCGGGGCUGCAGGCGCUGUGUUGCGCGUGCGCCCGGUGUGGACCGAGGCUUCCCGCAUGAAUCGGGAAGUCGCGGCGCGAUGCUCCGAGGGGUACCCCUGCCUUCGGGAGGCAGAGCUUUCGGCCCGUCGGACCGCAGCAUCCUCCAGGAGAUUCUUGAGCUCUCCCUAGAUACGCCGCCCUUCGAUGGUUGAUGGUUCCGGCAUCGCUCGGAGUAGUAUUGCUGCCGCAGCCAGGUUCUGGCCGACCCCACUGGAAGCCGGUGGCGGCCUUGCCCUGACGUCGUCGGCAAUGCGGAGCUAGAUGCCCUGGGGCAGAUGACGCACUUCUUCGGCUAGAGCUCGGUCUGCCCAUUCCUGCCCGAUGUUCCGCUGGAACUGCUCAAGUGUUCCUGCUCCCUCGUCGAGCCUGGCCUGCACCUCGCGGAUUUGCUCGAGCUGUGCGUCCUGACCCCCCACAGGGACUGGGACCACAGCUAGCUCCCGAAGGAUGUCAACGCGAGGCGCAUGCCUAGAAGGAUCACCGUUUUCCGGCAUACCAAGAUGGUUGCCUUCGCCGGGACCCCCUAGAUCGACGUGGAAACAUUCACGACUUGGGCUGCAGUCCUCGUCGCCGAAGCUGCGGCUACCAUCGGAACAAUCGGAGAGGCAGUAGUCGCAUGCGGUCAUGAAGUCCCGCAUGGCACUGGGGUUACCGAGCCCGGAGAUAUCCCAACAAAAGUCGGGCUCGUCAUGUUCCUCGGAACCCGAGGGUCUGUAGGUCGAGACGGCCGUCAGCCGGUCCCAGGGUGACCGCAUAUGAUACCCCAGAGGGUUUGUAUGUGCCUUUACGAAAGCGUCCACCGAAGCAGGGUCACUCGGUGGGUCGCAGCUGGAUCUAAAAGGCACGAAAUGGGAAUCGGUCGGUACCUCUUGGUCGACGGGCGGUGACGAAUUGAGUCAGGGGCGGACUGCGUCGUCGUCUCAGGUAUGAGGGUGACGCCCAACAAGUCCCUCGUGAGUGUGCUGGCGUCGUUCGUCCGCUUGGAGCUGGCGUGUUGCGGGGAAACGGCGCUCGUCUUCGUCUCAGACGCGAGGUUGACGCCCGACGUGUCCCCCGUUGGGGCGUCGGCGCCGUCGACUCGCUCGACAGCCGACGAGGUGCCGCCUCCUGCUUGGCCAUGCCUGCCUCGUCUCCUCCGUCGGUGGGGAAGGUGACGGGACAGACCCGAAUGUCGUUCUUCCGCCACGUGGGGAAGACGUCGUUGAUUCCGCCUCCGACGGGCGGGCUGUCGGCCGCCAUUGUCGCUGUCGCGCGGCGGAGGAAGGAGUAUCAUGUCGUAGCCGCCGUCGAGGGACAUAAACUCAAGACUCCCAAAACGGAGAAUCGUCCCGGGUUGGAAAGGUUGCUGGAGACUACCCAUCUGGAGCUUGACGGGAAGCUGUUCGUCAACACGCAGCAGGCCCUACCUGGCGCGCCAACUAUCGGCGUUUCGACCCCGGGGGUCCCUGGACCGACGAGUAAAUUGUCGCCGCGUGUCCCAGCCCAGAUGGGUCGGCGCGAGAUGGAGCACGAAGGGGGGGAAAAGGAGACAGGCAAAAUGGGAAACCCGCGGCCUUCGUGUUGUCCUGCGCCCAGGUCGGGUGCGCUUGCAGUAGGGGGUUACAAGCGUCCGCGUGGGAGAGAGCGAGGGACUUGCGCGUCGGCCCGUUCUCCCGCGCGGCCAACCUUCUCGUACGAGAGCCCUGGACCUUCCUUUUAUAGGCGUAAGGAGAGGGUCCAGGUGUACAAUAGGGAGAGUAGCAGUGUGCUAACGUAUCUAGCAGAGAGGAGCUAGUGCCCUAAGUACAUGCCGUCGUGGCAGCUAGAGAGGUUUUGGCACCCUGUUCAUGUGAUGUCGUGGCCGUCGGAGGAGCACUGGAGCCUUGCGGAAGGACAGCUGUCAGGGUUGUCGAGUCCUUGCUGACGUCUCCUUGCUUCCAUAAGGGGCUGAGAGACGUCGUCGUCAUGGAGCACGCGGGGCGCCAUCAUUAUUUGUUUACCGGGGCGAGCCAGAUGGGACGCCGGUCUUGUUCCCCGUAGCCUGAGCUAGCUAGGGGUAGGGUAAUGAUGGCCUCCUCUGUGACGUGGUCGGUCCGAGCCUUGGGUCGGGCGAGGCGGAGGCUCCUCCGAGGUCGAGGUCGAGGUCGAGUCUGUCUUCCGAGGUCGAGGUCGAGUCCGAGCCCCGGGUCGGGCGAGGCCGAGACCGUUGUCCGAGGCCAAGGCUGAGCCCGAGCCCUGGGCUCAGGCGAGGCGGAGUUCGUCGUCUUCCGAGGCCGAGACGGGGGCCGAACCCUGGGGUCGGGCGAGGCGGAGCUUCCUAUGGCGCCCGAGGCCGGACUUGGCUGCUGUCAGCCUCAUCCUGUCGAGUGGCACAACAGUCGGAGCGACGCAGGCGGCGCUGUCUUCUUGUCAGGUCAGUCAGUGGAGCGGCAAAGUGACUACGGUCACUUCGGCUCUGUCGACUGAAGAGCGCGUGUCAGGAUAAGGUGUCAGGCCAUCCUUGCAUUAAAUGCUCCUGCGAUACGGUCGGUCGGCGUGGCGAUCUGACCAAGGUUGCUUCUCGGCGAAGACUGGGCCUCGGGCGAACCAAAGGUGUGUCCGUUGCUUGAGGGGCCCCUCGGGCGAGACGUGAAUUCUCUGGGGUCGGCUACCCUUGCCCGAGGCUGGGCUCGGGCGAGGCGAGAUCAUGUCCCUUGAAUGGACCGAGCCUUGACCUUAAUCGCACCCAUCAGGCCUUUGCAGCUUUGUGCUGAUGGGGGUUACCAGCUGAGAUUAGGAGUCUUGGGGUACCCCUAAUUAUGGUCCCCGACACUAUUAAUAAGAUAUGUGGCUGAUAGAAAAGCUUCAUCCCAAAAUUUUAGCGGCAUAGAAGCAUGAGAUAGUAAGGAGAGGCCAACUUCGACAAUGUGUCGAUGCUUUCGUUCAUGUGCCCCAUUUUGCUGGUGCGUAUGAGGGCAGGAGACCAAAUGAGAUAAGCCAAUUUUAGUAAAAACUAGAUUUAACUUUUGAUAUUCUCCUCCCAGUCUGUUUGAAUGGCGCGAAUUUUUCUAUCAAUUUGCCUUUCAACGAGUUGUUGAAAUUCAAUAAAUUUUUGGAACACCUCAGAUUUCAGUUUGAUAAGGUAAAUCCAGGUAAAUUUGCUGUAAUCAUCAAUAAAGCUGACAUAAUAUUGUUUUCUGCCUACAUACUAAAUUGCAGGACCCCAUACAUCAGAAAAUAUGAGCUCUAAAGGAGAGCUGGACUUACUAGAUGUAUGGGGUCCUGCAAUUGCAGGACCCCAUACAUUCUCAGGUGCUAUUCUCAGGUGCCAUCCAAAGUAGCGGGAGGUUGUUACUCGAGUAUAGGAUAUACAUGGAUAUAGAAUACAUUGCAUAUCUAUUCUAAUAGAUACUACAUAGGAUAACUAGCACAUCUUGUCAACAAAUAAUGUUUAGUAGAAGAUCUACAUGAAUGUAAGGAAAAUGGACCGUGGUCUAUUUGCUUAUGUAAUUUUAGUGUUUGAUGAUCAACACAACCUAUGGACUAAUAUAUUUGCUAGUGUUUAUUAUUAUAGUUCAAAGGAUGUAGAGUAGACUUGAACCCCUCAAAGAAGACAAUAGAAAACUCAUUGAAGACUUGACAACAUCAUGCAAGAGUCCAAGGCACAAAACAAAAAAAAGCCCAAGUGAAGUAACAUGAAGAAUAAAAGACUAAGCUAUAACAGGGUAACCGGACGGUCCAGAGGUACACCGGACCUAGACACCAGACUAAACACGUAGAGAUGUAUAAUAUGCACCUGAGCCUGCUGGCACACCAGACCGCACAGGCUCAAUGGUUGGUAACGACUAGCUUGAACUUUCACAUGAUGUGGUAGGCACCUGACCAAUCCGAUUUAAACUGUUGGCACACCGAACCUCUGGUGUGCAGCAAAAAAGCUGACAACCAUCCAACGACAAGAUGACGUGAAAUGGUUCCAGAUUAGGUCCGAUAUACACAGUUGGUGCAUUAGAUCGGUACGCAAAAAAUCAUACUACCUUCGAACGACUCUUUUGGCCUUGGGGCUCUAUAUAUACCAUACAACUAGCCAUUUGAAGCUAUGGAGAGCUAAGAAACUCAGUGUAUGUGUUGAGACACAAUUCCAUGGCUCAAAACAUCCACGUGCUCAAUAGAAUCCCUCGAUGAUUAGCAUAGGUGCUUUACAAACCGCUGGAUAACACUUGCUCUAGGUUUAUUCCUAGUUGGUUAGAGUGAGGUUAGACAACCCAAAAACCCCUCAUCUCUUGCGCGAGUCAUGCAAGAUCACAUCAACCAUGUUUGUGGUGUGGCCGCCACCAUAUACUGAAGGGAAUGAAGCCAACGACGUUUUAGCUAGAAGCCCAAUAGUAAAGACAGCGGGGAGUGAAAGGGAACUGGGCCAUAAGGCUAUUUCUAUAUUAGUUUUGGUGUUUGAUGACCAUCACAACCUUAUGGACUAACUAGUUUGCUACAUGAAUAGUCUUAGGUUCAUAAGAUUAAGAUUUGAAGAUUUAAGUUAGAAAUAGCUCAAACACGAGCUAAAAGGGCACAUUUUAGAAAAAGAUGAACUAUAAGUAGUUCAAGUACUUGGAUAAGUUAUAAGUUCCCUAGGAACACAUGUGGGCAUAAAAAGAGGUUGGGAAGUUCAGAAAUUGAUAUUGACACUUUGGAGCCAAGUUUGAGCAAAAAUGAGAAUAUGAGUAAUAACUGGCAAGCCUAUUGUAUCCCCAUUUAGUGCGCGCAAUGACACAUCUAUAUGUCGACCAACUACCAUCUAAGUACAUACUAAGGCGAUACACAAGAAACACGAUAGUGGUGACAAGAUUCGAUAGACAUGAUAAAGCAUUAUGUGUUGCUAAUGGUAACACACUGGCAUGAAGAACAAAGUCAAUUCUUGUAGAUGUUUCCAAGCUAAAAAGAUGAGUGCUAAACACGAUAGUGGCAUGAAGAACAAAGUCAAUUCUUGGAGAGAUCCUAUAUUUAUAGAGGAAAUUAAGCACUUAAAUCAGAUUUUUUGUUUUCAUGCAUCCCAAUCCAUUUUCUUUCAACGCACAUUCUUGCCAUCCUAAAUGUGUGUGCAUGCAGCAGGAAACAUAAUUUUUGCGUUGUACCGCAGUGUAUAAAUAUAUAUACUGUGUAGCAUAAUUAGUGUCAGUAUAUGUCAUAAACCGGUUCCAACGAUUCUACCUGCAUGGCUGUUGUCAAGAUUCUACUUUUAUGGACGAAAUAAAGCAUUUAAAUCAGAUUUUUUUGUUGCCAUGCAUGCCAAUUUAUUUCCUUUCAACCCACAUUCUUAAUCUCCUAAAUUUGUGCGCAUGCAGCAGGAAACAUAUUUUUUAUGCGGUGUACCACACUGUAUAAAUAUCUAUACAAUGUAGCAUAAUUAAUAUCAGUAUAUAUCAUAAACUAGUUCCAACGAGCAUAAUAACUGCAUUGCUGUUGUAGAGAUCCUAUUUUUAUGGACAAAAUAAAACACUAAAAUUAGUUUUUUUGUUUCCAUGCAUGUCAAUCCAUUUUCCUCUCAACGCACAUUAUUGUCAUCCUAAAAUUGUGUCCAUGCAGCAUGAAAUUGAUUUUUAUGCAGCGUACCAUAUUGCAUAAAUACCUACACUGUGUAGCAUAGCUUGUGACAUUAUAUUUCAUAAAAUAUUUCUAAUGAGUCUAGCUACAUAGCUGUUAUAGAGAUCAUAUAUUUAUGGAAAGAAUAAAUCAUUCAAAUCAGAUUUUUUGUUUCCAUGUAUGCAGCAGUUAACUGAUACACUUCAUAAUUAUUCGCGCAUGCAAAUGAAAACAAACUGCGCGCAUGCAAGGAAUGGAUGCAUGCGGGAGGUGGGCUGGCGGCCAGGAUGCGAUGGUGCAUGGCUGGCUGGGGCUUCCUGUAUGCUAUAGAAGCCUAGAGAUUAUAUAUAUAUAGUGGAAAAUUAAAAAAUAGAAAAUAAUCACUGUCCGCUAAGUUUAAAAAGCGAUAGUGGCAAAAUAUUUUCACUAGCGUUUGUUAUAAGAGAACCAACCGUGGAAAUUUAUUUCCAUAGGCGGUUGAGUAAAUAAAACCGCCUAAUGGCGGAUGCAGGACAUAAUUUCAUGUGGGGCCAAACAAAAUCAUAAGACAUCUAGAUAAGAUUAUAAAACAGAUGUAACACUGCAUAUAGAAUCUAGUGAUCAAACAAUAGAAAUUAAAAUUUGAAAGAAGAGAAAAAUAUGAACAAGAAAAACUAACAUGUCAAUGUUGCGAUGGCUGAAUGACUGAAUUGUGCGGGUGUGAGUGCAGGGAGAAGGGGGAUGGACGGGCGACAGCGACAUUGGUGCGGCGACAGAGUUGGUGAGCGCAGAAGGGGAGCUAGGUGUGGCAGCGACAUUGGUGCAACACAGAAGAGGGCAGGCGACAAAGUCAGGGCGAGUACAACAAGGGGAUGGCGACGACGGAGUCAAGCACUUCUACCUUGUGUUGAUCGGAUACAACGAUAACAAAAUAGAAGCGGAAUCGGUCUGUUUUAGAAAGUUGUGGAGUUGGAUUGUUGGACAGGAUGGUGGAUGUGUGCUGCAUUUUGCCUUCAUGUCCUUACUAUUUUUUUCAAUUCGCAUCAUAUUCAACAUAUAUAUAAGAAGACAAAAAAUUGAGGUGGGGCCACAGCCCCCUUUGCCCACCCCGUGGCUCCGCCCCUGAAACCGCCCACAAUUUCUACUCAUCCCUAGCACUAGCGGUUCUAAAAAACGUUAGUGAAAAUGAGUUACGAACUACCUCUAUGUAACUUCUUUGUACUAGUAUCUCAUCUGAUCUCUUAUUUCAAAUGACACUGUUUACAGGUAAUUAGUGUUAUCUACAUAUGUAGGCAUGCAAUGCACGAUUGUUAGCCACGACAUAUUAGGCUAUCUCCCACGGUCUCACAGUGUCACUUCUUAUUUCAAACUUGUCGGGGACCAUAAUUAGGGGUACCCUCAAGACGCCUAAUUCUCAGCUGGUAACCCCCAUCAGCAUAAAGCUGCAAAGGCCUGAUGGAUGCGAUUAAGUCAGGGAUCAGUCCAUACGAGUGACUCGAUCACGCCUCGCCCGAGCCUAGCCUCGGACAAGGGCAGCCGAACCCGAGGGAUUUCCGUCUCGCCCGAGGCCCCCCUUUUAACGGCGGACACAUCUCCGGCUCGCCCGAGGCCUUGCCUUCGCUAAGAAGCAACCCUGACUAAAUCGCCGCGCCGACCGACCGAGUCGCAAGAGCAUUUAACGCAAAGGUGGCCUGACACCUUUAUCCCGACGCGCGCCCCCCGGCAGAGCCGAAGUGACCACCGUCACUUCGCCGCUCCACUGACCGGUCUGACAGAAGGACAGCGCCGCCUGCGCCACUCCGACUGCAGUGCCACUUGACAGAGUGAGACUGACAGGCAGUCAGGCCCUGCCAAAGGCACCAUAGGAAACUCCGCUCCGCCUGACCCAGGGCUCGGACUCGGGCUAAGCCUCGGAAGACGGCGAACUCCGCUCCGCCCGACCUAGGGCUCGGACUCGGGCUAAGCCCCGGAAGACGGCGAACUCCGCUCCGCCCGACCCAGGGCUUGGACUCGGGCUAAGCCCCAGAAGACGGCGAACUCCGCUCCGCCCGACCCAGGGCUCGGACUCGGGCUAAGCCCCAGAAGACGGCGAACUCCGCUCUGCCCGACCCAGGGCUCGGACUCGGGCUAAGCCCCGGAAGACGGCGAACUCCGCUCCGCCCAACCCAGGGCUCGGACUCGAGCUAAGCCCCGGAAGACGGCGAACUCUGCUCCGCCCGACCCAGGGCUCGGACUCGGGCUAAGCCCCGGAAGACGGCGAACUCCGCUCCGCCCGACCCAGGGCUUGGACUCGGGCUAAGCCCCAGAAGACGGCGAACUCCGCUCCGCCCGACCCAGGGCUCGGACUCGGGCUAAGCCCCAGAAGACGGCGAACUCCGCUCCGCCCGACCCAGGGCUCGGACUCGGGCUAAGCCCCGGAAGACGGCGAACUCCGCUCCGCCCAACCCAGGGCUCGGACUCGAGCUAAGCCCCGGAAGACGGCGAACUCUGCUCCGCCCGACCCAGGGCUCGGACUCGGGCUAAGCCCCGGAAGACGGCGAACUCCGCUCCGCCCGACCCAGGGCUCGGACUCGGGCUCAGCCCCAGAAGACGACGAACUCCGCUUCGCCCGACCCCAGGGCUCGGACUCCGCCCUGGCCUCUACCGAACGACCUCCGCCUCGCCCGACCCAGGAGCUCGGGCUCGGCCCCGACCAUGGAAGACAGACUCGACCUCGGCUUCGGAGGAGCCUCCACGUCGCCCGACCUAGGGCACAGGCCCGCCACGUCAACAGGAAGCGCCAUCAUCACCCUACCCCGAGCCGACUCGGGCCGCAGAGAACAAGACCGGUGUCCCAUCUAGCUAGCUCCGCCAGAUAGGCAAUGAUGGCGCCCCGCAAGCCCUGUGACGACGGCGGCUCUCAGCUCUCUUACGGAAGCAGUGGGACGUCAGCAAGGACUCAACCACUCCGACAGCUGUCCCUCCGCCAGGCUCCGUUGCUCCUCCGACAGCCACGACAUCACACCAGCAGGGUGCCAAGGUCCCUCCGGCUGCCACAUUGGCAUGUACUUAGGGCGCUAGCUCUCCCCAGCUAGACAUGUAGCACUUUGCUACACCCCCAUUGUACACCUGGAUCCUCUCCUUACGCCUAUAAAAGGAAGGACCAGGGCCCUCUUAGAGAAGGUUGGCCGCGCGGGGACGAGGACGGGACAGGCGCUCUCUUGGGGCCGCUCGCUUCCCUCACCCGCGUGGACGCUUGUAACCCCCUAAUGCAAGCGCACCCGACCUGGGCGCGGGACGAACACGAAGGCCGCGGGAUUUCCACCUCUCUCACGCCCGUCUCCGGCCACCUCGCUUCCCCCCUUCACGCUCGCCCACGCGCUCGACCAAUCUGGGCUGGGGCACGCGGCACACUCACUCGUCGGCUUAGGGACCCCCGGUCUCGAAACGCCGACAGUUGGCGCGCCAGGUAGGGGCCUGCUGCGUGUUGACGAACAGCUUCCCGUCAAGCUCCAGAUGGGCAGUCUCCAGCAACCUCUCCGGCCCGGGACGGUGCUCCGUUUCGGGAGUCUUGAGUUCAUGUCCUUCGACGGCAGCUACGACAUGAUACUCCUUCCACCGCCGCGCGACAACGACAAUGGCGGCCGACAACCCGCUCGCCGGCGGCGGAAUCGACGACAUCUUCCCCGCGUGGUGGAAGAACAACAUUCGAGCUCGCCCCGUCCUCUCCCCUGCCAACGGAGGAGGAGGCGAGGCAACCAAGGCCAAGCGGGAGGCCGCGCUUCGUCGGCUGUCAAGCGAAUCGACGUCCCCAGCUGUAACACCCUGAAUUUGGGGGUAUAAAAUUUCUUUGCUAAUAUUCACAAAUUCAGGUGUUAUUUCCCUUUUCUCAUCCUUCCUCAUUCUUUUCUUUCUCAUUUCUAUAGGAGAAAAGUGCUUAUUUUAUUUGUAAUUAUAGUUUAUUAUGUUAAACCCUAAGGGAGUAUGAAUUGUUGCAUCAUGUUGAACCCUAGAUUUCACUUUUGCUUGGUGCAUAAUUCUUGGAAAGUUUGAUUUGAAUUUGUGGCUCAUUUGGAUUUGAAUCAAUUGGAGAAAAUAAAAAGAAAAGGGAAAACAAUUCCAGAAUAAAAAGAAAAGAGAAAGAGGCCUAACCCCGCCGCCCCCUCGGCCUUUCGGCCCAGCCGGCCCAAUCCCGCGCGCGCGCUCUCCCCCUCCCGCUCUCUCUGCCCUGGCGGGCCCGCCCGUCAGCGUAGCCGCCUCUCGCGCGCCCGCCUCCGCUCUCCCCUCUCUCUCUGCUCGCGGGCCCGGGCUGUCAGCCCCGUUGUCCCCGCGUAACCGCCGCCGAGCUGCGCGCGCCCGCCUUCUCCGCGCCCACGUCGCGUGUGGAGCUCGCAACUGACCCGCCCCUGGCCACUUGAGCCCCGAACCCCACUCGCCAUCGCCCCCUCCCCCAUUUGCGCUCUAGCGGACCCCUCUUCCACCUCUCCCUCGCUGCGCGCACGCAGAGCGCCGCCGCCGUAAACCCCGCCGUCCCGAGCUCGUUUCUCGGCUGCCAUUGGAGCUCCGCCGUGUCCGUUGCCACGGUGAGCUUCGCCCCGGCGUCCGCAACCCGGGACGCGCCCCAACUCCCUCUCCCCCUCCCUAUUUCUUUCUGCCCGCACUCACCCGCCGUUCCCCGUGCAGCCGCGGAGGUCCGCCACCGUCGCCCCGAGCCACCGUCGCGCCAUUGCCGCCGCCGAGGAGUCCCCGGAGCCCGCCUUGAGGUAAAGAACCUCUCCCGCCCCUAUCGACCCGUGUAUUGCCUUCUGUUGCGCUUAAUUCCUCGCCGGAGUAGAGUAAUCCCGCCGCCGAGCCGUUCCGCCGUGAACCGCCCCCCUCCUGUGCCCCUGCCCCGACCCAGACCCCACUAGAGGACUCCCCGUGCCCUCCCCAACCUUUCCUGGCCACUCAGGUCGCCCCAGAGACCCGCCAAACGCCCGCGCCCCUCGUCUCCGGCGAGCUCUCCGCCGCGGGGACGAGCGCCGCCGCCCCAGCUAGCCGUAGGAGAAGCCCAGGCCCACUUCCCCCUCACCCCGUCUCCCUGCCGUUUGGGCCCCGCCUGUCAGCCCGCCCGCGCGCGCGCUCUGCCCGCCGGCCCCGCCUGUCAGCCCGCCCGCGCGCGCUCUGCCCGCCGGCCCCGCCUGUCAGCCUGCCCGCGCCCCGCGCUGCCCGCCCGGUCCCGCCUGUCAGUCGCCCAGGCCGCCGCGCGCUCGCGCGCCCGCCCGCAGGAUCUAAUCCUGGCCGUUCGCUUUAGAUCUGACGGCCGUAGUAGCCCGAUACCCCUUCGCCUGCGCGUUUUCUUAAAGAGACCCCCAGUUUUCUGGAAUUUGAACCCACCGUCCCUGGUUUCUCGCAGUUAAGUCCCUGGACCUUUUAAUUAAUUCAAAAUAGGUACUUAGGGUAUAUUUUUAAUCCCCAAACUUGUAAAAUUCAUAACUUUGUCAUAUGAACUCCAAAUGAGGUGCUUCAAAUUGCAAAAUGCUCAUGAUGUUUUUGUCUAUCUAUUCAAACAAUGUUUCCCUGCUGUUUCCAUGUACCAAUUAAUAGUUAAUCACCAGGAUAGGAUUAAGGCUAUUGGAAUCUUAUUUGAGAUAAUUAGAAAUUGGUAGACUUUAAUAAAAGUUGGAUUACUUAAGUUUAUGGACUUAAACACCUAAGUUUAGGAACUUAAAACCAGGUAAUGAUUUAAUCCCACCACUGACUUAAACCUGAUUAGUGGAUAAUGAAUCACUUUGUAUAGUCCUCUAUCCCAGACCUAGGGAACACCAGAGUACCUAUCUCUUUUCUAGUAUGAACUUGUGAUCUCUCUGCUGCAUAUGUUUGGUAUGUUGCUUUUGUUUGUUGUCUUCCCAAGUGCAUAGUGUGAAUGAUUACUUUACGUAGACAACGAGCAGUCUGUGUUUCCCGAGGAGGUUGCAGAGGAAGUCCCUGAUCAGCAGUUUGGUGAAGGCAAGUGUCCUCUGUCCCAUUAUGUCCUAUUCAUUUAUAACUUACUACCCCGCAUUACUUAGUUGAAACCUAAGGAUUGACUAGCUUUACACUUUACUUUAUCCUUGAUAACCUUGUGGGCUGUUAUGGUUAGCACUCUGCUAUUGCCUUAACUUAAUCAAUGAACAUGAUGUGACUAUUUAUGAUACUGUUAUCCUGAUGAUGUUGAUGAUCUUGUGAUACUCUAGGGGGCUCAGGCUGUUUCCUGAGUACCUCUCCGUAAGGACUGGUUCGUUGAGAGACCACCCGGGAUAACAGUGCAACCAUGAGGGUGAAAUGGGAUACCCUUAGCUGAUUAAUUAGAUGAACUAGAGGUGUAGUUGCUUAGCCGUCGUGCCGUCAAUGGGGUCCAGGCACAGUGCUUGCUCUGCCGAGGCUGAGUGCCGAGGUUCUUUCGUUUUGCUCUUUGUUAGUCACUCUCCUGCGGGGAGGGGUACUGUGUUUAUCAAACUGGAGAAACCUAACGUGCAGCUAUGAUCUCUAGGGAAUCUUUGUAAAAGCUACGUAGUGAUGCCCUGCCGGACCACCUAGGUAGUGGUCAAUGGGGAUUAGCUCUCCCCGGGUAGAAAGGGAAUCAUGGCUCAUGGGUAAAGUGUGCAACCUCUGCAGAGGGUAGUGAAACUGGUAUAUCAGCCGUGCUCACGGUUAAGAGCAGCCUUGGGAUCCUCUUUGAUUAGUGAUACAGAUGGUUCGAGAUACAAGGAUUAUGUUAUGGUUUUGAUUCGACUACGAUGAUGAUGUUCCUCGAUGAGGAAAUGGUUUACGGGUUGGUUAAUGCUAAAAUCUGGCUUCUACUAAUGAUAAAUACCUGACCAACUAAAAGCAACUGCUUGAGCCUAACCCCACAUAAAGCUAGUCCACUUCAGCCAAACGGGACAUUUGCUGAGUACGUUGAUGUGUACUCAUCCUUGCUUUACCACAAAACACCAGGUUGCCCGCACUGUAACCACUGCUCAGGAGAAGGUGAAGCCGUGGAAGGAGACUUCCAAGAGUUUCAAGACUACGACGAAUUCUAGGUGUGGGUUGGCGGCAACCCCCAGUCAGCUGCCUGUGAAGGACUUAUCUUUACUGUGUUUCGCUAGUACUUUGAUUUACUUGUUAAGACAAUGACUAUGUGGAUGUCUAUGACUCUAUGAUGUAAUAAGUACCCUUUUAUGUUAUUAUUCGAGCAUUGUGUGAUGAUGUUCAUUUAUGUAAUCGCUAUGUACGUGAGUUCUGAUCCUGGCACGUACAUAGUUCGCAUUCGGUUUGCCUUCCAAAACCGGGUGUGACAUAAGUGGUAUCAAAGCCGUGCUGACUGUAGGACCGCUGACCUAGAGUAGCACUGGUCGUACUAAGGACUAUUGACCCUCCCCCUCACCUUGACCUCUGAUGUUACUUCAAAAGUCGGUCACCUCGACCAACCCUAUGUUUUACUACCUAUAUAUACUAUACCUUGUUAAAAAUUUUAUUUUAUUCUGUCUAUGGUUUAUUCACUUGUCAUAUUAGUUCUGCUCUUACUCUUAUGCUUACGGUGUCUUUUGUAGAUGGCUCGUCUUAGACACACUGCACGUAAGUCGGUGAUUCCUUUCCUGCCGUCUCGACUUGCGGAGCGUCCUCUGCACCGCACCGUGUCCGGUCAGUCGAGUCACCUGGAGAGGCUGCACCACCGCCUGCGUGAGGAGCAGGAACGCCGGCGCCAGCACAGAGAGCAGCAGGGCUCUUCCUCCCCACCCCAGCGAGAGGUGGAGUCUGUGCGGCCCCGUUCCUCUGUUGCCCAGCUGGAGGCGCCCCCUGCACCACUGCGGGACGCCCCGGCUGUUGGAGGAGCUACUGGAGGAGAUCCUGGAGGAGACCCCGACGACGACGACUCAGACCACAGCACGGAGUCCUCUGAGCCGCAGGAGGCGGAAGGAUGGGUCGCCCGACCCAUCACCCGUGACGCCGCUCGCGGUUGUCACUUCCACGACGCACUCGACACCUUGCUGCGCCAGGCUUUCGACCGGCACACCUGGUCGAUCGAGUAUCGUUGUGUAGUCUACCAGCACAGUCGCGGGAGGUAUCCGGACCGCUGGGAGGCUACCUGCCUAGUUCGCCGUCCGGAGGAUGACCUCCGGGGUGCGGAGGCCGUUUCGGAGCACUAUUCCAUCUCCGAGAGGGACACUGCAGAGGCGGCUAUGCAGGAUGCAGCACGGCAUGCACUCUCUCAGUACUGUUCUUUGUUCGGUGGCGUGGCCGACGGUCUCAACCUUCGGUACUACCCCCGCCGCCCUACUGGCAGCACAGAGAGUGUGGUUGUCUCACCUGUUGGUGAGGCUAACCCUAGGUUGAGCAGCACAGUCAACCUAGUCGCGGUGCUUAACACUGAGCUGGAUCACUCUCUGGACGAGCUAAGCAGGGCUCAAACGGAGAUUGCGGGGUUGCGUGCUGAGUUGGCAGAGCGCCAUCACCAGGAGGGUGGUUCUCCCGCACCUGUUGGGACUCAGCACCCAUACCGCUCACCGCCACGUGGUCACCACACUUAUGGUUCCCCUGUCUGUAAGACCAGGAUAGAUCUGGAUCCUUAGAUCGUUAGCGUCGAAGUUUGUAAUAAUUCUUAAGUCAGAUGUCUCAGUCUUAGGUAGUCAGUUUAGUUUGCUUAUCAGUUGCUUCCAUUUAGUUUAGUUUGCUUAUCAGUUGCUUUCAUGUUUGUUAUGAUGAACAUGUGCUGGAUUUGAAUCUUUGUAAUGACUGUAGCCAACAUGUGGGUUUCCCCUGCAGUUUGGCUUAGCUAGUAAUGUUAAUGAAGUCAGUUGUUUAGUUGGGAAACCCUUUACUCCUACUUUCCUUUCUUAUCUGAGAAGCUGUGUUGAAUCAUGAAUGAGGAUCAGUGAAGCUCUUUUGUUCACUCAGUGUCAUGAAGAAUUCUGUAUUCUCUUUUCUUAUGCUGAAGGGUUGUAAGAUCAAUGCUGAUGUAUGAAUGUCUUCCACAGAUGUCUGACAACAGGCGCCGAUGCAACAGGCGUGCUCAGCAAGAGCAGCAUGACCAGCAGGAGGAACAACAGAGGCAGCCUCCCCCACCACCCCCGAUGUCAGUGGAGCAGAUGUUCUUGAUGCAGACCCAAGCAGUGCAGGCCAUUGGGCAGACUCUGGCAGCCAUGCAGCAGGCUCAACAGCAACCCCAACCCCAAUUGCAAGUGCAGAUGCCCCAGAUGCCACGAGAUAAGCGUGGUGAGUUCAUGAGAGGGCACCCUCCUACCUUCGCCCAUUCUGCUGACCCCAUGGAUGCAGAAGACUGGCUGCGCGCAGUGGAAAGGGAGCUGCGCACCGCCCAAUGUGACGACAGGGAGAAGGUUCUGUAUGGUCCCCGCCAGCUGAGGGGAGCAGCCCAGUCCUGGUGGGAGUCCUACCUCGCCACCCAUGCUGACCCUGAAGCCAUCACGUGGGAGGAAUUCAGCGAGAGCUUCCGCAGGUACCAUGUGCCAGAGGGACUAAUGAUCGUGAAGAAAGAGGAGUUUCUGGCUCUGAAGCAGGGACCCCUGUCUGUUUGAGACAAGUUUCUGCAGCUGUCUUGUUAUGCACCUGAGGAUGUCAACACUGAUGCUAAGAGGCAGUACAGGUUCAUGAGAGGUUUGGUGGAUCCCCUGCAUUACCAGCUGAUGAAUCAUACCUUCCCAACCUUCUAGCACCUGAUCGAUAGGGCAGUUAUGACUGAGAAGAAGCGUAAGGAUAUGGAAGAUCGGAAGCGCAAGAUGAAUGGACCCCAGUCCGGAGGCAUCAGCCGUCCGCGUUUCUCCGGCAGUUCAUCUCAGCAAGGCAGACCUGGUCACCCACAGGGAUAUCAGAAUCAGAAUCAGCGUCCGCAUCAGCAGCAAUUUCAGAGGCAGUACCCGCAGCAGCAGCAGCAGUAUCGUCAGCACAGCCAGCAGGGAGGUAAUCAGUAUCAGAAGCAGAACAACCAGGCACCUCGCCUUCCUGCCCCAGCAGCAAAUCAGAGCAACCAAGCAGCCCCAGCACAAGGAGGAGGCAGAGGAUGUUUCCACUGUGGAGAUCAAGGCCACUGGGCGAUGCAGUGCCCAAAGAAGAUGGCUCAGCAGCAGACCAACCCCAAUGCUCCAACAAGGCAAGGUGUACUGCAGCCGGCAGCAGGCAAUCGUAACCAAGCGUACAACCGUGGAAAGGUGAACCACUUGGAGGCCGAAGCGAUCCAGGAUGCACCAGAUGUGGCAGUAGGUAUGUUCUCGGUCGAAUCUCAUCCCGCAAAAGUGCUAUUUGAUACUGGUGCAACUCAUUCUUUUGUCACUGCAACCUGGGUAGAAUUGCAUAACAUCUCAGUAGAGGUAAUGAUGCCGCCCAUGAGGAUUAAUUCGGUUGGUGGCAAGGUGCAAACAGAUAAAAUAUGUUCAAAUAUAAUGGUGGAAAUAAGGGGGAUAGGAUUCCCCAGUGACUUAAUAGUAAUAGACACCCCUGGGAUAGAUGUUAUUCUAGGGAUGAAUUGGUUAAUGAAGUAUGAAGCAAAUGUUAGUUGUGACAAGAGGACCGUAACAUUGAAGUCCCCGUCAGGAGAAGAGGUAGUGGCCGAGCUAAGGAUGCCUAAGUCAGAAGAGGGAGUCUGUCACCAGAUUUCAGUUGAUAGUAAGGAGCCCAACCCGCUCAAGGCUAUCAAGGUUGUGUCGGGCUUUCCGGAUGUGUUUCCCGAGGAGCUAACAGGCAUGCCACCCGAGAGAAAGGUUGAAUUUGCCAUAGAGCUUAUCCCUGGUACCGCCCCCAUCUCCAAAAGAGCCUAUCGAGUGUCUGGACCAGAAUUGGUGGAACUCAAGAAGCAAAUAGAUGAGAUGUUAGAGAAGGGUUACAUCAGGCCAAGCACCUCGCCUUGGGCCGCUCCAGUGUUGUUUGUAGAGAAGAAAGAUGGUACCAAAAGGAUGUGCAUAGACUACAGGGCCUUGAAUGAAGUCACUGUCAAGAACAAGUACCCCCUGCCAAGGAUAGAAGAUUUGUUCGACUAGCUCAGAGGUGCCAGCGUAUUCUCGAAGAUAGAUCUGAGAUCUGGUUACCAUCAACUCAGAAUCCGACCCUCAGAUAUACCGAAGACGGCAUUCAUCACCAAGUAUGGGUUAUAUGAGUUCACAGUUAUGUCCUUUGGAUUGACAAAUGCGCCAGCCUUCUUUAUGUAUCUGAUGAACAACGUGUUCAUGGACUAUCUAGACAAGUUUGUGGUAGUGUUCAUCGAUGACAUUCUCAUAUACUCUCAAAGUGAGGAAGAUCAUGUAGAGCAUUUGAAGAUGGUAUUGCAAAGGCUUCGAGAGCAUCAGUUGUAUGCCAAGCUGGGCAAAUGCGAGUUCUGGAUUCAUGAAGUCUUAUUUCUGGGUCACAUCAUAAAUCAAGAUGGGUUGGCAGUGGAUCCGAAGGAUGUUCGUGGGAUCAAGAGCUUCAUCGGAAUGGCCGGAUACUAUAGGCGUUUCAUUGAAGGCUUCUCAAAGAUUGCUAGGCCAAUGACAGCGUUACUAGCAAAGAAAGUUGAGUUUAAGUGGACCCAAAAGUGUCAGGAAGCAUUUGAAGAACUGAAAAAUAGAUUGACUACAGCUCCUGUGUUAGUCCUGCCUGAUGUUCACAAGUCAUUCUCAGUGUAUUGCGACGCUUCUUACACCGGAUUGGGAUGUGUGCUAAUGCAAGAAGGAAGGGUUGUAGCGUACUCGUCCCGACAGCUGAAGAUCCUUGAGAAAAAUUAUCCCACACAUGACCUGGAGUUGGCAGCAGUGGUUCAUGCUUUAAAGACCUGGAGACAUUACCUGUAUGGGCAGAAGUGCGACAUCUACACAGAUCAUAAAAGUCUGAAGUACAUAUUCACCCAAUCAGAGUUAAACAUGAGGCAGCGAAGAUGGUUGGAAUUGAUCAAGGACUAUGAGUUGGAGAUACAUUACCAUCCAGGCAAAGCCAAUGUUGUUGCAGAUGCUCUGAGCAGGAAGAGUCAAGUCAAUAUGUUGGCCUCGUACCCGAUGCCGUAUGAGUUAGCCAAAGAGUUCGACAGACUGAGCCUCGGUUUCCUGAACAGUACGCAGGGAGUAACAGUGGAAUUAGAGCCCACCCUAGAGCGGGAGAUCAAAGAAGGGCAGAAGGAUGAUGAAAACAUCAACAAGAUCCGGCAGCUGAUCUUAGAAGGAAGAGGCAAAGACUUUCGAGAGGAUGAAGAAGGGGUAAUAUGGUUCAAGGACCGAUUGUGUGUCCCCGACCUCAAACCUAUUCGGGAACUGAUCCUCAAGGAAGCUCAUGAGACAGCCUACUCCAUACACCCUGGAAGUGAGAAGAUGUACCAGGACUUAAAAAGAAGGUUUUGGUGGUAUGGCAUGAAAAGAGAGAUCGCAGAAUAUGUCGCCAUCUGCGAUAGCUGUCAGAGAACCAAAGCAGAGCAUCAGAGGCCUGCCGGAUUGUUGCAACCAUUGCGGAUUCCCCAGUGGAAGUGGGAUGAGAUCGGGAUGGAUUUUAUAGUUGGCCUACCUCGUACCCGGGCCGGUUAUGAUUCCAUCUGGGUGGUUGUGGACCGCUUAACAAAGGUGGCCCAUUUCAUACCUGUGAAGACGACAUACACCGGAGCAACACUAGCUGAGUUAUACAUGUCACGGAUAGUCUGCCUUCAUGGUGUACCGAAGAAGAUAGUGUCAGAUCGAGGCACACAGUUCACCUCUCAUUUUUGGCAGCAGCUACAAGAAGCUUUGGGCACACAUUUGAACUUCAGCUCAGCUUAUCACCCGCAGACAGACGGUCAGACUGAAAGAACUAAUCAGGUCCUAGAGGAUAUGUUGAGAGCCUGUGCGUUGCAAGACAAGUCAGGAUGGGAUAAAAGGUUAGCUUAUGAAGAAUUCUCCUACAACAACAGUUACCAGGCCAGCUUGAAGAUGUCGCCGUUUCAGGCACUCUAUGGACGGAGUUGUAGGACUCCGCUGCAUUGGGACCAGCCUGGAGAGAGACAGGUGUUUGGCCCCGACAUCUUGCUUGAAGCCGAGGAGAAUAUCAAAAUGGUUCGGGAGAAUCUGAAGACAGCCCAGUCAAGACAGCGAAGCUAUGCUGACAGAAGGAGAAGGGAACUGAGUUUUGAAGUGGGAGACUACGUCUAUCUGAAGGUGUCACCUAUCAGGGGAGUUAGAAGGUUCGGAGUUAAAGGCAAGUUAGCACCCCGGUACGUCGGACCAUAUCAGAUUCAAGCAAAGCGUGGAGAAGUGGCUUACCAGCUCAACCUACCAGAGAGCUUGUCAGCAGUGCACAACGUGUUCCACGUGUCGCAAUUGAAGAAGUGUCUGCGAGUACCAGAAGAACAGUUGCCAGUGGAGGGUUUGGAAGUCCAGGAGGAUCUGACAUACAUAGAGAAGCCGACGCAGAUUCUGGAGUUUGCAGACAGAGUCACCCGGAGGAACACCAUCAGAAUGUGCAAAGUCAGAUGGGGUCACCACUCGGAGGAAGAAGCAACCUGGGAACGAGAAGAUGAUCUGAAGGCCAAAUACCCCGAACUCUUUGCUGACCAACCUUGAAUCUCGGGGCGAGAUUCUUUUAAGGGGGAUAGGUUUGUAACACCCUGAAUUUGGGGGUAUAAAAUUUCUUUGCUCAUAUUCACAAAUUCAGGUGUUAUUUCCCUUUUCUCAUCCUUCCUCAUUCUUUUCUUUCUCAUUUCUAUAGGAGAAAAGUGCUUAUUUUAUUUGUAAUUAUAGUUUAUUAUGUUAAACCCUAAGGGAGUAUGAAUUGUUGCAUCAUGUUGAACCCUAGAUUUCACUUUUGCUUGGUGCAUAAUUCUUGGAAAGUUUGAUUUGAAUUUGUGGCUCAUUUGGAUUUGAAUCAAUUGGAGAAAAUAAAAAGAAAAGGGAAAACAAUUCCAGAAUAAAAAGAAAAGAGAAAGAGGCCCAACCCCGCCGCCCCCUCGGCCUUUCGGCCCAGCCGGCCCAAUCCCGCGCGCGCGCUCUCCCCCUCCCGCUCUCUCUGCCCUGGCGGGCCCGCCCGUCAGCGCAGCCGCCUCUCGCGCGCCCGCCUCCGCUCUCCCCUCUCUCUCUGCUCGCGGGCCCGGGCUGUCAGCCCCGUCGUCCCCGCGUAACCGCCGCCGAGCUGCGCGCGCCCGCCUUCUCCGCGCCCACGUCGCGCGUGGAGCUCGCAACUGACCCGCCCCUGGCCACUUGAGCCCCGAACCCCACUCGCCCUCGCCCCCUCCCCCAUUUGCGCUCUAGCGGACCCCUCUUCCACCUCUCCCUCGCUGCGCGCACGCAGAGCGCCGCCGCCGUAAACCCCGCCGUCCCGAGCUCGUUUCUCGGCCGCCAUUGGAGCUCCGCCGUGUCCGUUGCCACGGUGAGCUUCGCCCCGGCGUCCGCAACCCGGGACGCGCCCCAACUCCCUCUCCCCUCCCUAUUUCUUUCUGCCCGCGCUCACCCGCCGUUCCCCGUGCAGCCGCGGAGGUCCGCCACCGUCGCCCCGAGCCACCGUCGCGCCAUUGCCGCCGCCGAGGAGUCCCCGGAGCCCGCCUUGAGGUAAAGAACCUCUCCCGCCCCUAUCGACCCGUGUAUUGCCUUCUGUUGCGCUUAAUUCCUCGCCGGAGUAGAGUAAUCCCGCCGCCGAGCCGUUCCGCCGUGAACCGCCCCCUCCGGUGCCCCUGCCCCGACCCAGACCCCACCAGAGGACUCCCCGUGCCCUCCCCAACCUUCCCGGCCACUCAGGUCGCCCCAGAGACCCGCCAAACGCCCGCGCCCCUCGUCUCCGGUGAGCUCUCCGCCGCGGGGACGAGCGCCGCCGCCCCAGCUAGCCGUAGGAGAAGCCCAGGCCCACUUCCCCCUCACCCCGUCUCCCUGCCGUUUGGGCCCCGCCUGUCAGCCCGCCCGCGCGCGCGCUCUGCCCGCCGGCCCCGCCUGUCAGCCCGCCCGCGCGCGCUCUGCCCGCCGGCCCCGCCUGUCAGCCUGCCCGCGCCCCGCACUGCCCGCCCGGUCCCGCCUGUCAGUCGCCCAGGCCGCCGCGCGCUCGCGCGCCCGCCCGCAGGAUCUAAUCCUGGCCGUUCGCUUUAGAUCUGACGGCCGUAGUAGCCCGAUACCCCUUCGCCUGCGCGUUUUCUUAAAGAGACCCCCGGUUUUCUGGAAUUUGAACCCGCCGUCCCUGGUUUCUCGCAGUUAAGUCCCUGGACCUUUUAAUUAAUUCAAAAUAGGUACUUAGGGUAUAUUUUUAAUCCCCAAACUUGUAAAAUUCAUAACUUUGUCAUAUGAACUCCAAAUGAGGUGCUUCAAAUUGCAAAAUGCUCAUGAUGUUUUUGUCUAUCUAUUCAAACAAUGUUCCCUGCUGUUUCCAUGUACCAAUUAAUAGUUAAUCACCAGGAUAGGAUUAAGGCUAUUGGAAUCUUAUUUGAGAUAAUUAGAAAUUGGUAGACUUUAAUAAAAGUUGGAUUACUUAAGUUUAUGGACUUAAACACCUAAGUUUAGGAACUUAAAACCAGGUAAUGAUUUAAUCCCACCACUGACUUAAACCUGAUUAGUGGAUAAUGAAUCACUUUGUAUAGUCCUCUAUCCCAGACCUAGGGAACACCAGAGUACCUAUCUCUUUUCUAGUAUGAACUUGUGAUCUCUCUGCUGCAUAUGUUUGGUAUGUUGCUUUUGUUUGUUGUCUUCCCAAGUGCAUAGUGUGAAUGAUUACUUUACGUAGACAACGAGCAGUCUGUGUUUCCCGAGGAGGUUGCAGAGGAAGUCCCUGAUCAGCAGUUUGGUGAAGGCAAGUGUCCUCUGUCCCAUUAUGUCCUAUUCAUUUAUAACUUACUACCCCGCAUUACUUACUUGAAACCUAAGGAUUGACUAGCUUUACACUUUACUUUAUCCUUGAUAACCUUGUGGGCUGUUAUGGUUAGCACUCUGCUAUUGCCUUAACUUAAUCAAUGAACAUGAUGUGACUAUUUAUGAUACUGUUAUCCUGAUGAUGUUGAUGAUCUUGUGAUACUCUAGGGGGCUCAGGCUGUUUCCUGAGUACCUCUCCGUAAGGACUGGUUCGUUGAGAGACCACCCGGGAUAACAGUGCAACCAUGAGGGUGAAAUGGGAUGCCCUUAGCUGAUUAAUUAGAUGAACUAGAGGUGUAGUUGCUUAGCCGUCGUGCCGUCAAUGGGGUCCAGGCACAGUGCUUGCUCUGCCGAGGCUGAGUGCCGAGGUUCUUUCGUUUUGCUCUUUGUUAGUCACUCUCCUGCGGGGAGGGGUACUGUGUUUAUCAAACUGGAGAAACCUAACGGGCAGCUAUGAUCUCUAGGGAAUCUUUGUAAAAGCUACAUAGUGAUGCCCUGCCGGACCACCUAGGUAGUGGUCAAUGGGGAUUAGCUCUCCCCAGGUAGAAAGGGAAUCAUGGCUCAUGGGUAAAGUGUGCAACCUCUGCAGAGGGUAGUGAAACUGGUAUAUCAGCCGUGCUCACGAUUAAGAGCAGCCUUGGGAUCCUCUUUGAUUAGUGAUACAGAUGGUUCGAGAUACAAGGAUUAUGUUAUGGUUUUGAUUCGACUACGAUGAUGAUGUUCCUCGAUGAGGAAAUGGUUUACGGGUUGGUUAAUGCUAAAAUCUGGCUUCUACUAAUGAUAAAUACCUGACCAACUAAAAGCAACUGCUUGAGCCUAACCCCACAUAAAGCUAGUCCACUUCAGCCAAACGGGACAUUUGCUGAGUACGUUGAUGUGUACUCAUCCUUGCUUUACCACAAAACACCAGGUUGCCCGCACUGUAACCACUGCUCAGGAGAAGGUGAAGCCGUGGAAGGAGACUUCCAAGAGUUUCAAGACUACGACGAAUUCUAGGUGUGGGUUGGCGGCAACCCCCAGUCAGCUGCCUGUGAAGGCCUUAUCUUUACUGCGUUUCGCUAGUACUUUGAUUUACUUGUUAAGACAAUGACUAUGUGGAUGUCUAUGACUCUAUGAUGUAAUAAGUACCCUUUUAUGUUAUUAUUCGAGCAUUGUGUGAUGAUGUUCAUUUAUGUAAUCGCUGUGUACGUGAGUUCUGCUCCUGGCACGUACAUAGUUCGCAUUCGGUUUGCCUUCCAAAACCGGGUGUGACACCAGCGCCCCAACGGGGGGCGCGUCAGGCGUCGACCUCGCGUUUGAGACGAAGGCGAGCGCCGUCCCCCCGCGACACACCAAUCCCGAGCAAGUAGACGACGCCAGCGCGCUCGCGGAGAGCUUGCAGGACGUCGCCCUCGUACCUGAGACGACGGUGCAAUCAGUCCCCGAUGUGACUAUGUCGCUCCUCGUCGACCAAAAGGUACCGACUGAUUCCCAUCCUACGUCAUUUCGACUCGGCCUCAACCCGCCUAGCGACCUUGCUUUGGCGGGCGCUCUCGUUGAGGCGAGUGCAACCCCUCUGGGGUUUCGUAUGCGGUCGCCUUGGGACCGGAUGACGGACGUCUCGACCUACGGGCCCUCUGGGUCCGAGGAAGAUGACGAUCCCAGCAUCUGUUGGGAUUUCUCUGGAUUUGGCAACCCCAGCGCCGUGCGGGACUUUAUGACCGCAUGUGACUACUACCUCUCCGACUGUUCCGACGGUAGCCACAGCCUUGACGACGAGGACUGCGACCCAAGCCGCGAAUGUUUCCACGUCGAGCUAUGGGAUCCCUCCGAAGGCAACCAUCUCGGCAUGCCAGAGGACGGUGAUCUCCCUAGGCCGGUGCCUCGCGCUGACAUCCCGCGGGAGCUAGCUGUGGUCCCCGUUCCGGCGGGGGGUCACGACCCACAGCUCGAGCAAGUCCGCGGGGCGUAGGCCAGGCUCGACGAGGGAGCAGGAGCGCUUGAGCCGAUCCGCCGGGACGUCGGGCAGGUAUGGGAGGGCCAACCCCCGGCCGGAGAAAUACGUCACCUGCCCCAGGGUUUCCAGCACCGGUCGCCACAACGUCNNNNNNNNNNNNNNNNNNNNNNNNNNNNNNNNNNNNNNNNNNNNNNNNNNNNNNNNNNNNNNNNNNNNNNNNNNNNNNNNNNNNNNNNNNNNNNNNNNNNAGGAAGGACCAGGGCCCUCUUAGAGAAGGUUGGCCGCGCGGGGACGAGGACGGGACAGGCGCUCUCUUGGGGCCGCUCGCUUCCCUCACCCGCGUGGACGCUUGUAACCCCCUACUGCAAGCGCACCCGACCUGGGCGCGGGACGAACACGAAGGCCGCGGGAUUUCCACCUCUCUCACGCCCGUCUCCGGCCACCUCGCUUCCCCCCUUCGCGCUCGCCCACGCGCUCGACCCAUCUAGGCUGGGGCACGCGGCACACUCACUCGUCGGCUUAGGGACCCCCGGUCUCGAAACGCCGACAAAACUACACUUCGUAAACAGUGCACAACGUUACACGCUAUUGUUGUAAAUGGCCUUAAAGAGUUCUUCUGCUCGCGAUCGUGUUCGAGAAUAAAUAAAACAUCACGCAGUUGGAUGGCACAUGCGUAAGCUGAACACAGGACAGAAGCCCUCAGAAUCAGUUUAUAAUAAUAUACAGAAACCCAUUUCUAUUCCAAGCUUCAAAUAUAUAGCUCCACACAAUAAAGCAUCAUCCUGUACAGUGAGUCUAUGGCUGCAACAGCUAGCUAGUAAUAGUCACCGGCAAUUAGUAUAGUCAUAUAAGCACUGCUGCACGAGCUACAACUACAAGCGGUGGUGGGCGCAGGAGGCAGUGCCGUCGUCGAAGUUCUGGUAGUAGCUAUGCAGGUCAUACCCGAACCUCACCGCGGUUCGCCUCGGCCGCGCCGCGCGUCUUCUCCAAGAGCGCCUCAACCUCGACAGCAGUCGCUUCACCGCCGCAGCUGGCCGGCGGCCGCCGCUCCUGGCGUGGACGAGCCGCCCGCCCAAGCCGCUGCCCCCGGUGUACGGGCCUAGCAGAGACGCCGCCGCCAUGAUCGUUCACUCGGUCGGUUCUCACAAGUCACGGACGCUCUUUGCCGCUAACCAAUUAGCUAGCUAGACGCUGUCUGCUUCGAGCUGGAGUACGUACGUAUCUGUGAAUCUGUGUGCUGCAGCUGUAGCUUCUGAAGAUACUGUGCAAAACGAAGCCUCCCAUGCCGCAGCUUUAUAAGCUCGGAUGCUGGGAGCAUUCCGACACGCGUCGAUCGAAGACGCUACUCGGACCCACCAGCAGCACGCACUCACAUACAUGGUGACGAGGCAAUCCACUACGGCGAUCGUUCGAAACGUCCAGGCAGCUUCAUUUCAUGCAUGCUUUUGUAAGCCGCCGUGGUGCUCGUGCAGUCGAAAGAAUCAAAGAAAGACAACCGUCGACCACCAACAAUGGAAGCAUGUGCACUUGCUUUAGUGACGACCUCCAUCGCCAGCUAGACUGCUAGCUAGAAGGAUGAGAGAGGUCGGCCAUGGCAACUGGCGACACGGCGGCACCUGAGCUGCUUCCUGCCCGUCCUGUGCCACUGCCGAUAAGGUCGGCGGCUUCCUGCCUGCCCUUCCUGCCGCUGGAUCAUGCCACGUGCACAAUGUGUUUCAGUUGCCUGUGGCGUGGGCGUGGCCGACCUAAUCGACAUGCAUGCGGCCGAGGUUGGCGGGAACUCUCGGCACCCCGUCAGAUCGAGACUAGGAAUAGCUAGAGUGUAUUGCUGACGCUGAAUCAUAAUAAUAACAACUGGUUAUAUUAAUAACCUAGAGUAUUAUUGGAAAGAGCACUCCAAGCCACUCACCAAAUUGGAUAAUAUAAUAAUAAUAAUAACUGGUUAUUACUAUGUAUUUUUGGAUAGCCUUAUCCUUGUACCGAAGAUGACUAAAGCUUAGGACGUGGACAUUUCUUUUACAGCUGGAAUAUGCAAGUAUGCUCUUCGAUCUGAUAUCUCCAAAAAGGAAGAGAAAAGAUGUCGUCGAGCUGAGUUAUCAUCAAUGAAUUUCCACAUCCUAAGGAAAGGGAAAUGGAACACACUAGUAGUGUUACGCUAGAGUGAAAAUCUACAGAAAAGGCGGAGAGCCUUUUUUUAGGGAAUUGCGAAGCUUCUAUUUUGGAAAUAUCACAAAAAUGUAUGGUCAGCGAAUGGCGGUCGUGGAAUGGCAGUGUAUCACUACCGAAAUAUUGAUCUUUACCAAGUGCUCGGUAUUUUACCGAGUAUUUUUUCUCAGGCACUCGGCAAAUAAGUCUUUGUCGAGUGCCGUAUACGACAAAGUUCUGCUCUCGGUAACGACCACGUUUACCGAGAGCAGUAGUCUCGACACACGAAAACACUUGACGAGGUCGACGCUUGGUAAAGGGCCAUCGUCAGCCAUCUACAGCUGACGACCGUUAUCUUUGCCGAGUGCCGACACUCGACAGGCCAUUCUGUGCCGAGUGUCGUAAGAUGGCACUCGACAAAGUAUAUUUUUCUUUUUUUUCUUUUUUCAACAAACCUUUUGUGGUAUGUUCCUACACUAUGUAGACUUACAUGUUCCAUUUUGGCAUAAUUAUAAAAGUGUUUGCUGGAACUAUUAGAUUUUGUUCUUUUAAUUGAAUUUACUCGGAUAAUUCAGAUUUGAACUACAAGUCACUCGAAAAAUAGAAAACCGUGAAUGCAAAAAAUGAUAUCCAUGUUAGAUAACACAAUUUACGACUGAUUUCAGGAGCAGACUGGAAUUUUCGAGCACUAUCCUCACUAAACAUGACCGUGAACUUGCCAUCAAGUUAUUUAAAAAUUAUAUAAAACACAAACAAAGUCAGAAAAUCAUGAAACUUGUCCACAUGUCAUGAUAUCAUAUGUAGAGGCUGUGAUAAAAAUUUGAGAAUGUUUCAAGAAAGUUGUGACGUACUAUAUGUAGAAACCUAGCCGGUCUACAUUAAAACUCUAUGAUUUUAUGUGUAGGCCACUUAGGUUUCUACACAUAGUGCGUCACAACUUUCUCGAAAUAUUCUCAAUUUUUUAUCACUGCCUCUACAUAUGAUAUCAUGACAUGUGGACAAGUUUCAUGAUUUUCUGACUUUGUUUGUGUUUUAUACAAUUCUUAAACAACUUGAUGGCAAGUUCACGGUCUUGUUUAGUGAGGAUGGUGCACGAAAAUUCCAGUCUGCUCCUAAAAUCAGUCGUAACUUGUAUUAUCUAACAUGGAUAUCAUUUUUGCAUUCACGGUUUCCAUUUUUCGAGUGACUUGCAAUCCAAAUCUAAAUUAUCCGAGUAAAUUCAAUUAAAAGAACAAAAUCUAAUAGUUAUAGCAAACACUUUUAUAAUUGUGCCAAAAUUGAACAUGUAAGCCUACAUAGUGUAGGAACAUACCACAAAAGGUUUGGUUGGCAAAAGAAAAAAAUGAAAAUAUACUUUACAAAGUGCCCAAGAUAGGCACUCGGCAAAGUAUUAUUUGUCGAGUGCCCAUCUUGAGCACUCGGCAAAGUAUAUACUUUGUCGAGUGUCAGGCGACCGGCACUCGGUGAAGUGAUCUCUUUGCCGAGUGCCAACGCCCGACACUCGGCAAAGUGCAUUUUUAGAUUAAAAAAAACCUUUGUUGAGUGUCAGAUCGCUUACGCUCGGCAAAGUGUAUUUUUAAAUUAAAAAAAUCUUUGCCGAGUGCCAGAUCGCGGGCACUCAGCAAAGAACAUAUACUAAGCCAGAGUCUGGGCCCAUGACUCCAUUAUUUGUUGUCGCGCCACCGUUAGCCCCGCCGCGCCGCUCGUCGUGCCUCUCGCUCCACCGCCCGCGCUCGCCCCGUUGCCCGCGCUAGUGCCGUUCGCCGCACCGCCCGCUCGAGGUCACCCGCGCGCCGCCGCCUCUGCCCGACCGCACCUGCUUCGUCCAUCCCCGCGUGCUGGUUGGUUAUGGCCAUCCCCGUCUAUCAGACCCCCGCUUCGGUUAACACACCGCCACCAGCAAAGGUAAAGACUUUACGCAACCGCUAAGUGUCGAUUCAUUAAUCAUUUCAAUUAUGCUUACAAUGUAGUUAUGAUUGCCUAAGUGUCGAUUCAUAAGCCACACUAGUUGUAGUUAUGAUUGGCUAAGUGUCGAGGCCUUGAUGUCUAUGUGUGUAUCAGCCAUCGUGCUGGUACUUUUGUUUGCAGGUUUUUGGAAAGCUCCCCGUGUGGGGAGGUGCUGCCAUUUUUUUAACGGACUUGUGUUAAUCUUUAGAGUAUAAUCGGUUAUAUAUGUUAGAGUAUGGAGGACCGUGAGUGGAUGUACACGGGUCAUGUAGGAAGGAAUGAUGUCACCCUCGAAUGGAUUAGAAAGACCGAUGCUUUCGUGGAACAGGCAUUUGACGAAGCUGCUAAAGGAGCAAGUCUAGUCCCAUGCUUGUGCAGCAAAUGUGCCAACCGGAAAAGAAAAUCAAAGAAGGCCAUGGUAGAACAUAUUUGGAAGAAUGGAUUUACACCGGACUAUACUCGAUGGAUCUUCCAUGGUGAAGCGCACGUACGAGAGAGGAGGUGGUGAGACAAUGCGUCGAGGAUUAUGAUGCUGAUGCGGGGUAGCAGAUAUGUUGAACGACUAUCACGAGGCAUAAUUCGUCGGAGGAUGUAUGGAGGACGAGCUAGAGCCGACCGCAAAGGCGUUGUACGACAUGUUUGACGCGGCACAGAAGCCCCUUCACGUCAAGACAAAGGUUUCUCAACUGGAUGCCAUUGGGCGUGUAAUAGUGUUCAAGUCGUAGUACAACAUGAGUCGAGACGCAUUCGAUGGCUUGUUGACAGUUAUUGGCAGCCUGCGAGGAUCACGUUCUGCCAAAGAGCAUGUACGAGGCACAAAAACUCCUUCGUGCACUCAAGAUGAUGUAUGAGCAGAUAUAUGCUUGUCUGAAGGGCUGCGUGCUAUUUAGGAAAGAAUAUGCGGAGGCAAAGUACUGUUCGAAGUGUAAAUCGUAUAGGUUCAUGGAGGUAGACUCUGGUGAUGGAUAGAAGAGGUAGCUCGACAUCCCGGUGACAAUCCUACGCUGCCUUCUGUUCAUACCGAGGAUCCAGCGUCUAUACAUGAUUGAGGAAUCCACGAAACAGAUGACAUGGCACAAAAAUGGCAAAUUAUGCAAUCCUGACAAGAUGGUGACGUAUCCGAUGGUGAAGCAUGGAAACACUUUGAUGCCAUUCACCAUGAGAAAGCCAAAAAGGCUCGUAAUUUAUGUGUUGCGCUGGCCACAUAUGGGUUCAAUCCCUAUGGAAUGAGCGCUGCACCGUACACAUGUUGGCCCGUGUUUGCUAUCCCAAUCAAUGUUCCCCCCGGUGUAUGCUUUCAAAGGCAGAAUAUAUUUAUGUCGUUGAUAAUUCCCGGACACCCGGGGAAUAAAAUGGGCAUGUACAUGGAGCCUUUGAUUGAUGAAUUGGUACGUGCUUGGGAGGAAGGGGUAUGGACGUAUGACCGAGCUACGAAGACAAACUUCAAAAUGCAUGUUUGGUACCAGUACUCCAUGCAUGACUUACCGGCGUAUGGGCUAUUCUGCGCCUGGUGUGUUCACGGUAAUUUCCCAUGCAUGCCCAGUUUGCAAGGAAGCUCUUAGGGUCGUUUGGUUGAAGAAGGGUGGCAAAUAUUCGUCGUUCGAUAGACAUCGACAAUUUAUCUCUCCUAAUCAUCCAUUCUGCCUAGACAUCAAGAACUUUACGAAAGGUGUCGUAGUGAUAGAUCGCCCACCUGCAACGAUGACUGGUGCCAAAAUUUGUCAAGGGAUAGAUGGGCUCGUGGCCAAUCUAGAAGGUGGUUUUGUGGGAUAUGGUGAGCAGCAUAUGUGGACGCAUAAGUCGGGCUUGACUCGGCUCCCCUAUUAUGACGACCUGCUCCUUCCACACAACAUUGACGUGAUGCACACUGAAAAGAAUGUUGCCGAGGCACUUUGGGCAACAAUUAUGGACAUUCCUGAUAAGUCAAAGGAUAACGUAAAGGCAAUAGUGGAUCUGGCAGUGUUAUGUGAUAGACCAAACCAAGAGAUGAAGCCGCCUAGUGGUGGAAAGACAUGGAGAAGGACUAAGGCCGAUUUCGUCCUAAGCAGGGCCCAGAGGAAGGAAGUACUUCAGUAGAUCAAGAUGUUGAUCUUCCCUGAUGGGUAUGCAGCUAACCUGAGUAGGGGGUGAACUUAUCUACUCUACGAGUCUUAGGGAUAAAGAGUCAUGACUUCCACAUAUGGAUUGAACGGAUUCUUCCUACGAUGGUUCGAGGCUAUGUCCCUGAGCAUGUCUGGCUAGCACUUACAGAGUUGAGCUAUUUCUUCUGCCAGCUUUGUGCAAAAGAGUUAUCUCGGACCGUGAUUGCAGAGUUGGAAAGAUUGACACCCGUGUUACUGUGUACGCUUGAGAAGAUAUUUUCACCCGGCUUCUUCAAUCCAAUGCAGCCUAUCCUCAAUAGCUUCAAUGUACAUUUGCAGCAGUGAACCGAAAUCUAUCUCAUUUAACCUUUGUUUUAACCUAUCUGGCAUCAUAAAUGCUGCAUUGUUCAAAGCAGCAGGAAAAUAUCGCAUUAUAAUGUAGAACCCGUGCAUCUCCUUAUCCUCCUUCAAAUCUUCGUGUCACUUAAUUGGAGUUUGGUCUUUGGAAGCUUCACUGGUCGUCUGUCGUUUAGACGAUUUCUCCCUCAUAGGCCUCUAAACAUGGGGUGUUGGGGACCCUACAUCUGAAUCAUUUGCGCUUAAAACAUAAACUAUGGGCAUUUUUUCAACCUCCGGUUGAGCCACACCUAGGGCAUCAUAUUCGGGAUUUUCUUCACCAUUGCGUGGAGUAUCUGAAUAUGUGUGCUUAGUAGGUGUAGACAUUGUCUACGACCGUGUAACAUAAAAAUAAUUCAGAUAAAAAAUAUCUAUAACAUAUAUUACUUACUGCUCAAUGUUGUUACUGAAUACUAUACAUAUUACUUAUGCUUGUAGGUUUAAAUUGUUACUAAUUGUCCAAAAUAUUACUAUACAUUCGAUUGGGAUUGAUAAUUAUAACUAAUUCUAUUCAUUUAUUAACGAGUAAUGUAUUACUGGCUCUAGAUGCACAUACUAUAUCUAACACAAAAUCUUAUUACUAUUAUGAAAACACAUAUUCUAGAUGACAAAAAAUUUCCUUACCGUUUAGAAUACAUAAUACUGAAAAUUAUUACCGAUUAGAAUACAUAUUACUAAUACUAAUUUCUUAAUUACUACUCACUAAGUAAUAACAACAUAAUGCUUAUCUAAAAAUUAUUGCUAAUCCUAUGCGGUAGUUACUGACAAUAUGUAUUUAUUACUGGUAUUAAAGCAGUAAUGUACUGAUUAUAAGAUAAAACCAACACAGAACUGUCAUUGAAAAUAUAUUAUAAUGUUACUGAUGCUAACAUAUAAACAAAAAGCAGCGUAUCUCAACUCAUCCAGGUUUUCAAAAAAAGGAGUGAUGCAGAGUAGGAUUCACUUGAAAAACAUGUGUGCAUGAUGCAACACUAACUUGAGCAUAAAUGUGCUAGAGAAAACUGCAGGAAAAAUUGAAGUAAAACCCGUCCAAGGAGCGAAUUGCAGAAACCCCUCCGUUGCGGCUGCUAAUCUUCACAAAUCUGGAACCACGUCGCCCCAGAUUUUCGCUCGUUUUGACCAAAUAUGGUACCCUAGCAAAAAAACAUGAUGAAUCUCCCCUACGCCACGACGAUUCUGACCGACGAUUGCGAGCACUUGGAAGGCAAUUUCAAAAACAAGGGAACCCAUGGAAAAAGUGACGGUGGAAAGAUAGUAGAUGUUUCGAUGGGUCCUUGCGGUCGUAUAUGUUUAGCUCGGUGUGGUCGGACUCGGUCGGUGCGGUGGGACACGGUCGGACGAGGUCGGUGUGGUCAAGUGAUGCUUCACUUGAGGUGAUGUAUAUAUAUAUAUAUACAUAUAUAUAGUUUGUAUAUUUAGAGCUCUGACCUUCCAAUAACUAGAGGAAACACUGGUCUAAACGGUGCCAUCCGGUUCAGCCGCACCAGGUUCAGACGGCUACAAAAAAGACCCCCAGACCGCCAGGGAUUAGGUUUUAGCGGGGGUGGCAGUUCCCUCGGGUGAGUGAGCGACGGUGGCGAUUUCCUCGGGUGUGCGAGCGGCGGCGAUCCCGGGGGCUUGCGACGGUGGCGCGCCGAGGCGGGCGACUGGCGGCAACACUCCUAAGGCGGGCGGGCAAGCACCUACGGCGCUCCUGAAACGGACAAGCGGCGGCGGCGCACCCUAGGCCCGGUGGUGACUGCGGUUGCGUGAGGCGCGAUAGGCUUCAAUAGCAGCGGCGGCGGAUCUUGGAGGAGCGCACGCGGCGGUCGAGGCCAGGGGCGCCCACACGAUGUCGGCUCCUCGAAGGCGCGCGCCCCUGAGUGGCGCCCGCUGGCGUCCCCCCUCCCGCGAUGACGCCGGCCUUCCCUAGGCGCGAGCGACGACGACAGACUUCCCUAGGCGACGAGCGGUGGCGAAUCGAUGUCCUUGUUUUUAUGCUAUUAUAUAUAUAUAUAUAUUUAUGCCAACGUCAAUAGAUUUUUAUGAUACAUUUUCAGUUCAUGGCUCUCAUUUCAUCUUUUGUAUGUUUAUGAUAUUUCUAUUCACAUUUUAUGUAAACGUUUGUUGAUUUUUGCAUAGUGUACUAUAAUGUAUAAAUACCUUCGUCAUGCAGUUAAUUAGUAUCAGUAUAAAUCAUAAAUUGGUUACAACGAGCCUAACUGUAUGGCUGUUGGAGAGAUCAUAUAUUUAUGGACGAAAUAAAACAUUGAAAAUCAGAUUUUUGUUUUCAUGCGUGCUAAUCCAUUUUCUUUCGACUCACAUUUUUGUCAUCCUAAAUUUGUACACAUGCAAUAGUAAACAUAUUUUGUAUACAGUGUACCGCAUUGCAUAAAUACCUUCGACGUGUAACAUAAUUAGUCUCAGCGUAUAUCAUAAACUGGUUCUAAUGAGCAUAGAUGCAUGGCUGUUGGAGAGAUCCUAUAUUUAUGGAGAAAAUUAAUCAUUUAAAUCAGAUUUUUUUCCAUGCAUGUCAAUCUAUUUUCUUUUAACGCACAUUCUUGUCAUCCUAAAUUUGUGCGCAUGCAGCAGGAAACAUAUUUUUUCGCGCUGUACAGCAGUGCAUAAAUAUCUAUACCGUGUAGCAUAAUUAGUGUCAGUAUAUGUUAUAAAUGAUUCCAACGAUCCUACCUGCAUGACUGUUGUCAAGAUCCUACUUUUAUGGACGAAAUAAAGUAUUUAAAUCAGAUUUUUUUCAUGCAUGACAAUUUAUUUCCUUUCAACCCACAUUCUUAAUAUCCUAAAUUUGUGCGCAUGCAGAAGGAAACAAAUUUUUUGCGCGGUGUACCACACUUCAUAAAUAUCUACACAGUGUAGCAUAAUUAGUAUCAGUAUAUGUCAUAAACUAGUUCCAACGAGCCUAACUGCAUUAUAUUGCUGUUGUAGAGAUCCUAUUUUUAUGGACAAAAUAAACAUUAAAAUCGGUUUUUUUGUUUUCAUGCAUGCCAAUCUAUUUUCCCUCUAAACACACAUUAUUGACAUCCUAAAUUUGCGCCCAUGCAGCAGGAAAGUGAUUUUUUACGCAGCGUACAUUAUUGCAUAAAUGCCUACACGGUGUAGCAUAGUUAGUAGCAGUAUAUUUCAUAAAAUGUUUCUAAUGAGUCUAGCUGCAUAGCUGUUAUAGAGAUCCUAUAUUUAUGAAAGGAAUAAAUCAUUCAAAUUAGAUUUUUUGUUUCCAUGCAUACAACAGUUAACACAUAGACUUCCUAAUUAUUCACGCUUGUAAAUGUAAACAAACUGCCCGCAUGUAAGGAAUGAAUGCAUACGAGAAGUGGGUGGUGGCCAGGAUGCGGUGGUGCUUGGCUGGCUAGGGCUUCAUGUGUGCUAGGGCUUAGAUUUUAAACUUAGCAAUUUUUCAUAUAUAUAUAUAUAUAUAUAUAUAUAUAUAUAUAUAUAUAUAUAUAUAUAUGAAAAAUAGCUAAGUUUAAAAAGCGAUAGUGGCAAAAUAUUUUCACUAGCGUUUGUUAUAAGAGAACCAACUGUAGAAAUUUAUUUCACUAGUACAAAUAAGCUCAAAGCCUGCGGCACGUUCAACUUUUCACUGGCGGUUUCCGUUAUCAAACGUCAGUGAAAGAAACAGGUGGGCCCGGCUUUAAAAACCGCCAGUGGAAACCUAUUUCCACUGGCGGUUAUCUUAACACAACCGCCAGUGGAAAUAGGAUGUUUCCACUGGCGGUUGUGUUACACAAACCGCCAGUGAAAAUUGAUUUCCACUGGCGGUUAUCUUAAGAUAACCGCCAGUGGAAACAUCCUAUUUCCACUGGCGGUUUUUAAAGACAACCGCCAGUGGAAAUCAAUUUUCACUGGCGGUUUUUAAAGACAACCGCCAGUGAAGUGUCUGUUAUAAAUGCCCCUCUUCCCCCGACAGUGAACUGUAUGCUCGCAGCCAACUUCCAUUGGAGGCGAUUUUGGAGGUCCAGAAUUCACAAAAUACAUGGGGAGAGGUUUUGAUCUUCAUUUUUUGGAAGAAGAUUGCUAAGAAAGGUUGGUUUAUGUUGCUAAUGUCAAUUUUUAUUCAUUUUUGCUCAAUUUUAGCCACAUUUUGGAUCUAGGGUUUCACCAUUGGAGAGAGAGUGUAUCCUCUCUCAAUUUUAGCCACAUUUUAGCCACAUUUUUGCUCUAUUCGCUCAAAUAAAGUUGUUUAAUAUGGUUAGAUUUUGUCUAUCCUCUCUCCUUUUUCAUGUUUAGUUCUCAAAUCAGUUUAUCCAUGACAUAUUAAGUUGUUUAAUGAAUGGUUCAUGUGUUGUGUGGAGAGAGAAGAAGAUAGGUUUGAUAAUUAAGAUUGUUUUUAUUAGUUGCUAUGAAAGUUGGUUUAAUUAUGUUUUAAUUGCCAAUUAUUGUUUAUCUUUGCUCAAUUUUGGAACUAGGCCUUCACCAUGUGUUAAAGAGAAGAGUAUGGCUAGGAAAGUUUAGUUUUAUGUUCCUCUUGCCAAUUUUUGUUCAUUUUCCUUAAAUUUAGCCACAUUUUGGAUAUAGGGUUUCACCCCUUCAUCCUUCCCAACAGGUGGUGAUGGAGAGGACAUCCUGGAUGUAUAACUUAUCAAGGCUAGAUCCAUCAUACAUAUCCGAGGUCCAUAAGUUUAUUGAUGUCGCUACGAACCAUGCUUGGAGAACAAAGACAAAACACAUAUAUUGUCCAUGCAUGGACUGCAAAAAUGCUGCUGUAUUUAAUGACACAGAACAAAUCAUAUCUCAUCUGGUAUGCCGAGGAUUUAUGAAGGAUUACACAAUUUGGACAAAACAUGGAGAGGGUACCAGCUCUUCGCCUUAUACGACUGGAAACCCUGAGAACAUCGACGACAGAUUUCAGUUCGUUCACGAGACACACCAACCUCUUCCACAGAGCGAACAUGUAGUGCAAAAUGUUACUGAUCAUGGUUACGCUCGAGGAAAUGAACAUGAUAGACCUCAUGUUCUGCCAAGUGUUAUGGAUGAGGAAGAUGCAGAGUUGCUAGAGGCAAUGUUGCGUCGUCAUACAGAUCAAUCGAUGUUCUUAAUGAAAGGUAUGGAGUCCCUGAAGAAGGCAGCAGAAGAGCCUUUGUACGACGAGUCUAAGGGUUGUACCAAAGAGUUCACGACGCUCCGGUCUGUGCUAAAGCUGUUGAUGUUAAAAGCUAAAUAUGGUGUGUCUGAUGCUGGCUUCGAUGCGUUCUUGAGUAUUAUCGCAGACAUGCUUCCAAAGGAGAACAAUGUGCCUGCUAACACGUACUAUGCAAAGAAACUAAUCAGUCCGCUCACUAUGGGUGUGGAGAAGAUCCACGCGUGUAGAAAUCACUGUAUCCUUUAUCGAGGUGAUGAUUAUAAAGACUUGGAGAGCUGCCCAAAGUGCGGUGCAAGUAGGUACAAGACGAAUAAAGACUAUCGAGAGGACGAAGAGUGUGUUGCAUCCGUGUCUAAAGGGAAGAAGCGAAAGAAAGCCCAAAAAAAGACUUCAAAAUCCACGAGCAAAGAAAAAGAAGUAGACUAUUAUGCGCUCAAAAAGAUUCCUGCUUUGGUGAUGUGGUACCUCCCCGUCGUCGAUCGAUUGAGGUGUUUGUUCGCUAAUCCUGAGGAUGCCAGACUUAUGAGCUGGCAUGCUUCUGAUGAGCACAAAAACGAUGGGAAGCUUCGACAUCCAGCCGAUGGGAAGCAGUGGCAAGAUUUCAAUGACAACCACCGAGACUUUGCCGAUGAACCGAGAAAUGUUAGGUUCGCACUGAGUACUGAUGGAAUGAACCCAUUUGCUGAGAGGAGCAGCAAGCAUAGCACAUGGCCGGUGAUCCUCACCAUAUACAACCUUCCUCCAUGGUUGAUGCAGAAACGGAAGUACAUUUUGCUAACCAUCCUUAUUUCUGGACCUACACAACCUGGAGUUGACAUGGAUGUAUUUUUGGAGCCCUUAAUGGAGGAUAUGAAAAUAUUGUGGGAAACAGGUGUUCAAAUGUUGGAUGAGUAUCGUAAAGGUUCAUUCACGCUGAGAGCAAUUCUUUUUGUUACGAUCAACGAUUACCCUGCUCUCUUCACAUUAUCAGGCCAGUUUAAGGGAAAGGUUGGUUGCACAGUAUGCAUUGAUGGAACUGCUUACGUAUCCCUUGCUGCAUCUAGGAAGAUAGUUUACAUGAGGCACAGACGCUUUUUAUUGGAAGGACACAGGUACCGCAUGCGAAAGAUGGAUAAGUACUUCGACAAUAAUGGUGAACUACAUUCUACUGCUCCAUCGGGUAACAAUAGAGGUCAUAGAGUUUUUGAAAUAGUCAGGAAUAUCAAGUUUGUUUUCGGGAAGAAGACAAAAGACGGAAAAACAAGGAAGGAUGUCAAACCAGCUUCGGGGGCUAUAUUCAAGAAGAAGUCUAUUUUCUUCGAGUACUUGCCUUACUGGAAAGAGUUAGAUGUGCGGCAUGCGAUCGAUGGUAUGCACGUUCAGAAGAACGUGUUUGAAAGCAUAAUGGGCACCUUGCUAGACAUAAAGGGCAAAACAAAAGAAGGGCUCAAUUCACGCAUGGACUUGGUAGAUUUAGGCAUAAAAAAGGAACUACAUCCCGUUCUUCAAGAAAAUGGGAAGUACCAUCUCCCAGCAGCAAGCUACAAUCUCAAUGUAGAUGAGAAACAUGCGAUGUGUGUUUGGCUUAAGAAUUUGAAAGUCCCAUCCGGAUUCUGCUCUAGCAUACGGAGUAUUGUGUCAAUGAAAGACCUGACAAUCACCAACUACAACUCACAUGAUUGCCAUGUCAUGCUGACUACAUUUCUACCUAUUGCCAUCAGGGCUAUAAAUCCUUUGUUUUUAAAGAUGGCAAUCACACGGUUGUGCUACUUUUUCAACAGGAUUUCACAAAAGGUAAUUGGCCGUGAUGAGUUGGCAUCUCUUCAGGAAUUCGCAGUGGAGACAAUAUCACAGUUUGAGAUGUGUUUCCCUCCAUCGUUCUUUGAUAUUAUGGUGCACCUUGUGGUGCACUUGGUGCCACAAAUAGAGGCAUUGGGUCCUAUGUACUUGCAUGAAAUGUGGACGUAUGAGCGUUUCAUGUCAAUACUGAAUGGCUAUGUAUCAACCCGUGCUCGUCCCGAGGCAUCCAUGAUAGAGGGGUACUGUACCGAAGAGGCCAUUGAGUCCGGAGGUCCAUUCUGCAAUAGUAUCCUAAAAGACCAGGUUGCAAUAGGUCUGCCUCCGUCACGACACGAGGGUAGACUGUAUGGAAGCGGGAGGAUGGGACGGAAAUCUUUCAUCCCACCGGAUUACGAUAUAGUACUUGAGGCACAUCAGAGCAUCCUACAUCAGCUAACGAUAAUGGAGCCAUUUAUCCAACAACACAUCAAUGAGCUUCGCGAGCAAAAUCCUGGGCAUACGGAUGAUUGGGUAAUGAAGCAACAUAAGCAGCGAUUCAACACAUGGCUAAUGGUGAAGGACAUUCCACGUGGAGAAACAAUAGAAGAACAAACCAUCAAGGGCUUGGCAUCUGGACCAUCACGCCAGGUCACAACAUGGCAAACCUAUGACAUUAGUGGAUUCACAUUUUGUACCAAGUCCAAGGACAAAAAGAGCAUGUCACAAAACAGUGGUGUUCGAUGCGAGGCCAUAGAUGAUGAAACUGGUGAGAUUAUAACAUAUUUUGGCUUUAUUGAGGACAUAUGGGAACUAGACUAUGGUACAUUUCAGAUCUCGGUUUUCCGAUGUCAAUGGGUUGAAGACAAACAUGUCACGGUAGACAACUAUGGGGUCAGAGUUCUUGAUCUAAGUAAGGUAGGUUACAAAGAUGACCCAUGGAUCCUUGCUAAUCGUGCUGCACAGGUCUUCUAUGCUGAACAGAUCAUUUCUAACAAUGAGAAGAAAAGCACCGACAAACCGAAGCAUGUAGUUUUUCCUGGAAAACAACAAGCUAUAGGAGUUGAUGGUGUAUCUGAUUUAGAGAAUUUUAACCAGUUCAACGACAUGUCUCUUUUCAUAGACCAUCCAACCAAGAUAAGGAACGUUGAGCGAAGCAUCCCACGCAAUUCGUUGCCCUGGGUACGCCACGAUGGACAAGGCAGAACAAUAGCUUCCUAGAUUAUAUACUUGUCAUGUAAUUGAUUAUUGUUAGGAACUUGUCAUGUAAUUGAUUAUUGUUAGCGACAAACCGAAGCAUGUAAUUGUCUUCAUUCAAUUUUCGUGGCUACCAUUUACAAUUUUACAUGACUUUCUAUUGACUUUAUAGAGAGAGAGGAGAGGGAGAGAGAGAGGAGAGAGAGGAGAGGGAGAGGAGAGAGAGGAUGGAGAGAGAGGAGAGAGAUAGGAUGGAGAGAGAGGAGAGAGAGAGGGGAUGGAGAGAGAGGAUGGAGAGGGAGAGGGGAGAGAGAGUGGAGAGGAGAGAGAGGAUGGAAAGAGAGGAGAGGAUGGAAAAAGUAAAACAAUAUAUAAAAGUAUACUUAAUAUAAUAUAUAAAAAGUGAAGUAAAACAAUAUAUAAAAAACUAUGUUAAAUAAUAAUAAAAAACAAUUUCUACUGGCGGCUGUCAUAGAGAACCGCCAGUAGAAAUGGUUUCCACAGACUGUAGAAUCCAUUUCUACUGGCGGUUCUCUAUGACAACCGCCAGUAGAAAUGGUUUCUACUGGCGGUUCUCGUUGUCAACCGCCAGUAGAAAUGGCUUCUACAGUCUGUGGAAACCAUUUCUACUGGCGGUUCUCGUUAUCAACCGCCAGUAGAAAUGGCGCCUAUAUAAAGGUGGCGCGCGGGAGCCGAAAAUUUUACAAGUCCCUGGCGCCCUUUCACUUGAAGACGACGCCGUCAGGCUGCUGGAUUUCGACCCCGACGGUUUUCGCCGGCGAUCGUCCCCGCGCCCGUCCCCACGCCGCCAUUCCCGCCCCCGCACCGCCGUCUGCAGGUUUUUUCUCUUUCCCCUAAUCUGUACCGCCGCCGUCUACUACCGCGCCGGGCCGCCGCCGCCGCCGCCGCGUUUUAGUAAAACCUAGGGCACGCGCCGCCGCCGAGAGGGAGGAAGAGAGAUGAAGGAGAGGGAGAGGGAAGAGAGAGGAGGGAGAGGGAGAGGGAGGAGAGAGGAGGGCGCACGCGCCGCCCGCCGCCGAGAGGGAGGAAGAGAGAGGAAGAGAGAGGGAGAGAGAUAGAGGGAGGGAGAGGAGGGUGAGAGAGAGAGAGAGGAAUUUUAUACAUUGUAAUUUUAUGUGUUCAAAUGUAUGUUGAAUUCAUAUGUGUUCAAAUGUAUGUUGAAUUCAUAUGUGUUCAAAUGUAUGUUGAAAUGUAUGUUGAAAUGUAUGGUGAGAGAGAUAGAGGGAGGGAGAGGAGGGUGAGAGAGGGAGAGGAGGGUGAGAGAGAGAGAGGAAUUUUAUACAUUGUAAUUUUAUGUGUUCAAAUGUAUGUUGAAUUCAUAUGUGUUCAAAUGUAUGUUGAAAUGUAUGUUGAAAUGUAUGGUGAGAGAGAUAGAGGGAGGGAGAGGAGGGUGAGAGAGGGAGAGGAGGGUGAGAGAGAGAGAGGAAUUUUAUACAUUGUAAUUUUAUGUGUUCAAAUGUAUGUUGAAUUCAUAUGUGUUCAAAUGUAUGUUGAAUAUAUACAUUGUAAUUUUAUCCGUCACAACUCGAUAAUAUACGUAUCCGAUCCGAAUUCGAUCUGAACUCGAUAAUUUCCGUACGACUCUCCCUCUCUCCCUCUCUAUACGUCCUAUGCGACUCUCCCUCUCUCCCUCUCCUCGUCCUAUACGACUCUCCCUCUCUCUAUACGUCCUAUGCGACUCUCUCCCCGUCCUACACGAUACUAUACGACUAUACGAUACUAUAUGGUUAGGGUUUAGGGUUAUGGUUAGGGUUAAGGUUAGGGUUAAGGGUUAUAGUUAGGGUUAGGGUUAGGGUUAGGGUUAGGGUUAGGGUUAGGGUUUUGGGUCAGGGUUAGAGUUAGGGUUAGGGUUAGGGUUAGGGUUUUGGGUCAGGGUUAGAGUUAGGGUUAGGGUUAAGGGUUCGGGUUUUGGGUUAGGGUUAGGGUUUUGGGUUAGGGUUAGGGUUAAGGGUUUAGGGUUAGGGUUAGGGUUAGGGUUAGGGUCAGGGUUAGAGUUAGGGUUAGGGUUAGGGUUAGGGUUAAGGGUUCGGGUUUUGGGUUAAGGUUUCGGGUUUUGGGUUAGGGUUAGGGUUAAGGGUUUAGGGUUAGGGUUAGGGUUAGGGUUAGGGUUAAGGGUUCGGGUUAGGGUUAAGGGUUCGGGUUUUGGGUUAAGGGUUCGGGUUUUGGGUUAGGGUUAGGGUUAGGGUUAGGGUUUUGGGUUAGGGUUAGGGUUAGGGUUAGGGUUAGGGUUUUGGGUUAGGGUUAGGGUUAGGGUUAAGGGUUUAGUGCCCGCGAGGAUGUAUUUAAUUAUACUAUUUGUUAAUAUGAAUUUAAUUAUUGCUUACGUUAAUAUGUGUUAAUAUGUAUUUAAUUAUUGCUUAUGUAUUUGUAUAUAUAUAGCUCAAUGAGUUCUCCGAUCAAGGACCAAGGAUUAGUGCCCGAGCACAUGGACAAGAGUGUUGCUCAAGAACAAUCCAGCAGUGAAGGAUAUGAAACGCCUAGCGACCCUUUUCCUACCACUAGCAUAGAUAGGGCCGCUCUCCGUGAGUUGCAACGUGACCCUACUUAUGAUCCACGAGAAGCUGAGGUAAAAGUACGCAUCUUUAGCUUCGUAUGUGUACCCUACUGAUUUCACAUGCAUGAUCUCUUGUGCAUUUUAUUACAUGAAUAGGAGGUCGUGUCUGAAUUUCGUGCGAUACUCGAAGAAGCCGUGGCACGAUACGAAGACGUACCGGAGCCGACCCAAGACGCACCGGAACAGACCAAGACAACAACCGAGACAUCAAGGAAAAGGAAGCAGAGCGAUCGAAAAAGAGGUGACAGGGGGCUGAACAAAUUUCCCGACAAAACAUACAAAAUCUCAGACGUGAGCCCGAAAGGUCAGCCCCUAGCUCCAGAAGAGGCACUACCUAAGUUUCGGAAUGCACUUGGGUUUUUAGUUAGAGAUAAUCUUGACAUAACAAUACGACAGUGGAGAGAUGUGUCAGAUGAUGUCAAGAAUCAAAUAUGGAAUAAGCUAUUAAUGAGGUUCGUUCUGCCUCGGGGUUCAGAAGAACUCGUGAAGGAAUACACGAUGAAGCAGCUUGCAAUAAAUUUCCGAAACUGGAGGUCUGAGAUGAACACAAAGUUUGCAAAGAAAGGUCUGGACCCGACCAAAAAAUAUAAAAUCUCAGCAGGUCAGUGGGCAGUAUUUCUAGAGCAGAGGAGCAGCCCUGAUUUCAUAUCUCUAAGUGAGGCAAAUUCAGAACUAUCAAAGAAGAACAAGUACCGCCACCACCUAGGCACAGGUGGUUACAAGCGUCAGGUUCCUAAAUGGACACAAGAAGACGCCGAGAAGAAGGCUGCAGGGUUGCCGACGCUGUCCGAGCAACUUGGUGAAAGGGCGGCAAAUUGGCUCCGUGCUAGAAAACCAAGGGAAACCGAGACCGGUGUAUCUUUUGAUGAUCCCAUUGUCGAAGAAGCGGCAAAAAACAUAUAUACAAUGGCAGCUAAGCAGAGCGAAGGAACUUUUAAGCCACAAAGGGAAAGAGACAUCCUAACGGCUGGUCUCGGUAACCCUGAGCAUCCUGGUCGUGUACGAGGAAUCUCGUCUAAGGAAGGAUGGAAGGAAGGAUUCGGACCACAGUGGGAAGGUCUGUACAAGAAACGUGAUCGAUACAAGGAAGAGAUCGUGGAUUAUUUUAAGGAGGAGGCCAAGAAAGAGUUCAAAGCCAUGAUGUCUCAAAUGCUAUCGAAUCCUCCUCCAGAAUUGAUGCAACAGUUGGCGAGUGCGAUGUCUGUUCAACAGAUGACCACUCCACAGAUACAAAUAAUUCCAGCAGCUCAACCGCCGGCUUCCACAGAUUGUACGACAUUACCAAGCUCUGUUGCUUCAACGGGAAAUAAGGACCGUUAUCCAGUUGAUGACAUCACAAGGCCUGUGGCGUGCACACUGGUUAUAAGAUAUGGUAUUAACAAUAAACGUACAAAGAUAGUAGCCACAGGCCUUGCGAUCCCAGGACGCAAGUACCAUGGAAACGAUAUUCCAGAUGAUUAUUGCAAAGUAGAAGUGACGACGGUCGUCCAAGGAUACGAGGACGACAUGCUAGACAUCCCUGGGCCCGAAGGUAUCGAGAAACUUGGACAAGCUAUCAAGAAUUUUAUCCUUUGGCCUCGAAGGGAUGUCGAAUUGCUUGAUUGGUCGAAUUCGUCGCAGGUGUCGCAGGCCCAACCGUCUCCGCCUUCUCAAAUUGCUGUUCCUAUUGUACAUCCAUCCUCACCUCCUCAAACUUCACAUGCUGCUCCUCAUCCUUUUUCUGACCCACCGUCUCCGCCACAAGCAUCACCAUUCAGGGCUCCACCACCUUCUCCUCCCCAUCCUCUUGGUGACCCACUGUCUACGCCACCAUCAAGGGAUCCACCUUCUCCACAGCCAUCAAACGAUCCACGACCAUCAAAGAAAUCUAAACUUCCUAUACCAAAAUUGGUGUCCCCGUAUCAGAAAAAGAAGAGUAAAGCUACUACUGCUGGCACAGUUAGGUUUUUGAAAGGGAUUGGACGGAGCCUCACGUCACAAACUGUUGAUUUGGCCGAGCACGAGGAGUCUGCAAAAAAGGCUGAGGCAACGGACGCAAAGAUAAAGAAGCCAACUAAGGCAGAUUACAAAAACGUGCCUAAAAAAUAUGUGCCGGGCAGACCUCUGCUACCUCUUGACAAACUAAGAAAGGUCCCGGCUGGUGUUAAAAGGUUGCAUGACUGGUACAUGCGGGCAUCAUCGGUUGGCAUCGACACCAUCAGUGUGCAUAUACCAGACCAUGCUUUUAUUGGUUCGAACCAAAAGGCCGUUGUUACAUUCGAGGACAUGUGGUUAAUGAUGAACCUUCAGAGACUCGACGUGCAACUUGUAACGAUGUUUGCAUUGUAAGUGUCGCUCAUACUUCCACAUAUGUGUGUUAUUAUUAGUGAGCUGUAUAAAAUUUCAAUAUCUGACAUGCACGUGUGACUUGCAGAAUGCAACAUGAUCAGCAGGAGAUUCUUUACGGUACCAAGCCCAAUGCUAGUGCCAGUAAAAGGGUUGGGUAUCUCAACCCAAUACUUAUAUCCGAGGAAAGCCACACUUUUAGAAUCGGGAAAGACAACGAUGAAAUACGGGGAAAGACGGACGAAGAAGUUGAGAAGCGUAUAAAGGAAAUGAAGAAGGAUUUUGAAGCUCGAUACGCCACAUACAUAGGACAUGCAAUGCUUCAAUUUCAAGACAGGGAAGCCAUAAUGGCCCCGUACAACUUUAAGUAAGUGUGAUUUUGCAUAAAUAAAAUUAAUAAUUUCAAUACACAUGCAUCACAAAUUUGAUUCGUACAGGGACCACUGGAUAUGCUUCCUCAUUUAUCCUAAGGUUGGAAAGGUGCUGGUGCUCGACUCCUUGAACUUCGACCCUUCGACAUAUGCAACAUUCCUCAGCAUCUUAGAGCUGUAAGCCUUUUCUAUGCAUGCAUACUUUUAUCGAUUAAAAUUUGAGAAUAACAUGGUGAUUCUAUUUGAGAUCACAGUGCUUAUAGAUUCUAUAAGAUGAGAGGUGGAAAGUACGACCUGUCGAAAAAACAAGUGCCACUAGACAUCCAUCAUCACUGGCCGGUAAGUAUGUGAUUUUAUGAAUACAUAUCAUACACAAUGUUGCAACUAAAUAACCAAUCUCCCGUUAUGUAGUGCCACAAGCAACCACAAGGAUCGGUCCUAUGUGGAUUCUAUGCGUGCGAGUUCAUGAGAGUGAACGGACGAUACAUCACGAACCCUGACAAGGUAUUAUUAGUAAUAGUUAAGUAUGUAUUUAUGUCAUUAAAAGAUGCAAAUGUGUUAUUAUUGAGUAUAAAUAGAUGAUGUUUAUAAAAUUCCUUUACAGCAAUUUCAACGAGGAAACCCGGAGAACUUGACCGAAGCUGCAUUGUAUGGCAUAGUCGAGGACCUCUGCACAUUCAUAUUGAAAGAGGUCAUUCCCGCAGAAGGAAAAUAUCACGAUGCUUCCGGAACAUUAGCUUUGCCAGAGUUUAGAAUACUAACAAAAAUUAGUAGAUUAUCUCUUAGCCGAGAUAGUUAUUAGAGCUUAGGUGAAAACCUAUGAUGUAUAGAAUGCAUGAAGGAUAUAUGGUUGUAAACAAAAUACUUUCAUGUCGUAGAAUGCAUGAAAACUUAUGAUGUAUAGAAUUUAAUUUCAUGUUGCUUUCAAUAUCAAUAUAGAUCUAUAUAUAUAUAUGUUUGUGUGUGUGUAAAUAAAUAUAUAUAUAAUUCAGUAUUGUUUGAAAUUUUGAAAAAAGGCGGGAAAGUUCCACUGGCGGCUGAAUAAAGAAAACCGCCAGUGAAAAGUGCAUUUCCACUGGCGGUUUGCUUUAUAAAACCGCCAGUGAAAAUGCAUUUUCACUGGCGGUUUUCUUUAUUCAGCCGCCAGUGGAAAUGAACUUUUCACUGGCGGUUCCUUAAGAAAACCGCCAGUGAAAAUGCACUUUUCACUGGUGGUUCCAAAAUAACCGCCAGUGGAAAUGCUGAUUUCCACUGACCCCUAGCAUUGGCGGUACUGAAAAACGCCAGUGUAAAUAUGUUUAGAACCGCCACUAUAGAGCUUCUGUGUACUAGUGUUUCCACAUGCGGUUGAGUAAAUAAAAUCGCUCACGCUUUCUACUAAUCCCUAGCACUAGAGAUUCUGAAAAACGUCAGUGAAAAUGAGUUACGAACUACCUUUAUAUAGCUUCUUUGUACUAGUAUCUCAUCUGCUCUCUUAUUUCAAACGACAUUGUUUACAUGUAACUAGUGUUGUCUACAUAUAUAUAGGCAUAGCAAUGCACGAUUUAUUGGCCACGACAUUAGGCUAUCUCCAACAGUCUUACUGUCUCGCUUCUCAUUUCAAGCUACACUUUGUAAAUAGUGCAUCUACAGCGUUGCACGCUAUUGUUAAUUGUAGAGGAAAAAAAAUAUUUAUAUACCGGAUGUAAAUAAUCUAUUUUACACAACCUCUCACAUAUACCAGCUACUGGUCCAUUUAAAUAGAAGAAAAACAAGUUACUAAAGGGUUAUUUUGUAAAUUUUGAUAUGUCUUUGGGGUCUUUAAGUGGUGGAUGUGAUGGUAUGUGUCGGGGACCAUAAUUAGGGGUACCCCCAAGACUCCUAAUCUCAGCUGGUAACCCCCAUCAGCACAAAGUUGCAAAGGCCUGAUGGGCGCGAUUAAGGUCAAGGCUCAGUCCACUCAAGGGACACGAUCUCGCCUCGCCCGAGCCCAGCCUCGGGCAAAGGCAGCCGACCCCGGAGGAUUCACGUCUCGCCCGAGGGCCCCCUCAAGCAACGGACACACCUUCGGCUCGCCCGAGGCCUAGUCUUCGCAGAGAAGCAACCUUGGCCAGAUCGCCACGCCAACCGACCAUAUCGCAGGAGCAUUUAAUGCAAGGAUCGCCUGACACCUUAUCCUAACGCGCGCUCUUCAGUCGACAGAGUUGAAGUGACCACAGUCACUUCGCCGCUCCACUGACCGACCUGACAAGAAAACAGCACCGUCUGCGUCGCUCCGACUGCUGUGCCACUCGACAGAGUGAGGCUGACAGCAGCUAAGUCCAGCCUCGGGCGCCAUAGGAAGCUCCGCCUCGCCCGAUCCCAGGGCUCGGGCUCAACCUCGACGAUGGACGACGGACUCCGCCUCGCCCGACCCCAGGGCUCGGACACGGCCUCGGCCUCGGAAGACGGUCUCCGCCUCGCCCGACCCCAGGGCUCGGGCUCAACCUCGACGCUGGACGACGGACUCCGCCUCGCCCGACCCAGGGCUCGGACUCAGCCUUGCUUGGCCUCGGAAGACGGUCUCCGCCUCGCCCGACCCAGGGCUCAGACUCAACCUCGACCUCGGAAGACGGACUCCGCCUCGCCCGACCCCAGGGCUCGGACUCAGCCUCGACCUCGGAAGACGGACACGACCUCGACCUCGGUGGAGCCGCCACCUCGCCCAAACUCGGGUCCGGACCGGCCACGUCGCCAGGGGGGCCAUCAUUACCCUACCCCUAGCUAGCUCAGGCUACGGGGAACAAGACCGACGUCCCAUCUGGCUCGCCCCAGUAAAUAAAUAAUGAUGGCGCUCCGCGUGCUCCAUGACGACGGCGGCUCUCAGCCCCUUACGGAAGCAAGGAGACGUCAGCAAGGAUUCGACAGCCCCGACAGCUGUCCUUCCGCAGGGCUCCAGCUCUCCUCCGACGGCCACGACAUCACAUGAAUAGGGUGCCAAAACCUCUCCGGCUGCCACGACGACAUGUACUUAGGGCUCUAGCUCCUCUCUGCUAGACACGUUAGCACACUGCUACACCCCCAUUGUACACCUGGACCCUCUCCUUACGCCUAUAAAAGGAAGGUCCAGGGCUCUCGUACGAGAAGGUUGGCCACGCGGGAGAACGGUCCGGCGCAUAAGGCUCUCGCUCUCUCCCACGCGAACGCUUGUAACCCCCUACUGCAAGCGCAUCCAUCCGCCCUGGGCGCAGGACAACACGAAGGCUGCGGGUUCCCCUUUACUGUUCUCCCCCCUUUGUGUCCUGUCUCGCGCCGACCCAUCUGGGCUGAGACACGCAACGACAAUUUACUCGUCGGUCCAGGGACCCCUCGGGGUCGAAACACCGACAGUUGGCGCGCCAGGUAGGGGCCUGCUGCGUGUUGACGAACAGCUUCCCAUCAAGCUCCAGAUGGUAGUCUUCAGCAACCUUUCCAACCCGGGACGAUGCUCCGUUUCGAGAGUCUUGAGUUCAUGUCCCUCGACGGCAGCUACGACAUGAUACUCCUUCCUCCGCCGCGCGACAGUGACAAUGGCGGCCAUCAGCCCGCCCGCCGGCGGCGGAUUCAACGACGUCUUCCCCACAUGGCGGAAGAACAACAUUCAGGUUUGUCCCGUCACCUCCCCCACCAACGGAGGAGGAGGCGGGGCAACCAUGGCCAAGCAGGAGGCGGCACCUCGUCGGCUGUCGAGCAAGUCAACGACGCCGGCGCCCCAGCGGGGGACAUGUCGGGCUUCGACCUUGCGUCUGAGACGAAGAUGAACGUCGUUUCCCCGCAACACGCCAACCCCAAGCAGACGGACGACGCCAGCACGCUCACAAAGGACUUGCUGGGCGUUGCCCUCGUACCUGAGACAACGGUGCAGUCCGCCCCUGACGCGACUUCAUCACCGCCCGUCGACCAAGAGGUACCGACCGAUUCCCAUCUCGUGCCUUUUGGAUUCAGCUUCGACCUACCAAGCGACCUCGCUUCGGUGGAAGCCUUCAUAGAGGCAUGUACCAACCCUCCGGGGUACAUAUGCGGUCGCCCUGGGACAGACUGACGACCGUCUCGACCUACGGACCCUCGGAUUCCGAGGAAGAUGACGAGCCCGACUUUUGUUGGGAUUUCUCCGGGCUCGGUAACCCCAGUGCCAUGCAGGACUUCAUGACCGCAUGCGACUACUGCCUCUCCGAUUGUUCCGAUGGUAGCCGCAGCUUCGGCGACGAGGACUGCGGCCCAAGUCGUGAAUGUUUCCAUGUCGAUCUAGGGGGUCCCGGUGAAGGCAACCAUCUUGGUAUGCCGGAAAACGGCGAUCCCCUAGGUCUGCGCCUCGCGUUGACAUCCUUCGGGAGCUAGCUGUGGUCCCAGUCCCUGCGGGGGGUCAGGACGCACAGCUCGAGCAAAUCCGCGAGAUGCAGGCCAGGCUCGACGAGGGAGCAGGAACACUUGAGCAGUUCCGGCGGAACAUCGGGCAGGAAUGGGCAGACCAAGCUUCGGCCGGAGAAGCGCGUCAUCUACCCCAGGGCAUCCAGCACCGCAUUGCCGACGACAUCAGGGCAAGGCCGCCACCAGCUUCCAGUGGGGUUGGCCAGAACCUGGCUGCAGUAGCAAUACUACUCCGCGUGAUGCCGGAACCAUCGACCACCGAAGGGCGGCGUAUCCAGGGAGAGCUCAAGAAUCUCCUGGAGGAUGCCGCGGUCCGACGGGUCGAAAGCUCUGCCUCCCGAAGGCAGAGGUACCCCUCGGAGCAUCGCGCCGCGACUUCCCGAUUCGUGCGGGAAGCCUCGGUCCACACCGGGCGCACGCGCAACACGCCGCCUGCGGCCCCGGGUUGCCUCGGCAACGAGCACCACCACCGCAACCGUCGUGCCCACCUCGACGAGAGGGUGCGCCGAGGCUACCACCCUAGGCGUGGGGGACGCUACGGCAGCGGGGAGGAUCGAAGCCCCUCGCCCGAACCACCCGGUCCGCAGGCUUUCAGCCGGGCCAUACGACGGGCACCGUUCCCGACCCGGUUCCGAACCCCGACUACCAUCACAAAGUACUCGGGGGAGACAAGGCUGGAAUUGUGGCUCACGGACUACCGACUGGCCUGCCAGCUGGGUGGAAUGGAUGAUGACAACCUCAUCAUCCGCAACCUCCCCCUGUUCCUCUCUGACACCGCUCGAGCCUGGCUGGAGCAUCUGCCUCCGGGGCAGAUCUCUAACUGGGACGACCUGGUCCAAGCCUUCGCCGGCAACUUCCAGGGCACGUACGUGCGCCCUGGGAACUCCUGGGAUCUCUGAAGCUGCCGCCAGCAGCCGGAAGAGUCUCUCCGAGACUACAUCCGGCGAUUCUCGAAGCAGCGCACCGAGCUGCCCAAUGUCACCGACUCGGACGUCAUCGGCGCGUUCCUCGCCGGCACCACCUGCCGCGACCUGGUGAACAAGCUGGGUCGCAAGACCCCCACCAGGGCGAGCGAGCUGAUGGACAUCGCCACCAAGUUCACCUCUGGCCAGGAGGCGGUUGAGGCCAUCUUCCGAAAGGACAAGCAGCCCCAGGCCCGCCAGCCGAAAGACGUCCCCGAGGCGUCCACUCAGCGCGGCACCAAGAAGAAGAACAAGAAGAAGUCGCAAGCGAAACGCAACGCCACCAACGCGGACCUUGUCACCGCCGCUGAGUACAAGAACCCUCGGAAGCCUCCCGGAGGUGCCAACCUGUUCGACAAGAUGCUCAAGGAGCCGUGCCCCUAUCAUCAGGGGACCGUCAAGCACACCCUUGAGGAGUGCGUCAUGCUUCGGCGCCACUUUCACAAGGCCAGGCCACCGGCGGAAGGUGGCAGGGCCCACAACAACGACAAGAAGGAGGAUCACAAGGCAGAGGAGUUCCCCGAGGUCCACGACUGCUUCAUGAUCUACGGUGGGCCAGUGGCGAACGCCUCGGCUCGGCACCGCAAGCAAGAGCGUCGGGAGGUCUACUCGGUAAAGGUGGCGGCGCCAGUCUACCUAGACUGGUCCGACAAGCCCAUCACCUUCGAUCAGGGUGACCACCCCGACCAUGUGCCGAGCCCGGGGAAAUAUCCGCUCGUUGUCGACCCCGUCAUUGGCAACGUCAGGCUCACCAAGGUCCUCAUGGACGGAGGCAGCAGCCUCAACAUCAUCUACGCCGAGACCCUCGGGCUCCUGCAGAUCGAUCUGUCCUCGAUCCGGACAGGCGCGACGCCUUUUCACGGGAUCAUCCCCGAGAAACGCAUCCAACCCCUCGGACAACUCGAUCUGCCCGUCUGCUUCGGGACUCCCUCCAACUUCCGAAGGAAAACCCUCACGUUCGAGGUGGUCGGGUUCCGAGGAACCUACCACACAUUACUGAGGAGGCCAUGCUACGCCAAGUUCAUGGCCGUCCCCACUACACCUACCUCAAGCUCAAAAUGCCGGGCCCCAACGGGGUCAUCACCGUCGGCCCCACAUACCGACACGCGUACAAAUGCGACGUGGAGUGCGUGGAGUACGCCGAGGCCCUCACCGAAUCCGAGGCCCUCAUCACCGACCUGGAGAGCCUCUCCAAGGAGGCGCCAGAUGCGAAGCGCCACGCCAGCAACUUCGAGCCAGCUGAGACAGUCAAAUCCGUCCCUCUCGACCCCAGCAACGACGCCUCCAAGCAGAUACGGAUCGGCUCCGAGCUCGACCCCAAAUAGGAAGCAGUGCUCGUCGACUUCCUCCGCGCGAAUGCCGAAGUUUUCGCGUGGAGUCCCUCGGACAUUCCUGGCAUACCGAGGGAUGUCGCCGAGCACUCGCUGGAUAUCCGAGCUGGAGCCCGACCCGUGAAGCAGCCUCUGCGCCGAUUCGACAAAGAAAAGCGCAGAGCCAUAGGCGAGGAGGUCCACAAGCUGAUGGCCGCAGGGUUCGUCAAAGAGGUAUUCCAUCCCGAAUGGCUUGCCAACCCUGUGCUUGUGAGAAAGAAAGGAGGGAAAUGGCGGAUGUGUGUAGACUACACUGGUCUAAACAAAGCAUGUUCGAAGGUUCCCUACCCUUUGCCUCGCAUCGAUCAAAUCGUGGAUUCCACUGCUGGGUGCGAAACCCUGUCUUUCCUCGAUGCCUACUCAGGGUAUCACCAAAUCAGGAUGAAAGAGUCCGACCAGCUCGCGACUUCUUUCAUCACGCCCUUUGGCAUGUACUGCUACGUUACCAUGCCAUUUGGUUUGAGGAAUGCGGGUGCGACGUACCAAAGGUGCAUGAACCACGUGUUCGGAGAGCACAUUGGUCGAACGGUCGAGGCUUACGUCGAUGACAUCGUAGUCAAGACGAGGAAAGCCUCCGACCUCCUCUCUGACCUUGAAACGACAUUCCAGUGUCUCAAGGCGAAAGGCGUAAAACUCAAUCCCGAGAAGUGCGUCUUCGGAGUCCCCCGAGGCUUGCUCUUGGGGUUCAUCGUCUCAGAGCGGGGCAUCAAGGCCAACCCGGAGAAAAUCGCGGCCAUCACCAACAUGGGGCCCAUCAUGGACUUGAAAGGCGUACAGAGGGUCAUGGGAUGCCUUGCGGCUCUGAGCCGUUUCAUCUCGCGCCUCAGAGAAAGAGGCCUACCUCUGUACCGCCUCUUGAAGAAGACCGAGUGCUUCACUUGGACCCCCGAGGCCGAGGAAGCCCUCGGAAACCUAAAAGCGCUCCUUACCAGCGCGCCCAUCUUGGUGCCCCCCGCUGCCGGAGAAGCCCUCUUGAUCUACGUCGCCGCUACCACCCAGGUGGUCAGCGCCGCGAUCGUGGUUGAGAUACGAGAAGAAGGGCAUGCAUUGCCCGUCUAGAGGCCGGUCUACUUCAUCAGUGAGGUACUGUCUGAGACCAAGAUCCGCUACCCAUAAAUUCAGAAGCUGCUGUACGCGGUGAUUCUGACGCGGCGGAAGUUGCGACACUACUUCGAGUCUCAUCCGGUGACUGUGGUGUCAUCCUUCCCCCCUGGGGGAGAUCAUCCAGUGCCGAGAGGCCUUGGGUAGGAUUGCAAAGUGGGCGGUGGAGAUCAUGGGCGAGACGAUCUCGUUCGCCCCUCGGAAGGCCAUCAAGUCCCAAGUCUUGGCAGACUUUGUGGCUGAAUGCGUCGACACCCAGCUUCCAGCAGCUCCGAUCCAACCGGAACUCUGGACCAUGUUUUUAGACAGGUUGCUGAUGAAAACAGGGGUAGGCGCGGGCCUGCUCUUCAUCUCGCCCCUCGGGAAGCACCUCCUCUACGUGUUGCGCCUCCAUUUCCCGGCGUCCAACAACGUGGCUGAGUACGAGGCUCUGGUCAAUGGGUUGCGCAUCGCCAUCGAGCUAGGGGUCCGACGCCUCGACGCUCGCGGUGACUCGCAGCUUGUCAUCGACCAAGUCAUGAAGAACUCCCACUGCCGCGACCCGAAGAUGGAAACCUACUGCGACGAGGUUCGGCGCCUGGAAGACAAGUUCUACGGUCUCGAGGUCAACCACGUCGCCUGGCGGUACAACGAGACUGCAGACGAGCUAGCGAAGAUAGCUUCGGCGCGAACAACGGUUCCCCCGAACGUCUUCUCCUGGGACCUACAUCAACCCUCAGUCAAGACAAACGACACACCCGAGCCCGAAAAGGUCUCGGCCCUGCCCGAAGUGCCCUCGACUCAGCCCGAGGCACCCUCGGCCCCCGAGGGUGAGGCUCUGCGCAUCGAGGAAGAGCGGAAUGGGGUCACGCCUAAUCGAAACUGGUAGACCCCAUACCUGCAAUAUCUCCACCGAGGAGAGCUACCCCUCGACAGAGCCGAAGCUCGGCGACUGGCGCUGCGCGCCAAGUCAUUCGUCUUGCUGGGUGACGGGAAGGAGCUCUACCAGCGCAGCCCCUCCGGCAUCCUCCAGCGAUGCAUAUCCGUCGCCGAAGGCCAGGAGCUCUUACGAGAAAUACACUCGGGGGCUUGCGGUCAUCACGCAGCGCCUCGAGCCCUUGUUGAAAACGCUUUCCGACAAGGUUUCUACUGGCCGACCGCGGUGGCCGAUGCCACUAGAACUGUCCGCACCUGCCAAGGGUGUCGAUUCUACGCAAAGCAGACCCACCUACCUGCUCAGGCUCUGCAAACAAUACCCAUCACCUGGCCGUUUGCUGUGUGGGGUCUGGACCUCGUCGGUCCCUUGCAGAAGGCGCCCGGGGUCUACACGCACCUGCUGGUCGCCAUCGACAAAUUCUCCAAGUGGAUCGAGGUCCGACCCCUAAACAGCAUCAGGUCCGAACAGGCGGUGGCGUUCUUCACCAACAUCAUCCAUAGCUUUGGGGUCCCGAACUCCAUCAUCACCGACAACGACACCUAGUUCACCGGCAGAAAGUUCCUGGACUUCUGCGAGGAUCACCACAUCCGGGUGGACUGGGCCGCCGUGGCUCACCCCAUGACGAAUGGGCAGGUAGAACGUGCCAACGACAUGAUUCUGCAAGGACUCAAGCCGAGGAUCUACAACGACCUCCACAAGUUCGGCAUGCGAUGGAUGAAGGAACUCCCCUUGGUGGUCUGGAGCCUGAGGACGACGCCAAGUCGAGCCAAAGGACGAGGGCCUACGACGACCGACGCAACCAGACCAACCGAGAAGACUCACUGGACCAGCUGGAAGAGGCUCCGAACAUGGCCUUACUACACUCGGCGCAGUAUCAGCAGUCCCUGUGACGCUACCACGCCCGAGGGGUUCAGUCCCGAGACCUCCAGGUGGGCGACUUGGUACUUCGACUACGACAAGACGCCCGAGGGCGGCACAAGCUCAUGCCUCCCUCGGAAGGGCCGUUCGUCAUCGCCAAGGUUCUGAAGCCCGGGACGUACAAGCUGGCCAACAGUCAAGGCGAGGUCUACAUCAACGCUUAGAACAUCCGACAGCUACGUCGCUUCUACCCUUAAGAUGUUUUCAAGCCGUUCAUAUACCUCGUUUACAUAUAAAGUCUAACCAUCAAGGAAGGGUCAGCCUUGCCUCGGCAAAGCCCGACCCUCCCUCCGGGGCUAGAAGGGGGGGGGAACCCCCUCCGCGUCAAAAUUUUCCUCGGAAAAAGUCUUUCUGCCAGAAUAUCUUUCGUGCUUUUCGACUACUUUGGUAGUGGGAUCAUGAAAACGACGGAGUACACGUAAGCAGGCAAGGCCGACCGAGCCGAGGGACUCCUACGCCUCCGGGAUACGGAUACCUCACUCAUCGCCUUCUAUGAGAAGUAACUCGCGUUCAGAUGAGCGAUCCUGCUGACCGAACAAGCCUUAACGCUCAAAAGACUUUCUGCCGAAAUGGUUUUUCGGGUUUUCUCGGCUACGUUGAUAAUAGAAUCCCGCAGACGAGCAAGAGUACACGUAAGCGGCAAGGCCGACCGAGCCGAGGGAUUCCUAUGCCUCCGGGAUACGGAUACCUCACUCAUCACCUUUCGUGAGAAGUAUGAAGCGUCCCCAAUCCUCUGGGACUCAAAUGUGAUACAAUUACUAGUCCCAGGAGGCUAGUAAACACAUUUAUACAUCAGAUGAUUCCAGAUCUGCUUAAACGAGACAAACCUAUAAAGGUGGCGAUCAACUUUAAGAGUUGGUCCACAACUCGGGACAUAUCAUCAGAGUGGGGCUGAAGCAGCCCGAUAUACGCAGUGAAGCAAAUCAGCGGUCCAACAGCCACAGGCAAGGUUGGGAACAGUCGUAACUCUUACCCGAUCUCCUUUUUCUGAAAAACAACAAAUAAGCAAGGGUGAGUACAAACGUACUCAGCAGCCCACCUUCACCCGCGGAAUGGGGAAAUCAGAUAUAAUGCAUGGAAUAUGUGGAGCUCAGGAUAUUUUGCAGAAACAGCAAUAUUUUAUGCAGAGUUGUUUUGAAAAACAUUUUGUAUUUUUGCAAAGCGCAUCCUCUCCAAAAGGAGCAGGAGUUUUUCAGUAUUAUAAUAAAAUCCUCUGGACUAAACCAUCCAGGUAUCUCAGCAGUUUCCCACUGGUUUUCAUUUUCAAAAACAGCUACUGGACUUCCCGUCCACCAUAGCUCACGGCUCAACCGCCGAACCUUAUAAAAACCACUUUUCAAAAACAUCUCUUUUUUUUGGAAAACAAAACAUUAAUUGCCAUACCAUACCAGACUCGUCCAUUCCUGUGGACACAGACUAUUCGAAUAGGUUUUCAAACUCUGCGCAGAGGUGUACACUUUACCCACUAGUCCGGCUCUGUGAUCUCAUGAUCAAUGAGAUCCGAAUCCGAAUCUCUUUCUUUCCUCGCACGUCCUAACCUUAACGGUUAUCCGGAAGGAGUCAGGCCACCGCCAUGUCCAAACCGGACAAAACUUUCCCCCUCCUUAUCCUCCCGGUGCUCCCCAGCCUUCAUAACCCUGGGGUUGAACCGUACGAGUUCAGAUUGAGUGACUGCCCACACAGUCUCGAGUGGUUGUACUAUUAAAGAGUACAGGUAGUGAAGAUGACAAACCGGUCCUUAUACGAGGGGAUAAUCCUUCUGCUCACGCCUAAACCAGCUGAGCCAUCACCUUAGGCCCUCCCCUAAACCAGGGAGUCCCUGAUUAUCCCACUCACAAGGUGAUAAGGGUGAAAACCCUUCAUCAUACACAUUUUGAAAAGCAUUUUCUUUUGAAAACUCACACCCUUUCUCAAAUCAUUUGUAACAAAUAUAUUAAGGAGUGAUUGCGGCAAGCGGCUUGGGUGGCCAUAAUAACUUGUCACAAAAUCAUAUCAUGCAUAAAAUAACAGGCUGAGGGUUGUGGUUGAAAAACAUAGGUAAUUUAUGCAUCAAAGGGAUCCAGUGAGCUUGCCGUGCUUAUUCGGCGAAGGGGGAAGGGGAGCUCGCGGAACUGGCUUCUGGCUCCACCGCCUAGCGUAGACUUGCAGAUCUGGCCUCCACGAGACGGCACGAACGCUCCGAUAACUAUGCAACAUGAACAAGCAAACAUACAAACCAACAAGUAUACCAACAAAUAUUUAGUAUAGUGGUCAGAAUAGCGAUAUAUGGAUGGGUAGAGUCUUGAGUAGAAUCUGUGUCAUGUGGUGUUGUGAUAUUACUAGUGGUGGAGCGGAGGUGCUUACCAGGAGGGUGGACUGGAGGCGAAGCGACACUAUGUGUGUAGCCGGCAGAGCAGAGUAACUGAGUGGGUGGGGUGUUUGCCUUGGCUGAGGGUGUUGAGUGUGUGUGGAGAGGGAGAGGGUAGCUGGGUGUAUUUAUAGCUGGGUGUAUGUGGUGUAGCACAGUGAAGUUCACUGUUGGUGAGAAUAGUGACGAAUGAAUCGUCUGACUUAGUAUGAACAGGAGAGUUAUAGGCAGAAUAUGGGACAAGAGUAUUUUGGGAGUUUUCUGGAAUAUGGACCAUGCUUAAGGGAUGACAUGGUUGGGUAGGGAAUAGUUUGAUAAGAAUUUAGAAACGAGAUUUAUUGGAAUCUGAGUUUGGGAGCCUGGUUCGAAGGAUUCUCAAAGUUAAGCGUGCUCAACUUGGAGAAACCUGGGAUGGGUGACCAGAUGGGAAGUUCCCUACUGGAAGAAAAAUCACAGUCACCGGAGUUCGUAUGACUGGAAUAUGGGUCUGGCUGGUCUUAGGUGGACUGGACAACAUGAUGUACGAGUAGUUGAAAUUUGGGAUGACUAGAUGACUGAUGAAUAGUAACGAUGAUCAGUAACGAUGAAUAGUGGCGAUGGAAAAGAAAUUAUAGAUAUCAUCGAUGAAUAGUAACGAUGAUGAAUAGUAAUGAUAAAUAGUAACGAUGAUGAAUAGUGUAUGUGAAUAGUAAUGGUGAAUAGUAAUGGUGAAUAGUGAUAGUGAAUAGUUUGAACGAACGAUGAAUAGGAACUAUGAACGAACGGACGAACGAUCGAAUGAUCGGACGAACGAACGAUCGGAAUUUCGGCAGCAUAACGGCAGGAAAAGAUUAUUUGGACGAACGAACGGACGAACGAUCGAAUGAUCAUACGAACGAACGAUCGGAAUUUCGGCAGCAUAACGGCAGGACAAAAAUUAUCUGGAAGAACGAUGAAUAGGGACUAUGAACGAACGAUGAAUCGAUGAAUAGGGACUAUGAACGAACGAUGAAUGAUCGAAUGAUCGAACGAACGAACGAUCGGAAUUUCGGCAGCAUAACGGCAGGACAAAGAUUAUCUGGAAGAACGAUGAAUAGGGACUAUGAACGAACGAUGAAUCGAUGAAUAGGGACUAUGAACGAACGAUGAACGAUCGAAUGAUCGAAUGAACGAACGAUCGGAAUUUCGGCAGCAUAACGGUAGGAAAAAGAUUAUUUGGACGAACGAACGGACGAACGAUCGAAUGAUCGGACGAACGGACGAACGAACCAUGAACGAUCGGACGAACGAUCGAACGAUCAGACGAAUGAACGAACAAACUAAGAACAGGGGACGAACGAUCGAAGAACGACCGAACGAUCCUUGUGCUAGUGUGUGCUUGUGUGGAACAUGGACUGGGUGUGUGUGGGGGGGGGGAGAGAGUUGCCAUGAAAUGGCUUGGGGUGGGAUGAGAGGAGGCCCUUGCCCCUCUAUUUAUAGCCAUGGUGGGGGGAUUAGGGGGAGGGAUGAGAGGAUUAGUGGGAGGAUGAGAGGAUUAGUGGGAGGUUAGCAUGUAUUUGUCUUGUAUAAGUGUAAUUAGCUUGUAGAGCUCACCGUAUGACACUGGAGGCAUACGUAUACGUAUGAGCAUGAGGAAAGUUAUGAAGAAAAUAUUUAUAGGGACUUGAAAAAUGAUUCUGAAGGUAUUUCUCAGGAGGAAAAUAUCUGGAGAUAUAUCGGUGGAAUAUUUGGGCAGUAUUUCUGGAAAGAACUUGAAGAGGAUCACUAGGGAAAUAUCUGGGCAAUAUUUCUGUAAACAAUUUGAGGGGGAUCACUGAGGAAAUAUUUGUAGGAUAUUUUGAGGAGGAUUUUAGAGAGAAUAUAGACCACUAUACUUUAUUUGUUGAUAUCAACUCGCAAACAAACAUUUUGAAAUGAAAUUUGAAAUUCAUUUUGAAUUUAUAGCAAGUUUGAGAAAGUUUCAGGAUUUGAAUUUUUGGGAUGCUACAAAUCUACCCCACUUAAAAGGAAUCUCGUCCUCGAGAUUUGGCUUAGAAGGGUUAUGGGUAUAGCUUUACUUCAGCUACAUAUCUUCACUUUGCAGACUCUUCGAGGAGAUAGAGCUUCAACAAAAUCUGGCCUUGAGGGGCAUCCGGUUGCUAAUUGCAAGCGCUGAUUCUCGCUACUCAAGAUCAUCUUCAGGUUUCUAGGUUUCGCUUGGCAGCUAGCUUAUUGAAGAAGCAUCAAUGCCAACACGCAAACCUUUCUCUUGCGAACUUCCACAUGGAUUCCUUCCUUGAUUGGUCUUCUGGUGCUUCAUCAACAAAACUUGGGUGACCACUUCUCAUCCAGAAACUUAUAUGCUUGGACGAUCGGGUCCUCCACAAGCUUGCUACAUGCCUUCAUCUUUUUCUCCAUAGCAGGAACCUUACUGGAACACUACCCCACUUAAAAAGAAAGAGGGUAGAACUCUUGAAUCUUGGGGAUUUGAACUCCUUGAAGUACCUCAUAACAAAGGUGUUACGGGGCCUUCUUCUGCUGUUGCUGCUUGAGCAGGCUGCGGAGAAAUGACUGACACAGGGUUUAUUCUGGGACAACCUUCUUCUCAUCUUCUCUUCACUAUCUUCUUUUCUCUUCUCACUUUUCACUUUUCACUGCCUCUUUCUUUCUCUUUGCUCUUCCCACUCGAGGAUUCUAUCAAAGAGUAUUACCAUCAUACAGAGGAGGAAACCGAAGAUGUUGAACCAUAUACAACAGUCUUCAACCCAAGAAUCACCAAGCAUUGUGAUCUCAGGGGCGAGGGGUGGAAAAAUGGAGUUGCUAGCGAUUUGGCAGAGGGGAUUUAUCUGGAGUGUGCUUUUGCUUUGAGCGAGAUGGGAGUUGAGGGAGAUGGUGGGGGGCUUUUAUAGGCGAGCGGGGGUGUUCGGUUGCGGAGCAGUGGUGAUGGAGUAGGUGCUACGCGGCAGCGGGUGCGAUAAGGGGAGGGGGGCCUGGUGUUGCCGGCGAUGAUGGUGGCGGUGGGUGCGCUGCAAAGGUGGCGUGGGCGGUGGUAGUGCGCUGCAAAGGGGGCGUGGGGCGAUGGUAGUGCGCAUGGAGGCAGGCACGCGUGCGAGGGGCACGGGUGAGUGGUGGGGUCAAUGACCCUGAUGUUUGUGGUCUCUGGUUCCAAGAAUCUUUGCCUCUCUGUAUGGUAAUAACUCCUUCUGUCCUCUUUUCCUGUUUACUUUGACUCAGGGGCAGUGCUUUGAUUCUUACGGUCGGUCCUUUUGACUGAGCGACUGGACUGGUUUCUUCUGUAGCUUGUUCCAGGCUUCAAGGGUAAGCUUCCCGGUAUCUUCUUGGGUAAGGCACUUUUCUCUUGGGAUGGGUUAAGAUGAGAAUGGAAGCAUAAGGUGAGGAUUAGAUCUAAUUUGUGAUCUAUGUUUUUUAGAGAAAACCUUUCUUAAAAAACACACAAGCUCAGCAAUGAUAAGCACAAACAAAUCGAAUGUUUUGAAUAAGGGAAGAAUAGAGUUUUUCCAAAGCACGGACUACUCAGAUUCGGGGGCUAAGCAUAACUACUAUUGCUUGGCUCCUGAAUUGAGAACUAUGCUAAAUGCAACUUAUGAGCACUAACGUUAAAGCAUCACAUAUGCACUCAAAAGGGAGGAAAACAUCAAGCGAAAUUCAUUUUGAAAUGCCCUAGGGGGCAACACAAAUAGAGUUUUUCAAAGCACGGGACUACACGAUUAACUCUCAUACAUGCAGGGCUCUAGCCAAAGUGAAGAAAAACUUCACUACCCAAUGCAUGCAGAGGACUGGGCAUACUAACUUCAGACCAGACAACUUCUCUUCUGGCAGGGCUGGCACACAACUUCAAUCCGAGACAUCUCCUGGAUGGGUCAAGAGGGAGCUGACGUUGAUGACUUCUUCUGGCGGCGACUGAGAUGGCAGGACAGGGUCGAACUCUUCUUCAAGCGGGACUGGCUCUUGUAGCUCCUCUGAGGGCGGCGGUGCUGGCGGGGUGCUUGCAGCUUCUUCCUUGACCUCAAGGGAUGGUGCUGGAAUCUUCUUCAUGGUGAGGGGCUCAAACAACUCUGGCGGGGGAUCUUGGGAGGAUUCAGGGUGCUCUUGCUUAUCCAUAGCCUGAGGGGAGACUGGAAUUCCUUCCAAGACUAUGGCUCCUUCCGGUAGUUCCCAAAUCUUCUUCUCUCCUCUGAUAGAGACCAGGUGACCUUCAAGAAUCUGGGGGUCUUCAGUUUUGAUGGGUUCAACAGGGUUGGAUGGAGCGGGCUCUUGGAUCCGCAGGGCUCUACGUUGGUUAUGGGUGACCAAGUAGGCCUCCAUCAACUUCUAGACGUGCUCAUCCUUGGCUUGCUUCAGGGCUUCCACAACAAUGACUUCACGACUUUCCAAGGCAGCUACACGGGCUUGAGCUGCGGUGAGAUCCACAUGCAGCUGACGGUUGCGCUUCUCUGCAUCUUCUGCUCGGGCAAUCAUCUGACGGUGGUGCCGAGCCAAGAAAUCAUACUGUGCAUCAAGGGUGAGCAGGUAUGCAGUGAGGUACACGACUGUGGGGUCAUCCUCAAGCAGCUGCUGCCCUUCCAAUGCACGCAUCCUGGCCAUCCAAGCGGGACGGUCUCUCUGAAAGGGCGGAAAGAAUCUGAGCGGAGUGUCGGCCACUUCUUCUUCAUAGAUCUGACACAGGGCCCUCAAUGCCUUACGGGCGACGUCUUGGCAGGUGUCUCUGAAUCUGUGCCCAGCAGCAGUGACACUCCAUUCCACAUGGUGUGGACUGGAUCCAAUGUAUAUAGUCACGACACACUUCUCUGUGCCAUGCUCGACGAAUUCACGACCAUCAUACUCUGGCUGGCUCCUGAUUCCGAGGCGAACUGUGCAUGCUCUCAGCAACUUGGGGAAACCAUCUUCAUUCUGGCAAAAGCUGGUUUGGCACUGAACCUCCAUCUGACUUCUGAGAGAAGGAAAGGGGGAAAACAUUUUUGAAAUGAAGGGAUGAGAGCAAGAAUUUUUUUUUAAGAAAAUAGUUUUGACUCAAAAACUUUUGAUCAGGCUAAGGGUUACGUCCUGCGGACAACCUAACAGCUCUGAUACCACCUGAAGCGUCCCCAAUCCUCUAGGACUCAAAUGUGAUACAAUUACUAGUCCCAGGAGGCUAGUAAACACAUUUAUACAUCAGAUGAUUCCAGAUCUACUUAAACGAGACAAACCUAUAAAGGUGGCGAUCAACUUUAAGAGUUGGUCCACAACUCGGGACAUAUCAUCAGAGUGGGGCUGAAGCAGCCCGAUAUACGCAGUGAAGCAAAUCAGCGGUCCAACAGCCACAGGCAAGGUUGGGAACAGUCGUAACUCUUACCCGAUCUCCUUUUUCUGAAAAACAACAAAUAAGCAAGGGUGAGUACAAACGUACUCAGCAGCCCACCUUCACCCGCGGAAUGAGGAAAUCAGAUAUAAUGCAUGGAAUAUGUGGAGCUCAGGAUAUUUUGCAGAAACAACAAUAUUUUAUGCAGAGUUGUUUUGAAAAACAUUUUGUAUUUUUGCAAAGCGCAUCCUCUCCAAAAGGAGCAGGAGUUUUUCAGUAUUAUAAUAAAAUCCCCUGGACUAAACCAUCCAGGUAUCUCAGCAGUUUCCCACUGGUUUUCAUUUUCAAAAACAGCUACUGGACUUCCCGUCCACCAUAGCUCACGGCUCAACCGCCGAACCUUUUAAAAACCACUUUUCAAAAACAUCUCUUUUUUUUGGAAAACAAAACAUUAAUUGCCAUACCAUACCAGACUCGUCCAUUCCUGUGGACACAGACUAUUCGAAUAAGUUUUCAAACUCUGCGCAGAGGUGUACACUUUACCCACUAGUCCGGCUCUGCGAUCUCAUGAUCAAUGAGAUCCGAAUCCGAAUCUCUUUCUUUCCUCGCACGUCCUAACCUUAACGGUUAUCCGGAAGGAGUCAGGCCACCGCCAUGUCCAAACCGGACAAAACUUUCCCCCUCCUUAUCCUCCCGGUGCUCCCCAGCCUUCAUAACCCUGGGGUUGGACCGUACGAGUUCAGAUUGAGUGACUGCCCACACAGUCUCGAGUGGUUGUACUAUUAAAGAGUACAGGUAGUGAAGAUGACAAACCGGUCCUUAUACGAGGGGAUAAUCCUUCUGCUCACGCCUAAACCAGCUGAGCCAUCACCUUAGGCCCUCCCCUAAACCAGGGAGUCCCUGAUUAUCCCACUCACAAGGUGAUAAGGGUGAAAACCCUUCAUCAUACACAUUUUGAAAAGCAUUUUCUUUUGAAAACUCACACCCUUUCUCAAAUCAUUUGUAACAAAUAUAUUAAGGAGUGAUUGCGGCAAGCGGCUUGGGUGGCCAUAAUAACUUGUCACAAAAUCAUAUCAUGCAUAAAAUAACAGGCUGAGGGUUGUGGUUGAAAAACAUAGGUAAUUUAUGCAUCAAAGGGAUCCAGUGAGCUUGCCGUGCUUAUUCGGCGAAGGGGGAAGGGGAGCUCGCGGAACUGGCUUCUGGCUCCACCGCCUAGCGUAGACUUGCAGAUCUGGCCUCCACGAGACGGCACGAACGCUCCGAUAACUAUGCAACAUGAACAAGCAAACAUACAAACCAACAAGUAUACCAACAAAUAUUUAGUAUAGUGGUCAUAAUAGCGAUAUAUGGAUGGGUAGAGUCUUGAGUAGAAUCUGUGUCAUGUGGUGUUGUGAUAUUACUGGUGGUGGAGCGGAGGUGCUUACCAGGAGGGUGGACUGGAGGCGAAGCGACACUAUGUGUGUAGCCGGCAGAGCAGAGUAACUGAGUGGGUGGGGUGUUUGCCUUGGCUGAGGGUGUUGAGUGUGUGUGGAGAGGGAGAGGGUAGCUGGGUGUAUUUAUAGCUGGGUGUAUGUGGUGUAGCACAGUGAAGUUCACUGUUGGUGAGAAUAGUGACGAAUGAAUUGUCUGACUUAGUAUGAACAGGAGAGUUAUAGGCAGAAUAUGGGACAAGAGUAUUUUGGGAGUUUUCUGGAAUAUGGACCAUGCUUAAGGGAUGACAUGGCUGGGUAGGGAAUAGUUUGAUAAGAAUUUAGAAACGAGAUUUAUUGGAAUCUGAGUUUGGGAGCCUGGUUCGAAGGAUUCUCAAAGUUAAGCGUGCUCAACUUGGAGAAACCUGGGAUGGGUGACCAGAUGGGAAGUUCCCUACUGGAAGAAAAAUCACAGUCACCGGAGUUCGUAUGACUGGAAUAUGGGUCUGGCUGGUCUUAGGUGGACUGGACAACAUGAUGUACGAGUAGUUGAAAUUUGGGAUGACUAGAUGACUGAUGAAUAGUAACGAUGAUCAGUAACGAUGAAUAGUGGCGAUGGAAAAGAAAUUAUAGAUAUCAUCGAUGAAUAGUAACGAUGAUGAAUAGUAAUGAUAAAUAGUAACGAUGAUGAAUAGUGUAUGUGAAUAGUAACGAUGAAUAGUAAUGGUGAAUAGUAAUGGUGAAUAGUGAUAGUGAACAGUUUGAACGAACGAUGAAUAGGAACUAUGAACGAACGGACGAACGAUCGAAUGAUCGGACGAACGAACGAUCGGAAUUUCGGCAGCAUAACGGCAGGAAAAGAUUAUUUGGACGAACGAACGGACGAACGAUCGAAUGAUCAUACGAACGAACGAUCGGAAUUUCGGCAGCAUAACGACAGGACAAAGAUUAUCUGGAAGAACGAUGAAUAGGGACUAUGAACGAACGAUGAAUCGAUGAAUAGGGACUAUGAACGAACGAUGAACGAUCGAAUGAUCGAACGAACGAACGAUCGGAAUUUCGGCAGCAUAACGGCAGGACAAAGAUUAUCUGGAAGAACGAUGAAUAGGGACUAUGAACGAACGAUGAAUCGAUGAAUAGGGACUAUGAACGAACGAUGAACGAUCGAAUGAUCGAAUGAACGAACGAUCGGAAUUUCGGUAGCAUAACGGUAGGAAAAAGAUUAUUUGGACGAACGAACGGACGAACGAUCGAAUGAUCGGAUGAAUGGACGAACGAACCAUGAACGAUCGGAUGAACGAUCGAACGAUCAGACGAACGAACGAACAAACUAAGAACAGGGGACGAACGAUCGAAGAACGACCGAACGAUCCUUGUGCUAGUGUGUGCUUGUGUGGAACAUGGAGUGGGUGUGUGUGGGGGGGAGAGAGUUGCCAUGAAAUGGCUUGGGGUGGGAUGAGAGGAGGCCCUUGCCCCUCUAUUUAUAGCCAUGGUGGGGGGGAUUAGGGGGAGGGAUGAGAGGAUUAGUGGGAGGAUGAGAGGAUUAGUGGGAGGUUAGCAUGUAUUUGUCUUGUAUAAGUGUAAUUAGCUUGUAGAGCUCACCGUAUGACACUGGAGGCAUACGUAUACGUAUGAGCAUGAGGAAAGUUAUGAAGAAAAUAUUUAUAGGGACUUGAAAAAUGAUUCUGAAGGUAUUUCUCAGGAGGAAAAUAUCUGGAGAUAUAUCGGUGGAAUAUUUGGGCAGUAUUUCUGGAAAGAACUUGAAGAGGAUCACUAGGGAAAUAUCUGGGCAAUAUUUCUGUAAACAAUUUGAGGGGGAUCACUGAGGAAAUAUUUGUAGGAUAUUUUGAGGAGGAUUUUAGAGAGAAUAUAGACCACUAUACUUUAUUUGUUGAUAUCAACUCGCAAACAAACAUUUUGAAAUGAAAUUUGAAAUUCAUUUUGAAUUUAGAGCAAGUUUGAGAAAGUUUCAGGAUUUGAAUUUUUGGGAUGCUACAAAGUAACUCUAGCUCGGAUAAACGAUUCUGCUACCGACGAGCAAGCCCUGAUACUCGAAACAAGAGGAAAAGAAAUGCAGCUUUACAACGCGACGACAGUAUGUUUGGGCCUCAGCGGCCACAAAAAACAUAUGCAUACUACAGGCGAACCGGUCCUGCAGGCUCAGACGUCGAUGGAGGGGGAGCAGCAGCACCCUCGGCGUCAACUCCACCUUCGGCGAAGUCCGACCGAGCCUCGGACGGCAACACGGACGAAGGAUCUCCACUCCGAAGGACGACGUCAGCACCACGCCCGGGCCAUCGCCGCCAGGGUCUCCUUCAGGAACCCGGCCCGAGCAGACGGCUCGGCCGGCCACCCCGAAGCCUCAGCCAGCUGUCCCCCGAGGACACCAGCCCGGCUCAUGGCCUCGGCAACCUGACUCCGGCGCUGGUCCCGCCAGUGGACGGCCUGGCCAGGCUCUGGCCGACGAAGUCUUCUUUUCGAGCCAACUCUGCCUCUGUCCAUGCUGACACCGCUGCCUCUGGCUCCGGCUCAUCGCAGAGCGGCCGAGGGUUCCUUUAACUAAGCAAGAGAAGCCUCGGGCGGCAAGGCCGACCGAGCCGAGGGACUCCUACGCCUCCGGGAUACGGAUACCUCACUCGUCACCUUCGCACGAGGCAACUCACACUUGGUUAAGCGGUUCAGUUAGCCGACUGGCGAGUCCUAGUGCUCGAAAGGAGGAAAAACAUGGUAUUACACCAAAAAUACCCACAUGUUCAGGCCCCGACAGCCACAAUGAACAGACACCGGCACUCAAGGUGCCAUUACAAACGGAACUCCGGUUCCACCCCCGCAGGUACGAACAACCCCCCACAUUGGAGGGCCUGCGGGGCGACGAAACCCCAGGUGGCUCACCGCCGCCCGCUCCGGCAGCAGCGACAACGACCUCCGCUCCAGGUGGCCAAACAACAACAGCGAUGGCCUCAGGGCGGACGCUGCUGCAACAAGGCCCUCGCCCACGUCCCCACUCGAGGGGCGAGGACAAGCUAUCAAAGCCAAAGAGCCGGAGGCCUGGAGCGCGGAUGGUGGCGGUGAUCCCGUCGGCGAUGAGGAAUUCUUCAGCCGCCACCACCUCCGCGCCGACGACGGAAGCCAUCUGCCCACCGGCAGAUCCCCACUCGAAUCCUCCCGGACGGGCGAGCACCGACCUCCGCGUAGAGGCGCCGUACCGGAGCAAAGACAGGACAGCCCAAGAACACGAACGCCGCCCUAGCAGCGCGCGACAUCUUGGGCGGUCCUCCGGUGCGCGCGGUGCGACAACCGCUCUCGCGGCGGGAGGGGGCACCGGGAGCCGAGCCAGAGCCAGCUGAGCCAGCGAGCCCAACGCGCUGAAGCAGACGACGCUCGCCGCCGACCAGCCCCGCGUUGUCGAAGUCCGACCCUCCCGCUAGGCCGGUGAGCGCCCUCUCCCCUGAAUGCUGAGGGAGAAGGUGACCCACGAACCCGCGCGGGAGGUAGAGCUCCGGCUCAGUCCGGCCUCCGCCCCAGCCAGGAUGAUGAAGAUCCUUGAAGCUGAGGGCGAGGCAGAGGUCGCAGCCCGGCUUGCUUCUCCCCACCAUCAAACUGGUGGUCACCGUCUUGGGUGACCACCGGCGAGGGGAUGCAGCCGAGCUGCCUGAUGAAAAUCCUUAAAGCCGAACGAUGGCUGAAAGGUACCAACUUCCGCGAAGUUGCGUUCCCCCGACGACGACAAGACGAAGGCGACGCGAGUGCUCCCCAUCCGGGGGCUCGGAAGGUGGAAGGACGCGAUGCAUGAAGGGAGUGCGAAGACAUGGUUGCCAUCCAAGGGGGUCACCCUCCUUUUAAAGGCGACUCUCCCCACCUGCGUCCUCAGCCGGCGCGGACUGAGUCUUCUCCAACACGCUCCAAAGUCCUCCCCCUACGACACGGGGGCUGGGUCCCACGCGUCAUGCAAGCUGGCCCAGGACAGAAGAGGCUAAACCGCCGCGCGCGGAGCGCACAACAGCCCAGCGGUUACAAGCAUUCCUCCACUAUCGCCCGGACCAACGGGUGAAAGGGCGAACCGCCAUGCAGGCGGCAUGCAACCGCACCAAGGGAGCGCACCCUUUCGACUUCGACGCGUCCAGCAUGGAGGCCCAGGCCCACACGUCAUGUAACCGGCUCGCCAGUUACUACGUGCGAGAAACUGCACCGCCACUCGCGCCAGUACCGCACCUCCUCGACUGCGGAACCGGUGCUGCGACUCGAGGCGACCCUGCGCAUGACCCAACAGUGCCAACCGAGCACAUCGGUCACGGGUCAGUCAGCCGCGGGAGAAGGCGCGACGGUCGAUAUGGCCAGAAAUGGGCCGGUAGUAAUGGCGGUGGCAGGCGGGCGGAAGCAGCAGUCAAGUCGCCUGCAGACUCACGUCCCCUCCUGGGACAGCAAGAGAGCCCUGUCCCACGGAGUGAAGACGACGCGCCCGUGUUCCGUUCCUCGAACGGCUCGCGCACGCACAACGGCUGCCCCGCGAACCACUCGUCACAUCGCAUUAACUCUGCGGCAGGACAGGCGGCACCUUUGGCAGGCAAAGCAGACAACGCUUCACCUUCGCCAUGAUGACCGCGUCAAAAAAGGUGUGUCACGUCAUUCGAUUUCGCAUCCUUUUCCACUUCCUCUUUCUCUCUCUUGCUACAGGGACCGGUAAAGGGGAUACUCCGAAAGGGAUCCUUCUCCGCAAAGGAAGCGGGCCCCGAGCCCCCCUACUGAUCAGAGGUUCGAAGGCUGGCCCCUCGGAAGGGUUCAACAGCCGCCUCAGAGCACUCGGGCUCCGCGCCCACUACUGGUCAGAGGUUCGAAGGCUGACCCCUCAGAAGGGUUCAACGGCCGCCUCAGGCCACUCGGGCUCCGCGCCCACUACUGAUCAGGGGUUCGUAGGCUGGCCCCCGAAGGGUUCGACAGCCGCCUCAGAGCACGCAGAGCGAGGGAUGACCCUGGGUACGUUCGAUACAUAACCAAGGCUCGGGCUACGCUCCCGAGGUACCCUAGGACAUUUCCGAGACCGACGGGAACGAUUUUGUAACGGAAUCCCACCAGAGGGAGGCAUCGAGCCCUCGGACCCCGUCAAAAGUGGACCGGGUCCGGCGAAUCACCCGCAGGUACUUUUGGAGCGCGCCUCCGGGCCACUAGCCGACCCCUAACGAAUGGGGCACGGGCGUCCACUCGGAUUACCCGUUAGCAACUCGCUGGAGACACCAUGUUCGGCGCCCUCCGAGGGCAACAUGGUGCUUUCCCCCUCUCCUCCUUGCGGAAAGGCGACGCAGGGGCGUAUGAAAAAGCCGAGUUUGUCCUUGACCGUCCUCUCGCUCUGUGCGGGAGGCUCGGGGGCUGCUCUCGCAAACCCGGCUCCGGCCAAACCGUUGACAACGUCAACAUACCAGCCCGAGAACUUGGGACUCAACUAUGCACCCGAGCUACGGCUAGUUCGCAUGAGGGAAGAACCAGACCGACCGAAGCAUCACGAAACGCGCUAAGACCUCGAAGGAGUCAAACCACUCCUCCGAGGCCUCGGGGGCUACACCCGGCGGGUGCGCUCGCGCGCACCCACCGGAACGAAAUGCAACCGAGAAAGGCCGGUCCCCUUGCAAAAAAGUGCGACAAAAGCCUCCAAGCGAGUAUCAACACUCCCUUCGAGGCUCGGGGGCUACUGUUGGGGACCAUAAUUAGGGGUACCCCCAAGACUCCUAAUCUCAGCUGGUAACCCCCAUCAGCACAAAGCUGCAAAGGACUGAUCACUACGACAGCUACAGGCAUUUUCGGCGGCCAAGCCGCCGAAAAUGAGCCCUUUACCGCCGAAAAUAAGCUAUUUUCGGCGGCGUCUGGCCCCCAAAAAAAUCCGGCCGAAAAUAAGGCUUUAUUUUCGGCGGCCAGGACCUGGCCGCCGAAAAUAAACUGUUAUUUUCGGCGGCCACGUAGUCAGCCGCCGGAAAUUAAUACUGCCGAAAAUAAUAUACCUAUUUUCGGCGGCCAGGGAGGCCGCCGAAAAUUACUAAUUUCAGAGCAAAAAAAUUGAAAAAUGCGAAAAAUAACAGAAUUUCAUACAAAAUUCAUACAAUACCAGAAAUUUCAUACAAUAACAGAAAAUUCAUACUUGAGUUCACAACAUAAAACUUGAGUCCAUACAAAUAUAAAGUCCACAAAUAGUCCAUACAAACAUAAAAUCCACAAAUAGUUCAUUACAACACAGUGCGUCACAAAGCUAACUUAAUCACACAUUGGGGUCGUUGGAGUUGUGUCCACUACCUCCAGAAGCCAAGAACUGGUUGACGAAGUCGUGUAACGGGUUUGGAUCCUAAAGAAAAAAAAGACAUUAAUAACGACAUUGGUUACAUGUAUAACGACUAUUCAAACAAAUUGUUUCUCAAACUAACCUCUCCUGCAUAAGCUCCCUCCCCUGCAUAAGCUCCUCCUGGUGCUGGUAUGACCGGUGGUGGCGUGUUGUGGCCCAUGACCCCGGAUCCCUACAAAAUCAAGUUUAGUAAAGAUUUGAAAUUAGGUUGAUACAAACGACAAGUCUUAACUAAAUUGAAGCACCUGAGGUGGAGGUGGUGGAGCAUGUAAUCCCCACUGAGGCAUCGGCGGCUGAAACUGAGGGAAAACAAAUGGCUGCUGUUGUGCCUGCUGUGGAAACCAAGACUGUUGCAAAUAUAAUAUAUUAGUUAUAGAACCAAUAUCGAGCGUGUUGAGAAUAAAUAAGACACUCACGUUCAUUGCUUGUUGCGCCUGUGUGUUGUAAGCAGCCAUGUACUCUGAUUGCUGUUGGAGAAAUGCCAUUUGUUGUUGCCGCAGCUCUUCACGAAACUUUUCUUGCUGCUCCCUCAUAGCUUCCUCCAUGCUAGAUACAAAGCGGCGACUACGGCUGCUACUACCACAGCCCGCCUGCGACGAAGAGCCGCCACGAGAACGCAACUCCGUCGAAUCGAUAACACCGGUAAACAUAGAAUAUCUUGAAAAACAAGAAAAUUAGCUAUUCGGUCGUAGUUCCAACAUUAUUGAAAACAAUUCACAAGUUCAUACCGUCCAUGCGCCUUGCCUCCAAGUGAAUGCACAACUUCAUGCGCCUUGCCAUGAGCCGAGUCACAAAAGCGAGUAUACUCACAUCUGUGUGUUCAUGUAACGACUCUUCAGAGGCUUUUAGUAGUUUAAAAAAUCUGGAAACCUCUGGUGUGGCAGGAUCCUCGGAGCUUAGGUUGAAUUCUGGACGUAGCGAAUCUAGCAUCUCAUGCAUCGCAUCAUCGCCAGCCCAAUCAUUGUUCUCCUCCUCUUCUACAUUCCGGUUGGGUACUACCUCACCAUGAUGUUCCCACACCUCAUAUCCGGGCAUAAAUCCAAAUUGACAAAGAUCUAGGCUAACUCUUUCCUUAUUAAGAAAUAUACUAUUUUCGUGCCGCCUACAAGGGCAUCUGACAAUGCCGGUUAAGGACAAGGCGAAUACGUGGUCCACAAAAUCUUUGGUCUUGGCUACCCACUCAUCAGAAUGACGUCCAUUCCUACUCCAGCCAUUGUACAUCCAUGCACGGUCUUCAGCCAUGCCUGAGACUGUUAAACCGAACCAUAUCGUGAAACCAUUAUUCAAUUUCAUCAAGUGUAUCGGUCCUAUAUGUAUAGGCAAGGAUAGAUUCUAAACCACAGCAAGCUACCAGGACCCACAAUAAUUUUGGCAGCAUAACCUCGCUGCCACUAAACAAUAUAAGAAUGAACCACAUAUAACACAUAUAACACAUAUACCACAUAUGCCUUUACUAAACCAAAUAUACCACAUAUAAAAUAUGUCUCGAACUAAACAAUAAUACUAAUCACACGCACUAAUCAACAAACACAUAUACCACUAAUACAUUCCACAUAUACCACAUAUGCCUUCCCUAAACAUAUAACACAUAUACAAACGCACUAAUCAAUAAUAUUAAUCAAACGCACAAAUCAACAAACACAAUUACAAAAAUAUAUUAAUUUCGGUGGCAAUUAAAUAAAAGGCCGCCGAAAAUACAAAAUAAAAUACGCAAAAUAAAAUACCUUAAUGAAGGCGAGGUUGACGGGAGCCAAGGUCGAUGGAACGGGGCACAACGCGGCUGGUGGGGCGUCGAGCUUGGUGGCGGCACGUCGGCGGCACGGGCGAGCGGCGCUGCGGGUGCGUCGGGCGUGACGUGGUGGGCCGGGGGGGGGGCGCUGCGGGGGCGUGGGGCGGCGCAGCGGGCCGUGGGCUGCGCUGCGGGGGCGGCGCGACAGGCUGCACGACGGGGUGGCGUUGUUGGGCGGCGCUGCCGGGGCGGCGCGGCGAGGUGCGGCGUGGCGGGGGCGGCGCGGUUGGGCGGUGCUGCGGGGGCGGCGCGGCGGGGCGAGGUGCGGCGAGGCGAGGGGCGGCGCGAGCGACGGCGAGCGGCGGCGUGUUGAGAGAGAAGAGAGAAGAGAGAAGAAACAGAACAGAGAAGGAGCCGACAGUUUUUAAAAACCUAAUUUUCGGCGGCCAGGGAUCAGGCCGCCGAAAAUAGGCUUAUUUUCGGCGGCUGUGUCAGUGGCCGCCGAAAAUAGGCCUAUUUUCGGUGGCUGUGUCAGACCGCCGAAAAUAAGGUGGUAUUUUCGGCGGCCCACCUCCGGCCGCCGAAAAUAAGGUGGGCCGCCGAAAAUGUUGCAUAGUGUUGUUGUGGAUGGGCGCGAUUAAGGUCAAGGCUCAGUCCACUUAAGGGACACGAUCUCGCCUCGCCCGUGCCCAGCCUCGGGCAAAGGCAGCCGACCCCGGAGGAUUCACGUCUCGCCCGUGGGCCCCCUCAAGCAACGGACACACCUUCGGCUCGCCCGAGGCCCAGUCUUCGCAGAGAAGCAACCUUGGCCAGAUCUCCACGCCAACCGACCAUAUCGCAGGAGCAUUUAAUGCAAGGAUCACCCGAUACCUUAUCCUGACGCGCGCUCUUCAGUCGAUAGAGCCGAAGUGACCGCAGUCACUUCGCCGCUCCACUAACCGACCUGACAAGAAAACAGCGCCGCCUGCGUCACUCCGACUGCUGUGCCACUCGACAGAGUGAGGCUGACAGCAGCUAAGUCCAGCCUCGGGCGCCAUAGGAAGCUCCGCCUCGCCCGACCCCAGGGCUCGGGCUCAACCUCGACGAUGGACGACGAACUCCGCCUCGCCCGACCCCAGGGCUCGGACACGGCCUCGGCCUCGGAAGACGGUCUCCGCCUCGCCCGACCCCAGGGCUCGGGCUCAACCUCGAUGCUGGACGACGGACUCCGCCUCGCCCGACACAGGGCUCGGACUCAGCCUCAGCCUCGGAAGACGGUCUCCGCCUCGCCCGACCCAGGGCUCGGACUCAACCUCGACCUCGGAAGACGGACUCCGCCUCGCCCGACCCCAGGGCUCGGACUCAGCCUCGACCUCGGAAGACGGACACGACCUCGACCUCGGAGGAGCCGCCACCUCGCCCAAACUCGGGUCCGGACCGGCCACGUCGCCAGGGGGGCCAUCAUUACCCUACCCCUAGCUAGCUCAGGCUACGGGGAACAAGACCGGCGUCCCAUCUGGCUCGCCCCAGUAAACAAAUAAUGAUGGCGCUCCGCGUGCUCCAUGACGACGGCGGCUCUCAGCCCCUUACGGAAGCAAGGAGACGUCAGCAAGGAUUCGACAGCCCCGACAGCUGUCCUUCCGCAGGGCUCCAGCUCUCCUCCGACGGCCACGCCAUCACAUGAACAGGGUGCCAAAACCUCUCCGACUGCCACGACGGCAUGUACUUAGGGCUCUAGCUCCUCUCUGCUAGACACGUUAGCACACUGCUACACCCCCUAUUGUACACCUGGACUCUCUCCUUACGCCUAUAAAUGGAAGGUCCAGGGCUCUCGUAUGAGAAGGUUGGCCGCGCGGGAGAACGGGCCGGCGCAUAAGGCUCUCGCUCUCUCCCACGCGAACACUUGUAACCCCCUACUGCAAGCGCAUCCAUCCGCCCUGGGCGCAGGACAACACGAAGGCCGCGGGUUCCCCUUUACUGUUCUCCCCUUUUGUGUCCCGUCUCGCGCCGACCCAUCUGGGUUGGGACACGCAGCGACAAUUUUCUCGUCUGUCUAGGGAGCCCCGGGGUCGAAACGCCGACAGUAUGUAAAAGAUGGUGUUACAUCGGGUAUCUACAGAAUUUUUUCCGUUGUAGAUGGCUUUAAAGAGCUCUUCUGGUCGCGUCGUGUUCGAGAAGAAAUAAAACAUCAGGCAGUUGGAUACAGGUGUGGCACAUGCGUAAGCCUGAACACGGGACAGAAGCCCUCAGAAUCAGCUUAUAAUAAUAUAUAGAAAUCCAUUUCUAUUCCAAGCUUCAAAUAUAUAGCUCCACACUAAAGCAUCAUCAUGUACAUUGAGUCUAUGGCUGUAACAGCUAGCUAGUAAUAGUCACCGGCAAUUAGUACAGUAGCGAACAUAUAAGCACUGCUGCACGAGCUACAAGCGGUGGUGGGCGCAGGGGGCACUGCCGUCGUCGAAGUUCUGGUAGUAGCUAUGCAGGUCAUACCCGAACCUCACCGCGGUUCGCCUCGGCCGCGCUGCGCGUCUUCUCCAAGAGCGACUCAACCUCGACAGCAGCCGCUUCACCGCCGCAGCUGGCCGGCGGCCGCCGCUCCUGGCGUGGACGAGCCUCCCGCCCAAGCCGCUGCCCCCGGUGUACGGGCCUAGCAGAGACACCGCCGCCAUGAUCGUUCACUCAGUCGGUUCUCACAGGUCACGGACGCUCUUUGCCACUAACCAACUAGCUAGCUAGAUGCUCUGUCUGCUUCGAGCUGGAGUAGGUAGGUGAGGUCUAUCUGUGAAUCUGUGUGCUGCAGCUGUAGCUUCUGAAGAUACUGUGCAAAACGAAGCCUCCCAUGCGCAGCUUUAUAAGCUCGGAUGCUGGGAGCAUUCCGACACGCGUCGACCGAAGACGCCACUCGGACCCACCAGCAGCACGCACUCACGUACAUGGUGACGAGGCAAUCCACUACGGCGAUCGUUCGAAAGGUCCAAGCAGCUUCAUUUCAUGCAUGCUUUUGUAAGCCGCCGUCAUGCUCGUGCAGUCGAAAGAAUCAAAGAAAGACAACCGUCGACCACCAACAAUGGAAGCAUGUGUACUUGCUUUAGUGACGACGACCUCGAUCGCCAGCUAGAUUGCUAGCUAGAGGGAUGAGAGAGGUCGGCCAUGGCAACCGGCGACACGGCGGCACCUGAGCUGCUUCCUGCCCGUCCAUAGCCGAACUGCCGAUAAGGUCGGCGGCUUCCUGCCCGUCCUGCCGCUGGAUCAUGCCACGUGCACAAUGUGUUUGUGUUGCCUGUUGCGUGGCCGACCUAAUCGACAUGCAUGCGGCAGAGGUUGACGGGGAUGUUCGUUCUGCAGAACUCUCGGAACCCCGUCACAUCGAGACUAGGAACCUAGUAGAGUGUAUUGCUGACGCUGAAUCAUAAUAAUAACAACUGGUUAUAUUAAUAACCUAGAGUAUUAUUGGAAAGAGCACUCCAAGCCACUCACCAAAUUGGAUAAUUAAUAAUAACUGGUUAUUACUAUUUAUUUUUGGAUAACCUUAUCCUUGUACUGAAGAUGACUAAAGCUUAGGACGUGGAUAUUUCUUUUACAGCUGGAACAUGCAUGUAUGCUCUUCUGAUAUCUCCAAAAAAGAAGAGAAAAGAUGUCGUCGAGCUGAGUCAUCAUCAAUGAAUUUCCACAUCCUAAGGAAAGGGAAAUGGAAUACUAGUCCUAGUAGUGUUAUGCUAGAGUGAAAAUCUACAGAAAAGGCGGAGAGCCUUUUUUAGGGAAUAUUGCGAAGCUUCUAUUUUGGAAAUAUCACGAAAAUGUAUGGUCAGUAAAAUGGCGGUCGUGGAAUGGCAGUGUAUAUGAAGGGGGCUGAGGUAGUACAAAUCAUCCAAGUCAUCAUGGUAUCAGGAUGAGUCAUGAGUCACUUGACAUGUGUUUGGUUUCGGAACGACGUGGAUCCGGUCGAAGUCGACCCAUUUUUCUGGAUUGGGUCAGAUCCGUUCCUUAUUUGGUUUAAGUGACAGGUUAAACCUAUUAUCUUGUUUGAUUACAGGGUUAAACUGGGUUGGAGUUGUACCAUCUCUUGUUUGUUUCGCGAUGAGGGAUGAACUGAAUAUGGUCUCCUUCCUGGUCAUAUUACCACAUUCAGGAUGGUAUCUUCAAUUCAUUCAAUUCAAUAAGAUGACAACAAUCAAAAUAAAUGAAACCGACACUAUUUUAAUAUUUGAGAAAUCCAUAAGCAUAAGAUAUACAUAAAUUAAAGCCAAUAUUAACCAAGUCAUAAAUUUUUAGUGAUGAGGUCUCAUUGUUACAUUUCAGCCAUAAUUAAAGGAACCUCCCAACAACAUCAAGAUGCAUUUCAGUGAAUUUGUAACAUUUGCCAUGACUAGCAGGCUUGUCUAGGCAAUAACGAGCACAGACAUUUACCUGUUCGACGACAGCACUAGCAAGGCUCGCGGGUUGUGCCUACUGGAGAACACACCAGCAUCAGAGGGCAGGCCAGCGAGUGACUGUCGGUGGGAGGCGCAACAAGCCGGUGGGGGAGUCUGACGGCGCUGACGGAGGGCAGACCAGUGAGGGACUGACGACAGGAGGUAGGCGGGGGAUGAACGUCGGAUGGUAGGUCGGCGGGGGUCCCUCGUCCCAGCUUGCCGGCCGUGGCAACGUGCCCGUGUGCCAAUGUUUUAAAUGUCCGACUAAGGGCCUUAGCGGUGAGCUUUUUAUAAGUUAUAAAGGCUAUAGCCGUGAGCUAAACCAUUUAGCCGUUUAAAAAAAGCAUGAUAUAACUUUAUAGAUAGUUUAAAUGUUCAAUAUUUAAAUCUGAUAGUUCAAACUAGUAGUUCAAAUGUUCAAUAAUAAAUCAACAUACAUGCAAAUUCAAUGACACAUAUAAAAGGCAUUGAAUCAUUAUCUGAAGUGUCCCGAUCCUUUGGGACUCAAAUGUGAUACAAUUACUAGUCCCAGGAGGCUAGUAACCACAUUCAUUACUUCAAAUAGUUACAGAGUCUGAAUAAUGUUAUUACAAUACCGGGGGAUACAGGCUCGAAAGUGAGCCGAAAAACAUAAAGCGCAGUGGAAGAUAAAAUAGCCCAGGCCACAGGCAGAACUGGGCGAAGACACAGCCCCAUCAAUCAAGCAUAGCAGAAAAGAAGUCUUCAGCUGCUGAAAAACAUAAAUAAAUCUGGGUGAAUACACUAGGUAUUCCGCAAGCCCACCCGGCUCCCGUAAAGAGAAAGUGACCUAUAUGGUACAUGCUUAUUAUGGUGGAGUUGAAGUCACUCAUACUUUUUCAGAGAAAGGCAGUAUUCGUUGUUUAUGGUUUUCCCAAGACAAUAGGAGUAACACUUGCUUGACCACCACUGAGCUUCCCGCUCCUGUGGUACCACUUUCUUUUCAGACAUACACACACAUUUCCCUGUUCCAGGUUGUAGUAGAAACACUAAUUGUCAUACCAUUCUAGACUCGUCCAUACCAGUGGACACGGACUAUUCGAAUAGGUUUAGACUCUGCGCAGAGGGGUACACUUUACCCACUAGUCCGGCUCUGCGAUCUCAUGGCCAAUGAGACCCGAAUCCGAAACUCUUUCCUUCCUUGUACGUCCGAACCUUAACGGUUAUACCGGAAGGAGUCAGGCCACCGCCAUGUCCAAACCGGACAAAACAUUCCCCCUCCUUAUCCUCCCGGUGCUACCCGAGCCUUCAUAACCCUGGGGUUGGACCGUACGAGUUUAGAUCGAGUGGCUGCCCACACAGCCUCGAGUGGGUGUACUUUUUGUGAGUACAAGUAAUGAAAGAUGACAAACCGGUCCUUAUACGAGAGGACGAUCCUUCUGCUCACGCCUAAACCAGCUGAGCCAACACCUUAGGCCCUCCCCUAAACCAGGGAGUCCCUGAUCAUCCUACUCACCAGGUGAUGAGGGUGAGUACCCUUCAUCGCACACUUUUGGAAAACAUUCCACUUGUACCCUUUUCACUUGCCCCAUAUCUUUUAAUCAAAAUAAUAGUUAAUGCGGGCUCUCUCAUGCUCACCAUGCAAUUCGAUUCCCAUCCCAUAAUCCAGGCUUAGGCAGUGGUAGAGAGAAAUAGGUAAAUAAUGCAUCAAGGGAAGGAUGGACUUGCCUUCGUCGAAGCUUUCCUGCCACAAGAGGUUAAUCUCGGAGGGGUCGGGUUCUUGCCCUUCUUCCGGAGCUAAGAGUUCCGUAGGAUCGGAUCCCUCUUCCACUAAUUAAACACAUAUAAUAACAAUACAUCAAACAUAGUGACCUUUGAGGGGUGUGCAAAUUUUUAUACUUUAUUAUUUUUGUGCCCUAAUAAUUUAUUUAGACAAUUUUUGGUGCAUAAAAUAUUAGCAUCUAAAUAUAUAUGUGAAAAUGGGAAAAAGAAAAGGGAAAAGAAAAAGAGAAAGAAUUUUCGAGCCAACUGGGCCGGGGGGGGAUUUUGGCCCAAAAGGCGCCAGCGCGAGCGGGCGGGCGUGCUUUUGGCCCACUUGGCCCAGCCGCGCGGGGAGACGGCGGGGGAACGGCACUGCGGCGCGGGCCCGCACGCCAGAGAGGGGGGGGGGAGCGAACGACGUUAACGGCACGGAGGGGGGCGAGGGCUCGACCGGGGCCGGUCGGCGGCGAGCCCCGCGGCGGUUCUCCGCCGUCGGUCCGGUUUUGCGGUGGGGAAGCGGUGGCGGAGCAUGGGCGGUUGAUGGGGGUCACGGGGGUGGGGCGAAUUUCACCUGCGGGGGCCUAUGGCGGCCGGUCCGCGGCACGGUGGCGGGUGCCCGCGGCGGUGAUGCCGCCGGUGAGGUUUCCGGCCACAAUAGAGUGGGGGAAGUGGCGUGUCGUGACCGUGAGAGUGUGGCGGAGCUCUUGGCAUCACUUAAUUGAACGAAAGAUCGCUAGAGAGGGAGAGGGGAUCUCACCGGAGCGGUGAAGGGAGCACGACAGCGCUAGCUUGAACGGCUCGAGGAGGAGGGCAGUGGGGGUGGCCGGAGCUGUGUGGCGAAUACGGGGCUCAGGCGGGUCCUUUUAUAGGCGCUCGGGGGAGGGAGGGGGUUGGGGGAGACGACGAGCACCGGCGAGCUUGCCAUGAUGGUGGGAAUGGUGCUAACGCCGAUGCGAUGGCUCGGGCAGGCUGGGGGGUGAGGGGUCGGCUCAAGCACAGUGGUGGGGUUGUCGCGGAGGCUGGCGAGCAUUAAUGGCGAGGCGACGAGGCGAGGGGGCGCUCGGCGGCGGACGCGCCGGUGAGGGAUGGGCGAGGGGGAUGGAACUGACGAGUGGGCCCUGGCUGCCAGCGAGAGGAAGCUGCGCGAGAGGGAGGGGGUGAGGCGCUGACGGGCGGGGCCCGGGUGUCAGCGGGAGGGAGCCGCGCGCGGGUUGGGCCGCCUGGGCCGGGGAGAGAGGGGGAGGAAGUGCGGGCGCGCGCGGGUUGGGCUAGAAUUCGGCCUAGCCGUGGGAGGGGGAAGCUUUUCCUUUUCUUUUUCUUUUUCUAAUUCUAAUCCCUUUCUUCUCCUUUUUUCUAUUUUUGUUUCUUUUUAUUCUUUUUCUUUGGAGACCAAAAAUAUUUUCUAAGUGAUCUUGAGUGAGAAACAUAGUCUAUGUGAGGUGCUCUAAUUAUUUCAAGUGCACAUAAGAAGGGGUUCUAAGGGUAGGGUUAAGGGGGAAAGGUAAAAUAGGGGGGAGGAAUUAGGAGGUUAGGGUUUCAAACCUUGGGUGGGAUUUUGGGAUGUUACAAACCUACCCCACUUAAAGGAAUCUCGCCCUCGAGAUUUAGACUGGAUUUGAGAAAAGAUAAGGGUAUUCCCUCCUCAAGGAGUCCUCACUCUCCCAGGUAGCUUCCUCUUCUCCUUCUCUGCUCCACUGAACUUUACAGAGCUUUACUUCUGAGGUGCGGGUCUUUCUGACUGCUGAAUCAAGAAUCUUCACUGGUUUUUCACGGUACUGAAGGUCUUUCUGAAUCUGUACUGUCUCUUCUUCGAGGUGACUUUCUGGUGCUUGCAGGCAUUUGCGGAGCUGGGAUACGUGAAACACAUUGUGGAUGUCGGACAUGGAUUCUGGUAAUUCCAGACGGUAUGCUGCGUGUCCUACCCUGCCAAUGAUGGGAUAGGGACCUACGAAACGUGGGGCUAGCUUCCCUUUUACUUGGAACUUCCUGACACCACGCAUUGGAGAAACCUUGAGGUAGACGAAGUCUCCUUCCUCAAAUCGGAGUUCCCUCCGCCUGUUGUCUGCAUAACUCUUCUGUCGACUCUGAGCUUCGAGUAACCUUCUGCGGAUCAGUGCAACUUUCUCUUUCGCCUCUUUGACAAAGGCAGGUCCUUCUAGUGCUUUUCCCCCCACGUUGGACCACAUGAGAGGGGUUUGGCAUUUCCAUCCAUACAGUGCUUCGAAUGGCGACAUCUUGAUGCUGGCCUAAUAGCUAUUGUUGUAUGAGAACUCUGCGUAGGGUAGACUGGAUUCCCAACUUCUAUCAAAAGCUAGCACACAUGCUCUUAACAGAUCUUCAAGGACUUUGUUGACUCUUUCUGUCUGCCCAUCUGUCUGAGGGUGAUAAGCGGUACUGAAAUCUAGCUUGGUGCCCAUAGCUUUCUGAAGGCUUGUCCAGAAUUUGGAUGUGAACUGGGUUCCCCUGUCUCACACUAUCUUCCUUGGGAUGCCAUGGAGUCUGACUAUCUCCUUGAGAUAAAUCCGGGCAAGGGUGGCUCCUCCAAAGGUAGUUUUCACUGGGAUGAAAUGGACUACCUUGGUGAGGCGAUCUAUUAUUACCCAGAUGGAAUCAUUCCCUUUUUGCAUCCGAGGCAGUCCGGUUACGAAGUCCAUGCCUAUUUCUUCCCACUUCCAUUCAGGUAUUGGAAGGGGUUGUAAUAGGCCUGCAGGUUUUUGGUGUUCGGCCUUCGUCCGUUGGCAGAUGUCACAUCGGGCCACAUACUGAGCUAUUUCUUUCUUCAUCCCUUUCCACCAGUAUCUGGUUUUGAGGUCCAGGUACAUCUUGGUAGUUCCUGGGUGGAUGGAGUAGGCCGAGUCGUGAGCUUCCUUGAGUAGGACUUCUCGGGCCUCCCCUUUUGGUACACACAGACGGUGCUUGAACCAAAGGACUCCUUGGUCAUCUGCCCUGAGGUCCGGGAGUUGUUCCUUGUGGGAUUUCUCCACAAGUUUUGCUGUCUCUGAGUCUAGACGUUGAGCUUUGCAUAUGAGGUCUUCCAGCACUGGUUUGACUUCGAGACUAUCGUUGUUUCCCAAACAUGCAUUUAGUUGCGCUGAUUCUUUCUUCCAAUCUUCUAAAAAGUUGGUUCCUUUUAUUCCGAAUGGUUUUCGACUGAGGGCGUCGGCUACCACGUUGUCCUUCCCGGGGUGAUAGUGAAUUUCUAGGUCGUAAUCCUUGAUCAGCUCUAACCAUCUUCGCUGAUGGAGGUUGAGAUCUGGUUGAGUGAUUAUAUACUUCAGACUCUUGUGAUCGGUGAAAAUGUGGCAUUUGUUUCCGAUUAGGUAAUGCCUCCAUAUCUUCAAGGCAUGCACUAUGGCUGCCAAUUCCAAAUCAUGGGUGGGGUAAUUCUAUUCGUGCGGCUUGAGUAGGCGUGAUGUGUAAGCAAUGACUUUCUCGUUUUGCAUUAGCACACACCCUAAGCCUUGCCUCGAGGCAUCACAGAAGACGACAAAAUCUUGAUGAAUAUCUGGCAGUGAUAGAACGAGUGCUGUUGUGAGUUUCUCCUUUAUGACCUGGAAACGCCCUUCACAUUUUGGGGUCCACACAAAUUUAUGGUCUUUCUUGAGAAGUUCUGUCAUCGGUCUUGCUAUGCUGGAGAAUCCUUUGAUGAAGCCGCGGUAAUACCCUGCCAUUCCUAGGAAGCUUCGAACUUCACUGACGUUGGUUGGCUGCCUCCAUUUUGAUACUGCUUCCACCUUGGAAGGGUCCACUUCUAUCCCUUCUGCGGUUAAGAUAUGCCCAAGGAAGGCUAUCUUUUCCAACCAAAAUUCACAUUUACUGAGUUUAGCAUAAAGUUGGUGUGCUCUGAGUUUUCCGAGGACGAUCCAAAGGUGACGCUUAUGGUCUUCGUGGUUCUUGGAGUAGAUAAGGAUGUCGUCAAUGAAGACUACGACAAACUUAUCUAGCUCUUCCAUAAACACUUUAUUCAUGAGGUUCAUGAAAAAGGCGGGUGCGUUUGUCAGUCCGAACGGCAUCACUGUGAAUUCAUAUUGCCCGUACCGGGUGACAAAUGCAGUCUUUUGGAUGUCUGCUUCCUUGAUCCUCAAUUGGUGGUAACCAGACCUUAGGUCUAUCUUGGAGAAGUACUUGGCUCCUUGAAGCUGAUCGAAGAGGUCGUCAAUCCGAGGAAGUGGAUACUUGUUCUUGAUGGUAACUUCAUUUAACGAUCGGUAAUCAAUACACAUUCUCAUGCUUCCAUCUUUCUUAUAGACGAACAGGACUGGCGCUCCCCAAGGUGAUGAGCUGGGACGAAUGUAUCCCUUUUGCUGAAGAUCUGCGAUUUGAAGCUUCAGUUCUGCUAACUCGAUCGGAGCCAUGCGGUAUGGUCUCUUCGCGGUGGGUGCCGUUCCAGGGAUCAGAUCUAUGUAGAACUCCACUUCUCUUUCUGGUGGAAUUCCUGGCAAUUCUUCUGGAAACACGUCCAUGAAUUCUUCUACAACUGAUAUACUUUCCGUUGCUAGAUUGAACAUCAUUGGGUCACUGGCGGGUGGCUGUGCCUGACAAGAGACUAACUUUCCCUGCUGGUCGAUGAGGAGGACUGUCUUGUCUGCGCAACUGAUGAUGCCUUUGUGUUUAGUUAGCCAAUCCAUCCCUAGGAUCACAUCAAUUCCUUUGGAUGGCAAGACGGUUAAGUCUGCUAGGAAUACUACCCCACUUAAAAGGAUUCUGACUUGGGAGCAUUUGAGCUGGCAUAGAAGGUCGGACCCUGGGGUUUGGGUGACCAAGGGAAUCUCUAGAGGAGUAGAGGGAAUGCCAUACUUUUCCACAAAGCUAGUGGCUAUGAAGGAGUGGGAUGCUCCAGAAUCGAAAAGUAUGGUAGCGGGAGUAAAUUCAACAAGGAACUCACCGAGUACUACUCCCGGAGCCUGCUGAGCUUCCUCGGCAUCGACGUGAUUUACUCGUGCCCUUCCUUGGUACGGAGCCUUGUUCUGCUGGCUGACGGCGGAGGGCGCCUUGGGGGCGGAUGCCGAGGUAUUCUUGGGGCCAUUCACCGAGUUGGAGUAGGCGGGUCCUGGUGGCUUUAGCUGCGGACAAUUGUUCUUGAAGUGACUGGGAUCACCACAGUGCCAACAUGCAUUUGCCGGGGGUUGGUUGCUUGCCACUGAGGGGGAAUGGAAAGAGCUCUGACUUUGCUGGCUGAAUCGUGACGGAGUGGGUCCAGCUGGUCUACUGAAGUUUGGUCCCUUGGGUGGAAACCCAAAUGAUCGAGUCUUCUGGUGCCGGUCCUGCUGCUGUGCCCGGAGAACCUAGAACUUCCUUUUGAGAUGCCCCUUUUCUUCCUCCUUUGCCUUUCAACUUGCAUGGCCUUGUUGGAAAGGUGAGAGAAAUUGAGGAAGUCUUGGCUAGCCAGAAUUGUCUUGAGUUCUGGCCUGAGUCCCUUCAGGAAAUGGGCCAUCUUCUUGCCCUCGGUACUGACAUCAUCUGGCGUGUAGCGGGCUAACUCUGUGAACUUGUGUACAUAUUCGCUGACAGAUCUUCCGUCUUGAGUCAAUUCUCGGAACUCGUCCUCCUUAAGCUGUACAAGUCCUUAGGGCACAUGGUGCUCCUGGAAAGCCGCUUCAAAUUCCGCCCAGGUAGCAUCUCUGAUGGUGAUGUUGAAGGUGUCCCACCAGGCUAAGUCCAUCCCGGAAAGUUGGUGGGCAGCCAGCUGAACACGCUGAUUUUCUGGGCAACCAAUGGCUUCCAGUUUUCUUUUGAUCGUGCACAUCCAAUCGUCUGCAUCGAGGGGGUUGCUUGAUUCGGCAAACGUGGGAGGUUUGAGUCUCAGGAAAUCCCCCAUUCUGUCUUGUGGUCUUCCACCAUUCGGCCGUUGAUUUUCCAGAUUUCGAGUGAGGACCUCGAUGAGUCAGGUUUGAUUGGCUAGAACUUGGGCUAGGUCUAAGGGUAGUGGUGGAGGUGCGGGGAGGUGGGUUUCACUUUCCUCUCUAACGGCUUCCCCUUCAGCUCUCAGGGGAAACCCUGCUCCAAUCCCGGAGGCGGUAGGCGUGGUUUUAUCCGAAGCCAUCUGCCAGGGAAGAGAGUCACUAUUAUGCACAUGCAAAUUGUUUUCAACCAAGUUAUGUUAUUCAUUACACCAUCACAUUACAAGCAUAAGACUACUACAGGUGGGACUACACGAGAGCGUUCCCCGAGGUACUAACGAACUCCUUCUCUAAGGUGUCCCCAAAUGCCUUGAGAAGAUCAUCAAGGCUUGCUAGGGAUAUAUCCUCGUCGUCGGACCAAUCAUCUAUUCUAGGGGGGAGGUAGGGCUAGAGGGGCCUUCUUCUUCUUCUCUGUUUGGCAUCCUUGGUUGGUGGUCUUCUUCUGGAUUUUCUUUUUGGGGGCGAGCUUCUUUAGCUUCUUGUCAUAGUCCAUCUUCAAGGUUCGAUAGGCCUCACGGGUGUUGGCUUCCUCGCCUUCUGCUAUGUCGAGACUCUCCUGGAGAGAUGCCUUCUCUUGCUUAAGCUCUUUGACUUGCUGCUCUAGGCUUUCCACUCGAGAGUUUAGGUGGGUGCAGUGGGAGGAGAGCUCAUCGUAGUGGUUGUCGAGGGUGUGGAGGUAUCCGGCCAUGUAGACGAUAGUGGGGUCAUCUUCUGUGGGAUCUCCUUCUGACAGAGCCUGGAGUCUUUUCCUCCAGGUGGGGGUGUUUUUGUUGCUAGGUGGGAAAUAUCGGAGGGGGGUCUCAGAGAUCUCUCGGCUAUAGUUUUGGCACAGUUGUUUGAGGGCUUUUCGAGCAACGCUCUAGCAAGUGUCUGGGAAGCGGUGCCCGAUGAAGGUAAUUUGGAAGGGAGGGUGGUUUGGGUAGUUCCGGCUUUCUCCCAAGUAGACCGCCAUAGAGCACUUUUCUAUUCCAUUUUCACGGUACUCCUUCCAGACAUAUUCGGGCUUCUUGCGGAUCCCCAUGCGUAGCGCGCAACUCCGAAGAAGGUGAGGAAAGCCUUCCUCCUCUGAGCAAUAGGAUGUCCUAAUCACCCAGGGGUUUUCCAUCUGGUAGACGAAAAGAGAGGUCUAUUAAUAUCGGGGAAAAGGGGAAAGAGUGUUUCUUGGGGGGUAAGAGGUGUUUUCUUGUUAAGGCAACUUUUAAGGUCAGGGUUGUGGUCUACGGCCAGUCCUAUAGGUUCUGAUACCACCUGAAGCGUCCCGAUCCUUUGGGACUCAAAUGUGAUAUAAUUACUAGUCCCAGGAGGCUAGUAACCACAUUCAUUACUUCAAAUAGUUACAGAGUCUGAAUAAUGUUAUUACAAUACCGGGGGAUACAAGCUCGAAAGUGAGCCGAAAAACAUAAAGCGCAGUGGAAGAUAAAAUAGCCCAGGCCACAGGCAGAACUGGGUGAAGACACAACCCCAUCAAUCAAGCAUAGCAGAAAAGAAGUCUUCAGCUGCUGAAAAACAUAAAUAAAUCUGGGUGAAUACACUAGGUAUUCCGCAAGCCCACCCGGCUCCCGUAAAGAGAAAGUGACCUAUAUGGUACAUGCUUAUUAUGGUGGAGUUGAAGUCACUCAUACUUUUUCAGAGAAAGGCAGUAUUCGUUGUUUAUGGUUUUCCCAAGACAAUAGGAGUAACACUUGCUUGACCACCACUGAGCUUCCCGCUCCCGUGGUACCACUUUCUUUUCAGACAUACACACACAUUUCCCUGUUCCCGGUUGUAGUAGAAACACUAAUUGUCAUACCAUUCCAGACUCGUUCAUACCAGUGGACACGGACUAUUCGAAUAGGUUUAUACUCUGCGCAGAGGGGUACACUUUACCCACUAGUCCGGCUCUGCGAUCUCAUGGCCAAUGAGACCCGAAUCCGAAACUCUUUCCUUCCUUGUACGUCCAAACCUUAACGGUUAUACCGGAAGGAGUCAGGCCACUGCCAUGUCCAAACCGGACAAAACAUUCCCCCUCCUUAUCCUCCCGGUGCUACCCCAGCCUUCAUAACCCUGGGGUUGGACCGUACGAGUUUAGAUCGAGUGGCUGCUCACACAGCCUCGAGUGGUUGUACUUUUUGUGAGUACAGGUAAUGAAAGAUGACAAACCGGUCCUUAUACGAGAGGACGAUCCUUCUGCUCAUGCCUAAACCAGCUGAGCCAACACCUUAGGCCCUCCCCUAAACCAGGGAGUCCCUGAUCAUCCUACUCACCAGGUGAUGAGGGUGAGUACCCUUCAUCGCACACUUUUGGAAAACAUUCCACUUGUACCCUUUUCACUUGCCCCAUAUCUUUUAAUCAAAGUAAUAGUUAAUGCGGGCUCUCUCAUGCUCACCAUGCAAUUCGAUUCCCAUCCCAUAAUCCAGGCUUAGGCAGUGGUAGAGAGAAAUAGGUAAAUAAUGCAUCAAGGGAAGGAUGAACUUGCCUUCGUCGAAGCUUUCCUGGCAUAAGAGGUUAAUCUCGGACGGGUCGGGUUCUUGCCCUUCUUCUGGAGCUAAGAGUUCCGGAGGAUCGGAUCCCUCUUCCGCUAAUUAAACAUAGAUAAUAACAAUACAUCAAACAUAGUGACCUUUGUGGGGUGUGCAAAUUUUUAUACUUUAUUUUUUUUGUGCCCUAAUAAUUUAUUUAGACAAUUUUUGGUGCAUAAAAUAUUAGCAUCUAAAUAUAUAUGUGAAAAUGGGAAAAGAAAAAGAGAAAGAAUUUUCCAGCCAACUGGGCCGGGGGGGAUUUUGGCCCAAAAGGCGCCAGCGCGAGCGGGCGGGCGUGCUUUCGGCCCACUUGGCCCAGCCGCGCGGGGCGACGGCGGGGGAACGGCGCUGCGGUGCGGGCCCGCACGCCAGAGAGAGGGGGGAGGGAACGGCGUUAACGGCACGGAGGGGGGUGAGGGCUCGACCAGGGCCGGUCGGCGGCGAGCCCCGCGGCGGUUCUCCGCCGUCGGUCCAGUUUUGCGGUGGGGAAGCGGUGGCGGAGCAUGGGCGGUUGAUAGGGGUCACGGGGGUGGGGCGAAUUUCGCCUGCGGGGGCCUAUGGCGGCCGGUCCGCGGCACGGUGGCGGGUGCCCGCGGCGGUGAUGCCGCCGGUGAGGUUUCCGGCCACAAUAGAGUGGGGGAAGUGGCGUGUCGUGACCGUGAGAGUAUGGCGGAGCUCUUGGCAUAACUUAAUUGAACGGAAGAUCGCUAGAGAGGGAGAGGGGAGCUCAUCGGAGCGGUGAAGGGAGCACGGCGGCGCUAGCUUGAACGGCUCGGGGAGGAGGGCAGUGGGGGUGGCCGGAGCUGUGUGGCGAAUACGGGGCUCGGGCGGGUCCUUUUAUAGGCGCUCGGGGGAGGGAGGGGGAUGGGGGAGACGGCGAGCACCGGCGAGCUCGCCAUGAUGGCGGGAAUGGUGCUAACGCCGAUGCGAUGGCUCGGGCAGGCUGGGGGGUGAGGGGUCGGCUCAAGCACAGUGGCGGGGUUGUCGCGGAGGCUGGCGAGCAUUAAUGGCGAGGCGACGAGGCGAGGGGGCGCUCGGCGGCGGACGCGCCGGUGAGGGAUGGGCGAGGGGGAUGGAACUGACGAGUGGGCCCUGGCUGCCAGCGAGAGGAAGCUGCGCGAGAGGGAGGGGGUGAGGCGCUGAUGGGCGGGGCCCGGGUGUCAGCGGGAGGGAGCCGCGCGCGGGUUGGGCCGCCUGGGCCGGGGAGAGAGGGGGAGGAAGUGUGGGCGCGUGCGGGUUGGGCUGGAAUUCGGCCUAGCCGUGGGAGGGGGGGAAGCUUUUCUUUUUCUUUUUCUAAUUCUAAUCCCUUUCUUCUCCUUUUUCUAUUUUUGUUUCUUUUUGAUUCUUUUUCUUUGGAGACCAAAAAUAUUUUCUAAGUGAUCUUGAGUGAGAAACAUAGUCUAUGUGAGGUGCUCUAAUUAUUUCAAGUGUAUGCACAUGAGAAGGGGUUCUAAGGGUAGGGUUAAGGGGGAAAGGUAAAAUAAGGGGGGGGGGAAUUAGGAGGUUAGGGUUUCAAACCUUGGGUGGGAUUUUGGGAUGUUACAUUAUCUAACAAACUCAUAAACAAUAAGUUAAAGGGCCUACCCAUAACUUGUUUUUGGGUCUCAAUGCUUCAAAGGUUCGACCAGUAAAAGGAGUGCAGGUUUAGCAACUAAAUCGAGCUAAUUUUGUGUAUUUAGCGGGCUAAAUAUGACUAUUAGCGGCUAAUUUUGAUCAGCGCUAAAUAAUGCAUCUCUUAGCUCCAGAUCUCCUGAAAGGCUAUAACCGGCUAAAUAGCUGCUAUUAGCUGGCUUUUGAAAACCUUGCUCUGUGCUGGUCUCGAGUGGAUAAAGCAUGGGUGACAGAAGGCUGGAGAGCAAGUGGGUCGAAAUAGUUCGCUUGUUUUUGAGGAAUCCGUAGAACCCACAUUUUCAAGAAGUAUUUCGAUCCAGAACCAACAUAAUCCACGAGACUUUUGAACCAAACAUGGAUUGUUGUGGGUUAAAUCCUUUCCAACCCGCAUCAUCACGCUAACCAAACACACGUGUGAGGUUUCGCCUUACCCGAUGAGUGAGGUUUCGCCUUACUCGAUGCCAGUUUGCCUUUACUUUUUGUCUUGAUAUCAGUAGCUCCAUUUAACUUUCAAGCGUCUAAAAAAACUCUCUUCCGCAUCUACAACUUUUCAGUUAAUGACUUCUUUAUUCAAGAUCAUCUAUAAUAUUAAAUAUACAAUACAAUAUUUAAAAAAAUUGUAGUUGAAAAAUAGUAUCGGUUGUAUAGUGACAACUAUUAUAUAGCUUAACCGGUAUAGAAGCUCGAUGGAACCUUAAGAUAUUGAGUUCAAAUCCAGUAAUCUAGCAGUGUUAUAAUUGAUAGUGAUAAAUUUUUUGAUAAAAAUAACUCUUUAAAUGAUGAUUUAGAGAAUAUCUUUAACAUAGACUCUAGAAAAUUUCAUAAAGAUGCCGAUCAAGUAAUCCUGGCUAACUAUAUGAAGCUUUUUGAGAAAUUAUGUAGGCUUAUAAGGUCACACACAAUAAACUUCUACUUUCUAGUACUUGCAUACUUAAUUAGUUUGUUCUAUAUCAAAUUAUCCUAAAUUUUACCAAAUUUAUAUACACGAGUAUUUGCAUUACAGAAAUAUAUUUCACAAUUCCAUUCAAUAUACUUAUUUUCUAUUAGGAUUGGUGCCUCAUUUAGUGGAGGACGGAUUAUCUAUCUUGCAAUAUCCAGAUGAUAUUAUCCUGUUUUUGGAGCAUGACUUGGAGAAAGCCAAGAAUAUGAAAUUACUUCUCCUGUCUUUUGAGCAAGUCUCAGGGUUAAAAAUUAACUAUCACAAAAGCGAGAUUUUUUGCUUUGGUCAGGCCUCCGAUGUUAAGGAUCAAUAUCAAUUGUUGUUUGCAUGCAGAAAUGGGGACUAUCUGUUUAAAUAUUUACGGAUACCAAUGUAUUAUCGGAAGUUAAACAAUAGUGAUUGGAAAAUAGUAGAGGCAAAAUUCGAAAAGAAGCUCAGCAGAUGGAAAGGGAAGCUUAUGUCUGUUGGAGGCAGAUUAGUCCUAAUAAAUUCAGUGCUUACCAGUUUAGUUAUGUUUAUGAUAUCUUUCUUCGAGAUACCCAGAGGGGUUCUCGAGAGAAUAGACUGCUUUCGGUCUAGGUUCUUUUGGCAAGGAGGGAAUCAUAAGAAGAAGUACAGACUUGCCAAAUGGAACAUCCUAUGCCAACCUAAGGAUCAAGGAGGGUUAGGAAUUCAGAACAUAGAAGUUCAAAAUAAAUGCUUGCUAAGCAAAUGGCUUUUUAAGCUUAUUAAUGAGGAUGGGAUGUGGCAACAAUUGGUGCGUAACAAAUAUCUUAAGAGAUAUCCGUUGUGGAAUGUGAAACUUAAACAUGGUGAUUCACAUUUUUGGUCGGGGUUAAUGAAAGUAAAUGAUACCUUCCUUAACCUAGGAAAUUUCAUUAUUAAAAAUGGGGAACAAAUAAGGUUCUGGCAGGACAUUUGGAUGGGUACUCAAUCCUUUAUGAUUUGUUACCCGUCUCUUUAUCAUAUUGUAAGACAUAAAAGUGCCACGGUUGCUACAGUUUUGGCUACAGUACCUUUAAAUGUAUCAUUCCGUAGGGUGCUUGUCGGUCAAAACCUCACUUUGUGGUAUAAUUUAGUGGCAAGUAUAUUACAUGUUCAGUUGAGUGUCGAUAGGGAUAUUUUUAAAUGGAGUUUAACUAAUUCUGGGCAGUUUACAGUUCAAUCUAUGUAUAUGAGUCUUAUUAAUAAUGGGAAUGUUUUUAACCAUAAGGAAAUAUGGAAACUUAAACUGCCACUUAAGAUUAAAAUCUUUAUGUGGUACUUAUUAAAAGGAGUAGUGCUGACGAAAGAUAAUUUAGCAAAAUGCAACUGGCAAGGUAGCAGUAAGUGUGGCUUCUGUAAUUUGGAUGAAACCAAUCAGCAUUUAUUUAUUGACUGUCAUGUUGCUCACUUUAUGUAGCGGUUGAUAUCAAUCUGUUUUGGUUUACCAGGACCUAGAUCUGUUAAACAUUUCUUUGGGAACUGGUUGAUGGGGGUGGAUUUAAAUACUAAGAAUCUCAUUAUUACAGGUGUCUCAGCAUUGUGUUGGGCUAUCUGGAUAAGUAGAAAUGACUUAGUAUUUAAUAGAGCACAAAUGUUUACUUAUUUGCAGGUUCUAUUCAGAGGAACUCAUUGGCUCAGACUUUGGACGCAGCUGCAAAGAAGUGACGAUUCAGCGAAUCUGUUAAGAAGAGCUUGUCGACAUCUGGAGACGAUGGCCAUGCACUUUUUUGCUUAUCGGGGUUGGAGGUUUUCUAAUAGGAUUACAUUGUAUUGAUCGUUUUCCUUUUUAAGUGAGUGUUGAAUCGGUGAGGAGUAAGGGAGAGUUUAAGUCUUUUAGGCUAAAUGUUUUUGCCUUAUUAUGCGAGUACUUGGAGUUGUUAUUUGGUGUCUGACUUUGGCCCUACCCUCGAAAGAGGCGAAAGCCGGAUUUUGUUCCAUUAUCUAAAAAAAUACUUAUUUUCUAUAAACUUGGUGAAUCUUAUAAUAGUUUAACUUAGAGCAACUUUAAAUGUGAAUCUUAUAAUAGUUUAACUUAGAGCAACUUUAAAUGCAUUACGUAAUACUUAUUGGAAUUUGGCCUCUUUAGCCCACUUAUGGGUGGUCCAAUUCAUAUAAGAAAUCCAAGGUGCUGUGUAGGGAUAGCAUCAGGGACUUUAGUCGUACAUUACUUAUCCAGGUAAGAGAUAACCAAUUUAAACGUGAGGGUGUGCACUACUCUUCACAUGUGACACACAAAGGGCUGUGGAGACUGGUAUGAACUGACACACGCGCUCACUCGCAUUUCAGGUUUUUCACGAAAUUAACGCGUGGCUUGUGACUUGCGAUGAUGAAUGAUCGCGUCGUGACAUGUUCUAAAUAGCAGUUUAUUUUUUGUCUUUUAUUUAUUUGGUUAUCAAGUACCACACCUAGCUAGACUGCCAUGUCAAUCGAGAGUAAUUAGGCGCGCACUGCGUGAACUCCGUGCGGUUGUACUUAGAGAGAUUUGAGAGGACGGUUACUGGAAUUUAGUAGAUCGAAUCUGGAACAAUUGCGGCGACUCUUCUAUAAAGGGGAGAUGUCCUUUAGACGAAAGGCAUACAACAAUCAACCUACUCGUCUUCUCAUUCUGAACUUUAUGUGUUACCGCUUCUCUACUCUAUCGUCCCUGCGUCUGCCAUGCAACAAAUCAAGGAAGACCAGUGUAUUCGAACCAACACAGAUAUUUUGACGACCUGCACGGGCGUUGAGAAAUUAGGUUUCUGGGAAGUGCACCACGCACGUAUGUUCAUGUUCUUCAAAUCCAGUUGUGGGAAGCACUAUAAGUAGAUAUGCAAUUUCUGUUUAUCAUGACACAGAUCUUUUGCAUAGAUCUAUUGUUCAUUUGUCUUCUGUUCAUUAAUUGUUUGGUUUGGUGAAUCUGAUGCUUUUCAAGAGUACAUUACUAAAGCACAUAAUCCUAAAUUUGUGAAGUCUUCUAGGCAAACCACAACUUGAGAUCUAAUUAAGCUUUACAAUGAACGUGUGCUUAAGCUUAUUGAGUCAUUUCAAUCUGUUUCAUCUGUUGCUCUAACUUCUGAUAUCUGGAAUGUUAAAGCUAAAGAAGACUACAUUUAUGUUGUUGCUCACUUUUUGAAUUCCAAUUGGGAGCUAGAAAAAAGAUUGAUUGGUCUUAGGGUCAUAUAUGUGAAACAUUCUGGUAAUAAUUUAGCAGAACAUGUUAACAUGGUUGCUGAUGAGUGUGGUUUAAGUGAUAAAAUAUUUGCUAUUACUCUAGAAUCUACUUUUAGUUUGGUUGGCAGGGUUAUUGAGGAACAUCGUCGACGGCUCAUACCGGACAUGGUGGAGGUUCUAUCAUGUAUCAAAGACCGGGAGUUAGCAGAUUUACACAAGCAACACAAUCUUGAGAAUGACACAUAGAAAUAGAAUUGUCCUUGAAAGAUUGAACAAUGAUGGAGGAGGAGACGAAGAAAGCCAAUCAAGGACUCAAGAGUUAAGGGUGAACGAGUGAAUUAUUGUAACUUGUAAUAUUGUCCUCUGUCUCUAUCUCUGGUGAAUUGUUGUAUUGAACUCUGAACACAGUUGCAUACGUUAUAACUUUGAGCUGGUUGUACCUUUUUCCCUUUUUAGGGUUUUCUCACAAGGUGUGAGUUUUUAUCUAGGAAGGUUUCUAAUAAGGCGACAUUGCAUAAACAACUCAAAUAAUAUUUUGUCAUUCAAUUCUUGUGUGGCCUUUAGUGUUUUUUGUGAAUUCUGUUAUAUACCAAUAUAUAUGUGAUUUUCGGGCCAGACCCGCCCCUGUACUAAUGAGCUAUCCAAGCCAACGGUACGGCAUGACCUACCUGAGUAGCAAGCGAGUCGUGCCUAGACCGAAGGGUCAACACGCUAGGUAAGCCCGGCACGAUCCAGAUGUUACCCGUGCCGUGCCUGGCACGCCCCGAAUGGGCCGGGCCGGAGCGGACCAUUUGGAUAUCUAUAAGUCCAAGCAGCUCCAUACAUGUUUGCAGGUGCAGCAGUCCGAAUAGCUACAAUAUUGCUGGCUGCUAGUCAGCCGAACAAUAUAGAAAUAUGAUUUAUAAUGACGGUUUUUAAAAAAAAAACUACCAAUAGAAAUAACACUAACGUAUGAUAACUGAAACCGUACUACAAAUUAAACUUCACCAUAGACUUUCAGUUAUUUUUCUACAAGUGAGGGUUCCGGUACAAUGAGUCAACGAGCUACAAGCGGUGGUGGGCGCGGGAGGCAGUGCCGUCGUCGAAGUUCUGGUAGUAGCUAUGCAGGUCAUACCCGAACCUCACCACGGUUCGCCUCGGCCGCGCCGUGCGUCUUCUCCAAGAGCGCCUCAACCUCGACAGCAGCAGCUUCACCGCCGCAGCUGACCGGCGAUCGCCGCUCCUAGCGUGGACGACCCUCCCGCCCAAGCCGCUGCCCCCGAUCUAUGGGCCUUGCAGAGACGCCGCCAUGAUCGUUCACUCGGUUCUCACAAGUCACACACUCUUACGUUGCGACUAACUAGCUAGCGCUAGCUAGGUGCUCUAUCUGCUCCGAGCUGGCGUCGUAGGUAUCUGCUGUGUGCUGCAGUGUAGCUUCUGAAGAUCUU